AAGCUUUGUUGUCUAUUUGAGCUCCACAGAAUUCAAGGAUCAAAGAAGACUAGGAGACGGAGGACAUCCUAAUCGCUGUCAGGGUGCUGCCGACAUUCAAAUACACCUCCGCCACUUGCUAGCUACAUCAGAAGAAAUUACAUCAAAAUCCAGCUUGGGGGAGAGCACCCCCAUUUAUCCACCUAAGUGUUUCUACUCGCGUUUAUACUUUACUCAAAUAAUAAAAAGAUGCAUAAUCAUAAAAACCCAAAUAAAGAUUUUAUGCUUAUAUAUAUAUCUAUGCUUAGUUUGCUAAAUAAAUAAAUAAAUAAAGUUUGGUAUGAACCCUCAUGAUAAGCUCUCACAUGGAAAUGAUGAAUAGAUGCUCUGCCAUGACUAGUUCUCAAAAUUGAAUACUCUCAAGUUUAGGCAUGACUAUUAUGAAUUAAGAUUUGCUCUAAACCUGAACUUGUGGGAAGAGUACUUGAUCUAAAGUCUAAGUUGUAAACGGAUAUGAUAUGGGAAGGUCGAGCUCCUGUUUAUCUGUUCCUAGAGAUGCUAGAAUUUUGGAGAAUUUUAUCUUUGAAAAUCUUUAAAAAUGUUGCAUGAUGAGUUCCUGUAUGAUGAGAGUUUAAAAUCCUACCACAGCCACAUAUACAUGCUUAAUAGACUAUGAACCGUACAUUUACUUUUUACUACUUAUGAGCAUUGAGGGUGGUCAAGUUAUAUAGACCCUUAGGAACUUGUCAUGCGGUUAAAAUCAAGAUUCACUUGCACGUUCACUCAUACAUGCUACUUCUACUCUGGAAGUACGCAUCCACAUACAUCCACUCAUUUCCAUCUCCAGAUUCACCUAAAAUGAUUCUACUCCUAUCCGAGAGAGAAUAGCCAAAAACAUUAUCCUAUCCCUGUUAUUCCCUGUGAAAUAAAUGCUCAAGAUAUUUUGGUUACUACCACUUGCUACAUUAUUCUAGGUGGGUGAGUGCUCUAAAAAAAUAUAUAUACGAGAAAAUAAAAAGGGGCAAGUGCCUGGAACCUCAAAGAAAAGAAAAAGUGAGACGAGAGGUAAAAAUGGACAAGUGUCCGACAGUAGAAUUAGGGGUACAAGAUACCCACCUGAGAGAAAAGAAAAAGAAAAUAUAAAGCAUCUCAUUCCCCUCCAAAAGCUUCAAGUGCAAGAAAGGUAUGUAUCUCCUCAAAAGAGCAAAAGUAGAAUUAGAUUUUCAGCAUUGUUAUCACCAUACACCAUUCACUCGCCACACAUGCACAUCUUGAUUUGACUUAUUGACUUGUUUCUCUGGAUCCAUGGUUUGACUAUACAAUAAAUGUCUUGUAAGUAUGUAUUAUCUGUCUCCCACCUAUGAGCUCUACAUAUCAAAACCUUAUUAGAGUAGGGUGAGAGAGAAGGCAAUAUCACUAUGCCUCAUACCAGAAAUACCACAAAAGAGAGAUUGGAGAGAGUCAUAGAAGGAAUCUCUGAGUUUUAUUUGAAAAUCUGCAAAAACUCUAGGGCUAUAGCUGAUCAAGAAUACGAGACAUGGCGCUUGACUUGACCAUUCUAUCUUUCAACUGCUCGAGACACAAGUGACGGUUGCAAGCCCCAUGGUGAAAGGUAAAAUGAGUAAGUUUUAAGUCUUAACAGUUUACUUUAACUCAGAGAUGGGAUCUUGCUUGAACGCAUGUGUACUUUUAAGGCACGAAACCACCGCAGAAACUCUUGAGUCCAUCCUUGCUCAGGGACGAGCAAGAGGUAAGCUUGGGGGAGUUGUUGACGGUCCUUAAGUACCAAAUAUAAACAUCAAAUAAAUAAAGAAUAGGAUCCAAAUACAACCAACACCCAAACUUAGGGUUUUAUCUGACAAAAUUCUAUGAGUUUUGGUGUUUGUCUAUUUCUGCCGGGGGUUAUCAGGAAAUACAGAGGAAAGGCCCACAUGUCGGGUUUACAUAGAGAUAUUAACGUGCUGCACAAUUUUCUAUCAUCUAGAAUACUCCAGAAGCCACGGGAACGAACGGGAAGACGAUCGGGCCCGGGGGCAGGGCGCCCACCCUCCCCCCUAGGGCGCCCGCCCUGAGUUAGAGUCCAAUUAGGACCCGUCUCACGGAUUACGCUCCACCGACCUAAAGGAUCAAGGUUAACCAUUCAAUCAAUGUCGGUUUGAUGCGACGGCCCAGAUUCACUUGAGGGGACUAUAUAAGCAGACCCCCUGGCCCGUGGAGGAGAACAAGUUCAUUAUAGAGUUGAGAGGUGCCCUCGAAGGAUAACCUUUCCUCUACAUAGACAGAGCAAAAGCUAGGGUUUGGAGAUGAGAGCUCUCCUCUCAUCUCUAAACUAGGGUAGAUCUAGAUAGUAGCGAGAUGGAGAGCGAGGGAGGAUUGGAGGAGAGGCCGGCCUGUCGGUUCUUCCUCCAGUUGUACUUCGUCAUGAUCAAGUUCUAAUCAAGCUUGCUCAUGUAAUGACUCUGGUAAUCUACUUCUAUUUCAUUAUACAUUACUAUUCAUGUAUGUUCUGGUUCACAACUCUUUUGAGUACUUUUAAUCUAUAGGACCCUAUAGGUUAGAGUUGUAGUAUAGGUGUGAGCGUGGUGCUUAGACCUAUAUUACUUGUGGAUAUCCCCUGUCUAGCUGGAUCGUGUGGUAGGCCGCGUAGGUGACAGUUAUGUUGGUCCCCUAUAGUCCACCUCCUGUUAGCAGGACGGGUAGGGUUUAUCGGCCUAUGGAUAAGCAUCCUUUGUGGUGUAUUUUUAUCACGUGGUUCGUCCCAGACAUAGAUAUACCCAUUUGAAGUAGAGAAACCAUAGUUAUCCUCUCUAUUCUCCUACCAUCGCCCAUAUAUUAGAUUGCUCUACUCUAUAUUCCCCCAUUAUCAUUUUACCUUUAAUAUUGUUCUUAUUCAAUUCUACCAUCUUUCCUAUUUACACUUACCCAUCUAUCUAGGUUAAGUUAGAGCAUAGAUCAGUUCUCCUAUUUCCCUGUGGAUACGAUGAAACCUUUAACUGGGUAAAAGCUACAACGGUAUCCGUGCGCUUGCAGAUUUAUUUGUGUGUGUAUAAAUACCAUAGUACACUCUAGUGCCGUGCUGGGGAUGACAACCUAGUAUUCUAGUGGUGUUAGCAAGUGUCAACAAUCCUCUGACUACCAUCUAUCUUAUCAACAAAGAUAACUAGUGCACCCCAUGGUGAAGAACUAGGACGAAUGAACCCUUUAUCUUGCAAUUCCUUUAUUUGUUUCUUAAUUUCUUCUAAUUCAUUAACCCCCAUUCUAUAUGGCCUCUUAGCUAUUGGUGCAGUACUAGGUAGUAAUUCAAUAAUAAAUUCAAUGUCUCGGUCAGGUGGCAUACCUGGCAAUUCAUCUGGAAAAACAUCUGGAAAUCCAUUCACUACCAAGUCCUAAGGAUCAACAUCAUUAUCCAGUUGGUUCACUGUAGUUGUGGGUGGUGCCUGUACUGCUACAUCAACACUGAUUCGUUCUCCCUUUGGUGUUGUCAAAGCCACUAUUUUCUCUUUGCACUUAAUAUAUGUCUGAUGUUUCUUCAUCUAGUCCAAACCCAAAAUCACAUCUAUGCCUGAAGUUCUCAUAACCAUAGGACUGAUAGGAAAAUCUACCCCCCUUAAAGAAUGACUUGCUGAGGGGCAACAAUAAGAAACUGCUAUAGUCCCACCUGGUGAAUUUACUAGCAUAGGGGUUUUCUUGGCAACUAGUGGAAUGCUAUGAACUCUAACAAAUGCUUGUGAAAUGAAUGUAUGCGAAGCUCCAGAAUCAAAUAAAACUAUAGCAGAGAUAGAGUUGAUGUUGAACAUACCCAUCAUAAUUUUUGGUCCCUCCUGAACUGUCUCCGCAGCCACAUUGUUCACCGUUGCCACAUAAGAAGUAGACUUCUGAUUGUUGUUCUGCUUGUUGAACUUCUUUGGGCAAUCAUAUGACAUAUGUCCUUCCUUCCCACAGCGGAAACACCUCGUAGGAGUAUUAGGAGCACUUCUCCGUAUGGGGGUGGCAUUUGAAUUUCCUGAGCAUGGUAUCUGCUGACCAUUCUGCUGUUGGUUAGGAUUACACUGCUGGAAUGGAGGGCGUUGAUUCCCAUUCAGUGGUUGAUUCUAGGAACGCUGAGGCCGCUGGUUGUGGUUUCACUAACUAAUCGGUCCCUAGAACCUCUGCUGGUAGCCUUGUUGAGAACUAUAAUUCUGGUGAUUACUGCUCCUAGAUCCUUGUGCUAGCAUCCUCCUCUUCUUAUCCUGUCCUUUGCGCAUAUUGUCCAACACAAUAGCACGAUUCACCAGAGCCUGGAAGGUAGGUUAAGUGUUUCCAGCCAGUUGCAACCUGAGUUCAUAGUAGAGACCCUUCAUGAACAGACGCUGCUUAUUAGCAUCUUCUUUGACAUCAUUUGUGGCAUAGCGAGCCAACUGCUCAAUUGUGUCAUGAUAUUCAGCCACAGUCAUAGAGCCCAUCCUGAGAGAUCUGAAUUCCUCCUCCUGCUUCAGCUCCAUCAUUCCUUCACUGAUAUGUCGUGCUCUGAAAUCUCUACAAAAUUCCUACCGAGUGACAGCAGGAGCAUGGUUGAGACGAGCAGCUUGAUAAGACUCCCACCAAGUCUGAGCUGCUCCCUGUAGCUGUCCUGAAGCGUACAACACCUUUUCCAGAUCAUUGUAUUGUGCUAUGUUCAAUUGUUUCUCCACAACACGCAGUCAGUCAUCUACCUCUAUAGGAUCUGCAGAGUGAGUAAACACUAGAGGUCUUCCCUUCAUGAAUUCCCCAUGCUUGCCCCUCACAUGAACAGGUGGUGGUGGUGGCGAUGGUGGAGGUUGAUGCUGAAGGUGCUGCAUGAAGGCGUGCAUCAUCUCGUUCUAAGUUUGCAUGAGCUCUUCCACAAUAAUUGGAACAUUGGCACCCAUUCCAUGGCCUCUGCCUCUGCCUCUUUCACUUGCUGUCAUCUGCAUUGUAGGGUACAGAAACAAGUCUUAGUAACGUCCAACAUGACAAUUACAAGAGAUAAUGGAAUCUGAAUUUUUUCUGGGUAACAUCAACAUCAGCAGUUCAGAAAAUCAGUCAUAUCUCGAGUUCUAGAACUCAAAAGGAUACAUUCUGUACACCGUUGGAAAUAUAAAGAAAUUAUAUACAACUUUAAUUUAGAUCAUAUUAUCAGAUUCCUUCGUUAAGGUCAACAACUGGGGACAACCGAAACUGUUCUAGAAUUCCAGACUGCGCAGAAACCUCAACUUUGAACAGUCAUAUCUCGCAGAUCAUAACAAAUAAUAAUAUCAUUCUUGCGGAAUUGGAAAGAUAUGAAAGUAUACUUGUUCCCAGAAAAAAUUAAUGAACUUUGCACAAACAGAUUUUGAAUUAAACCAGAAUCAUUACAGACUGCUCCAGAAAACAGCAAAGGACAAAAACAGAAUAUGACCCCAAACCAACUAUUUAUUUAUGUUCUUACUUAAGGUUCUGAACUAGGGAACUUGCGGACAUGCCCACAAAGUUCCAGCAGUCAUUACAAAAAUCCAAAUCACACAUUAUCAUAAUAACAAUCCAGCAAGCACACCAAGUACACACCACACUAGAAAAAAGACUCGAAUAACUCACGAUACUACUAACGUUCCUAUUACAUAUGGGUUUUUCCUAUUCCUCGAGUGCAGCAUCCUUUAAGAUAGGUUUUGAACGAAGCCUCUUAUAGAGCUUGGGACGGCCUAGCUCUGCUCGAAGAUCAUCUGCUUCCAUUUGCUCCCGCUCCAGGAGUUCUCUCUAACGGCGCAGUUCAUCCUCCAACUUGAUCACCUUGAUGGUUAGUUCAGAAGUCAGCGUCACCUGCGCCUGAAGCUUUGGUGCUAAAGCAUCUGGAACUUCUAUCGCCGAAGUCAUUUCCUCUAGCACGAAGCGAGGGUAGUGGUAUGUCGCAUCGUACUGGGCCUCCUCAAAGCAUCUACCACGGUAAAAGAAUAAUGCCUGGUAAGCUGCAUCAGCCAUACUCUCCUUUACAGUGUCCCGGCUGAUUCGAGAGAGGUGUUUUAACUCCACCCUUCGAUUCCCCUUCGUAGCAUCCAGUGUCUUGAUUAUCAGCUCUACAUCCCAAAGUGAUCUCCUCAGGGGGUGUCUGUACUCAGUGCAGCAAUACUCCAGAGUGGCUUGCAAAUCUAGGUAGUAGUGGUUCAAUGUCAACACCAAUAGCUCAUGGAAGAAAGCCCUGGGGUCUGACUCUGGAAACCAGAGCACUGUAGUCCAGCCCAUCCGUGUAUUAGCUAACUGAGCAGGCUGUGGUGGAGGUGGAUCCUGCAUCUCCUCAUCUUCAGGCACAUCCUCCUCCUAAGCUUCCUCCCGUGAUUCCUCAUCCGCUAGCUCAGGAACACCCUCCACAUGCUGCCCCCUUGGAUUGAAUAGGGCACGGUACUCCUCAGCAGUCAUGCGUGCAGCACUAUGGGUACGGGGCGACAUCUACAAAAAGUUUUUAGAUAUAGAUCAGAUGGACGCAAUAAUUUCACAAUAGAAUAAGAUUGAGAAGCAGUAAAUAAACUUUUAGCAAAUAACAAGGCCAUAGUGGAAAGCAUGAAGUAAGUAAAGUAAAGGACCUAAAUUUUUGACCAUUGCUAACUAGGUUUGCGUCCUACAGUCAACAAAGCUUUGAUACCAAUUUGUCACACCCAUAUUUUAAGAACAAAAUAGGAUGCAUCAAAGACUCAUAUGUGCCCUAGAAACAAUUGCACACAUAAGUAGACAAAUCCAAAUGUAUCAUUGCAGUGUUUAUUAUAUAGCGGAACAAUAAUAAAUCACAUAGUCUUAUACAGUAAUGAUAAUAAGAGUAAAUAACUCUCUCAACGAAAGCUUCACACAGGGACAAACAUUGACUGGUUGACUUCAAACCUAAUACUCAAUCGAUAGUCCUCAUUCCAAUCAUCUUCAUUUGCAUAACCUGAGGUGUUGGGAAAUUGCAAUAGUGAGCACAUAUCGUACUGAACAAGUAUAACCAGGGGUUCAUGAGGAUCGAAUAGCUGACACUGGUUUGACUGUAUUUAGCUUUUAAUUGUAUAUAACAUGUUCAUAAUUGAAUAGCAAGGGUCAAGGUAGCAUAAAUAAUCCCAUAAUGACAUGAUCAAAUGUAAGCAUAAUUAACUCUUAGCAUAAAGGAUAAUCAAAUGAACAUAAUAACAUAACAAGCUCAUCAUCUUUAUGUAGAUGUCCCCAAGGCCACUCCUAACCGUGAGCUCGGCUAGUAUACUAGUUUUAACACUCUACAGAGGUUGUACAUCUUUACCCAUGAGUCAUGAUUUACCCUUUCGCCCGAGGUAGCUAGUCUCUUAACCCCCUUCCUAGGGAGGUCGGCAGGGAUCACUAUGAAGCCUUUCAAAAGUUCGUAUGGUUAUUAGUCAUCUUUUAACGUUCAUUGCAUAGUUAUUAAUCAUCUUACAAGAUCAUGGAUUACUUCAAGCACUAGCAAAACUAUACUAAAUGCAUAUCAAGUAGGUAACAAGGAAUCCAGGUAACAAUCAUCUAUGAUUUUGCUAAGGUCUAUAAGGUGGAAACAUGCAUAUGAUAUAUAUGUGUAUUAAUUGUGUAUAGGAAACAAGGAUAAUCCCAAGUUAUACUUGCCUUGAUCAAAGCUCUCCUGAGCCUGCUGCUGGUCAUCAAAAGCUUGAUCUUGCUCACCAACGUACUGCUCACCGUCUAUUCCCAAACAUCAAUCAACAACACGCAAUCCAAUGGAGACAAUCAUACACAAAGCAAACAAGCUAUAAUUAGAACAUUACACCAACAGUGGUAAAUCAAAGAUAAUAGUUUAUCAAAAUAUUCUACGCAGUGCUAUGAUCACACAAACGUAAAGAUCAUGAGAAUCGGAAUUAAAACGUAGAAGUUAUGAUUUUUCUAAGAUUUCCUAUAGAUGAAUAAAUAAUUAAAUGCUACUGCAAAAUUAAAAAGUUUCAAAACAGUGAAAUAAUACUUCUAACAUGUAGAGCUUGUAAAUACAAAUCUAACAAAAUUUGAUGAACAUUUUAUGAGCAAAAUACUUCAAGUGGCAAUUCUGUCAAUAAGAGAAAAUGUAUUUUAGUUUGAACCGACGAGAAUACGCUUUUGAACAAAGGAAACGCAUUCUACGGAAACCGCCAAGGACCGCAGGAUAAAAUGUAAAACCAUCCAGGGACUCUUUAUGAACUUAAAACGUAGAAGUUAUGAAUUUUCUAAGAUUUCCUAUAGAUGAAUAAAUAAUUAAAUGCUACUAAAAAAUUAAAAAGUUUCAAAACAGUGAAAUAAUACUUCUAACAUGUAGAGCUUGUAAAUACGAAUCUAACAAAAUUUGAUGAACAUUUCAUGAGCAAAAUACUUCCAGUGGCAAUUUUGUCAAUAACAGAAAAUGUAUUUUAGUUUGAACCGACGAGAAUACGCUUUUGAACGAAGGAAACGUAUUCUACGGAAACCGCCAAGGACCGCAGGAUAAAAUGUAAAACCAUCCAAGGACUCUUUAUGAACUUUCACAGCCGACCUGUAUCCUCUUUUUGUGGCCAUCCGAUCUUCAUCUGACGGUCCACGAUUCACCCAGGGGCCACCUCGACCGGCCGGCUGCCAGAAUCAAGGCCCGACACGGUGGCGCCAUGGCCGGGGAUGCCGAGCUCGCUGGAGCUCGUGGUCCGGCCGACUCCAAGCACCAUUCUUCGAAAGGAAAACGCCAGGGGAACGAGAAGCUCACCGCGGACUCACCUAGGGUCUUAGCUCGGACCAAGAGGGGACAGGGAGCUCGUGCUGUGGUGGGGAACGAGUGCGGCCUCGCUGAGAUCCGAACCUCAGCGUUCGUGGCGGCUAGGGCUCAAACUUUGUGGUGGAAACAGAAAGCGACAUGCGGGAGACGAUGCUAGGGACUUUAUAGGGCUCAGUUACACGUUGAAGGAGAAAGUCUCGUGGAAACCGGGAUUUCGUCGGUGGUUUGCAUCGAGUCCGGCUCAGGGACGCUCGAAAAAAGAAGGAAGAGGCGGGCGAGUCGCUGACGUGCGGGCCUGUGCUGUCAGCGAAAGUGAGAGGGGAGUCGGCGCACCCGCUGCUCAGCUUGGGUCGCAGCAAGCUGGGCCGGGGCGGGGAAUCAAGGCCGUGCGAGGGGGGAAGGGAAUGCUGGGCCGCGGGCGGGGGAGGAAGCUGGGCCGAGCUGGUGCUGCGCUGGCUUUUCUUUUUUUUUCUUUUUCUUUUUUGUUUUCUAAAGCCUUUUUGAAAAGAGAUAUUAAAUCCUUUUUGGAGAUAAACAAAAUACUCAGAGGAUAAACAAACAAACAAGUAAAUAAAUAAAUAAAUUCCAGCAUGAAUGCACAUCCACGUUUCUAAACAUAUCUGUUUGCUAGAUUAAAUGCCCACAAAAUGCUUAAAUAAAUCUAAUUAAAUCCUAUUAUUUUAAAAACUGAUCUUUGGGUGUUACAAGAACAAAGCAUAUAGAUGUCUGUCAUCAUUUUAUAAGAGAUCAUCAACAAAAAGGGUACAUUUGUAUUGAGAGUGUGGGCACCGAAGAUCAACUUGCCGAUAUAUUCACCAAGCCACUUGAUGAGAAGGGGUUUUGCAAGUUAAGGAAUGAAUUGAACAUAUUGGAUUUCUCAAAUAUGUGUUGAUGCACCCCCACUUAUAUGACAUGCCUCUCCUUCGAGCAAAGUAAGGUAAAAUUGAUUGACAUGUCAUCCAUCCUUUGCUAAGGAUUUGUUUAGUGCAUCUAGUCAUUUCUCACAUGUCCUAGGCUCAUUCAUGAAAAUAAAAUGAAUUUAUUGCUUGUAUGGUACCACUAUUGCUUCUAUGUUUAAAAUGAUCUAGUGGUAGCAUAUGACAUGUUUGUGGGCUUGCAAUCCUAGUGUUUGAUCUAGAAAAUGAGGUAUAAGUGUUUAACUCAACAUUGUGAAGAUAACCCUUGAAAUGAGGUGUGAAAAAGCUUGUCAUUGGAUCAAACCGAGUUAAAUAUCUUAGGCAAGUAAUUUAGAUUGAACCAAAUUUGGGAAAAUGAUCCUCACAUAACAUGAUUUCACACACAACCUAUCUAAAAUUUGAGCUCACCUUUUGUGGUCAUCGAUGACAAAGGGGGAGAAGUAAUUCACAAAGAUAGGUUUUGCUAAAAGAAGGGGAUCAAAUUAUUUUGAAGCACACAAGUAGGGGGAGCAAGCUCAUAAACUUGUAUGUUGCAUUUGGAUUUGCAUUACAUAUGCUUGCUUGCAUAGCAUAAGUUUUUUUUCUCUGAUACUUGCUUGUGUGGUGUAUGCUAGUUGUAAAGUUGUUUGUUGAAAUAAAAUACUAGCAUGCAUAGGAUGGUAGUUAGAUGUGCCUUGCAUGUUUUGUUUUUACAAGUGAUACUAGAGCCUUGUUUAUAAUGUUGAUCGCACGAGUAUCUACUUUUUAUGUUUGCAAGAGCUAUCUAACUAACCAUGGUGCUAAGGAUGGUGUUCAAAUGGCAACUCCGAUUGGUAUCACGCUUCAAAGGUCCAUUCUUUACACCUUAGCAUCAUUUGGUAGUCAUUGUCUCCUAUUUUUCCCAUCUAUGCAUAUGUGCAAGCUUUCAAAUCCAAAUUCUUAGCACAUAUGUAGGGGGAGCCAAUGCUACCAAUUCGGGUUUAUGAAACUUGUCCAUAUCCUUUACACAUGGUAAAAUGCUUGGGCAAGCAAUAUGAAUCUAAAAAGAUUUUAUUGAAUAUCUUUGUGAAAAGGUUGUCAUCAAUUACCAAAAAGGGGGAGAUUGAAAGCCCAAGUUUGUUUUUGGAUAAUUGAUGAAACCUAUGUGUACUAACAUUUAUCAUGAGUAAAAUAUUAAGAUAGGUUCGUACACACCAAGUGAUGGAGCUACAUGAUGGUCAUGGUGAUGGAGGUGACCAAAAGAUGAUAUUCAAGUGCUCCAACUUGUGUCUAGUGAUCAUAGCAACUAGAAUUAUUAUAUAGGUGGCUUGCAACUCUUGUAGAGCUAGAGCAAAAUUGCUUUACGCCUUUUGUUAUAUUGAUCCUUUGCUCUAGUGCAUUGUAGAUUUUUUGAAUAGGCUUAGGACCUUUCAUCUACCCAUGUAUUUAUAGUCUGAUGGGAUGUGCGUGCGCCGUAGGAUCAAACCGACUUAACCAAGGGCCGAGAUGCAUCAGGAGAGGCGGUGGAGGAAGAUUCUAGAAGAGGAGGGCCAAAACCCUAAGGGGGGCGCCGGCUGGCGCUAGGGUGGGGCUGGCUGGCCCCACCUGGCAGCCGCCAGGCCCCCCGUUGCUUUGGGUGCCUUCUUGAUCCUUCCUGAGUCUUCUCACGAUGUUUCCCGUGACGGAUAAGUUUCGUAUUUAUUUUGCACUAGAGUCCCUCUUUUCAGCUUUCCUACAAUUCACCCUAGAAAAUACAAGAUAUGCAAAACUAGUGGAAAUUGUCAGAUAAAACCCUAGACUAGUGUGUUUUUAUGUUUUCCUUCAUGUCUAACGUUCUAGUAAAAGUUGACUUUAUCGACCGUCAACAAAGACUAUCCUCAUCAUGGGAUAGAGGAGUGGCUAUAAAUGCAGACUUUCUAUCAUGGGCUCAUCUCUAGUACCCUUGAGUCUAUUGAUGCUGCAGUUGGGGGAGCUUUCUUGUCACUUAAGCUCUCAGACGCUAAAGCACUUGUUGAGAAGAUGGACUCAAAUUCAACAUGCAAUGAAGAACGUACUCAGCCUCAGAAGAAAGAAGGAGGAAUCCAUCAUCUCAUGGAAGCUGACAUGGUCACUGCCAAGCUAGACCUCAUCAUGAAGAAGCUCGACAUAGAGAAGAAGGAAGCCAUGCACAUCAAUGAUUCUGAUAUGGCAUGUGAAGAAUGUGGAGACUACGGGCACUCAGCUAUCAGUUGCCCUACACUGCAAGAGGAUGUGAACUUCAUCAACCACAAUACCUACUAUCAUCCUCAACAAAAUCAAGGGUGGAACCAACAACCUCGACAAGGUAAUUACCAAGGUAACAACCAAGGUAAUAAUUUUAAUAACAACUUUCCGCCUUUAAGAGAAUUAGUUACUAGUCAAUCCAAACUACUAGAUCAAAUGACUAGGAAACUAACAUCAAAUUAUAAAACUUUGGAAAACGUACAUACUAUAAUAUAUACUUUUGCUUCUGCCAUAAAGAAUCAGCAUAGUUUCAAUAAAAUGUAGAAUCAAAAUUAGCUCAAUUAGCUGAUGUUGUUCCUCCCUUAGAAAAAGGCAAGAUUCCAGGCCAACCAGAAGAUUUAAAAAUUGCUAACCUUGCUGAUAUUCACAAUGCAACCCAAUAUCAUAUUAAGCCUAUAGAUGUACAGUGGAUUGACCACUCUCUACCAGAGAAGAUGGGAGACACUAGAAGACCUGUCAUUCCUAUCUCUACAGGAUGCCACAGCUUUCCAGAGGCUAUCUGUGACUUUGGCGCAAGUGUCAACAUCAUGCCCAAGGUAAUUUAUGAGAAAAUAUUAAAUGAUCCCCUAUUGUACACAAAUAUGUGUUUGUAGCUUGUAGAUCAAUCCAUUUGCUACACUAAGGGAGUAUUAGAAUAAGUUGUCAUUAGAGUGGGGCAAUCAUAUGUCCCAGUUGACUUCAUGGUCAUGGAGACAGGAGUAGAUGAGUGUUGACGGUCCUUAAUGCUCACAUUUAACCGUCGACUAAUCAUGGAAAAGGACCAAUAUGCAAUCAACACCCAGACUAGGGUUUUAUCUGACAGAAUUCCAUGAGUUUUGGUGUUUGUCUAUUUCUGCAGGGGGUUAUCAGGAAAUACGGAGGAAAGGCCCACACAUCGGGUUUACAUAGAGAUAUUAACGUGUGCGGCAAUUUUCUAUCAUCUAGAAGACUCUAGAAGCCACGGGAACGAAGCGGAGGUAGAACGGGGCCUGGCCCAGGGCGCCCGCCCUCCUGUAGUGCCCAUUCAGGGUCAACUUUGCGGAUCAUGCUCCACCGACCUAAGGGAUCAAGGAAAGCCGUGCGAUUAAUGUCGGUUUGAUCCGACGGCCCACAUUCAUUUGGAAGGACUAUAUAAGCAGACCCCCUACCCCCUGGAGAACAUACCUCUUCUACAGAAUCAAAGCUAGGGUUUCAAUUAUUCAUCCAUGUAGAGAGGAUCCCUCUAGUUCAUCUAGUUCUAGUUCUAGUUCAUCUAGUUCUAGUUCUAGUUCUAGUUCUAGUUAGUUCUAGUUGUAAUCUAGAAAAUAGGGAGAGGGAAGAGGAGAGCGGAGGAGGAGCCGGAUCUAUCGGAUCUUCCUCAACAUUGUACUUUUGCAGCAACUGGUUCGUUCUUCAUCGUUCUCCAAGUUCUUCAAUUCAUAAUUCCUGAGUUCUUUAAUUACUUUUGUUUACAUUCAAGUUAUUUAUUGGAUUCCCGCUUGCAUCAAGUGCUCUAGUCUUUAUAACGCUAGAGUAGUAAUUAAUAGAUUAGACGUGGUGUUUAGUCUUGCAAUUACCUGGAAUUGCACCCAAUCCUGUGGAUUGUUGUGGUAGCCCUAGGGUAGUGACAGCCCUAACGGUCGACGUAUUCCACCUCGUUCGGAUCGGUGUUUGUAGGACCGUAGUCAGAGCUUCCUAGCCCCCUUCUCAUCUCUUUCUGUGUUUAGUGUUCUGAUGUCCCGAAAUAAAUAAUUUUUUAAGUAAUUCUUGAUUCUUAGAUCAACUAGAGAACUCUUAGGAAACUUCCUCUCUUCCCACCAAAAAUAAUUAUAUAGUUAUCCUUGGGCAAUCUUGAAUCUUAAUUAGUACACUCACGUUCCCUGUGGACAAUCGAUACUCUGAAAUACUCCCGGGUGAAAGCUACAUCGGUAUCCGUGCGCUUGCGGAUUUUUCUAUCUGCAUUUAAAAUACCCAACAAGCUUUCUGGCGCCGUUGCCGGGGAACGGUAGCUGUGCUAGUUUCGAACCAAGUCAUCCGUGUAUCCUUUUUCUUUUCCCUUUUUACCACACUCACCUUACAAUUUUCACCAUACCACAUGGAUUUCACUCCUAUCUAUAAAUUCUUUGCUCCAAAGGGUGAGUUAUUAGAGCCACCACCAUCAACACAUCCAAUUCUUACAGAUGGCUAUGACCUCGGCCCUGAUCUAAUAGCCAUGAUUUAGGAGCAACCAUUCUCUAGGCAAGUAGAUGAAGAUCCAUACACCCACCUUAGAGAAUUCGAGCAGUUGUCCUCUUGCCGAUCUAUUUCCGGCAUGACACAAGAAAUCCUUAAAUGGAAAUUAUUUUCGUUCUCCCUUUUGGAAAGAGCAAAAAAGUGGUAUGCUCAUUCUGUAGGAGGCGUUAAUGGAAAUUGGGAUGAACUUCGGGACAACAUUUGUCUCACUUUCUUCCCACUUUUUCGAAUCGCUGACCUUAGAAUCAAAAUUCUUACAUUCAAACACAGAGAGAAGGAAACUUUAGGAGCAGCUUGGGCUAGGUUCACAAGCCUUACCAAUUCCGGUCCAAACCUUUUCCUGCCUGACCAUGUACUGCACUACCACUUUUAUCGUGGUCUAAAUAAGGAAGCUGCUCCUCACCUCGACAUUGCUUCAGGAGGCUCAUUCACACACAAACUCAUAGAUGAGGCCGGGGGAGUGUUGGGUAUUUUAAACGCAAACAGAAAAAUCUGCAAGCGCACGGAUACCGAUGUAGCUUUCACCCGGGAGUAUUACAGAGUAUCGAUUUUCCACAGGGAACGUGAGUGUACUAAUUAAGAAUCAAGAUCGCCCAAGGAUAACUAUAUAAUUGUUUUUGGUGGGAAGAGAGGAAGUUUCCUGAGAGUUCUCUAGUUGAUCUGAGAAUCAAGAAGUACUUCAAGAUUAUCUAUUUCGGGACAUCAGAGCACUAACCACAGAAAGAGAUGAGAAGGGGGCUAGGAAGGUCUGACUACGGUCCUACAAACACCGAUCCGAACGAGGUGGAAUACGUCGACUGUUAGGGCUGUCACUACCCUAAGGCUACCACAACAAUCCGCAGGAUUGGGUGCAAUUCCAGGUAAUUGCAAGACUAAACACCACGUCUAAUCUAUUAAUUACUACUCUAAUGUUGCAAAGACUAGAGCACUUGAUGCAAGCGGGAAUCCAAUAAAUAACUUGAAUGUAAAUAAAAGUAAUUAAAGAACUCAGGAUUAUGAAUUGAAGAACCUGGAGAACGAUGAAGAACGAACCAGUUGCUGCAAAAGUACAAUGUUGAGGAAGAUCCGACUGAUCCGGCUCCUCCUCCGCUCUCCUCUUCUCUCUCCCUAUUUUCUAGAUUACAACUAGAACUAACUAGAACUAGAACUAGAGGAACUAGAACUAUAACUAGAUGAACUAGAACUAGAUCUAGAUGAACUAGAAGUAGAACUAGAAGAACUAGAGGGAUCCUCUCUACUUGGAUGAAGAAUUGAAACCCUAACUUUGAUUCUGUAGAAGAGGUAUGAUCUCUAGGGGCCAGGGGGGUCUGGUUUUAUAGUCCCUUCAAGUGAAUCUGGGCCGUCGGAUCAAACCGACAUUGAUCGUGUGGUUUUCCUUGAAGUAUUAGGUCGGUGGAGCAUGAUCCCCGAGCUUCACCCUGAUUGGUCCAGGGGGGAGGGCGGGCGCCCAGUAAGGGAGGGCGGGCGCCCAGUGCCCGGCUCUGUUACGUCUCUCGUUCGCUCCCGUGGCUUCUGGACUCUUCCAGAUGGUAGAUAAUUGUGCAGCACGUUAAUAUCUCUAUGUAAACCCGACGUGUGGGCCUUUCUUCCGUAUUUCCUGAUAACCCCCUGUAGAAACAGACAAACACCAAAACUCAUGGAAUUCUGUCAGAUAAAACCCUAAGUCUAGGUGUUGGUUGCAUUUGGAUCCUUUUCCAUGAUUAGUUGAUGGUUAAAUGUGAGCAUUAAGGACCGUCAACAAGCUCCCCCAAGCUUAACCUUUGCUCGUCCCUGAGCAAAGCUAAAAUCAGCAAGAAAACAGGGGUUAAUUUUAUGCCUCUUACUACAGGGUUUUUAAUUUAUCACUAAGGUCUUAAGUGAUUGAAAAACAGAACGAUCAAGUCAAGCACUAUGUCUCAAGUUCUUCUGUCUUACCUUUGUUCUGGAGUUUUUUUUAUAAGUCUGCAAGAUAAAACUGAGGUAUUUGCCUUCUUCUCGAAAGAUAUAUAAGUAGAGCUUUACAAGUUUUAGCAUACUUACUUUGCAUUUUGCUAUGUCAACGCUCGGAGUAAGGGAGAGGAAUGUCAUACUCCUAGAUCAAGACCUUUGACCUUUUUGAGAAGUUUGUCAUCUCUUACUGGCAUAUUGCUUAUUAGAGGGACCAUGGGCUAUCAUUUUUUUUCUUUUUUUCAGUCUCUUUUUUUUCGAGUGGGCAGCAAGUACCCCUAAUUCUACUGUCAGACACAUGUCCAUUUUUUUCACGCAGGUGGGUAUCUUUGUACCCCUAAUUCUACUUCGGACACUUGUCCAUUUUUACCUCUCGUCUCACUCUCUUUUUUUUUCGAAUCAAAUUUUUGCAUAGUCCCAUGCCUCUAACGCAAUAAUACUUCGGAAGAGUGAAUCUUUUAUAUAUAUAUAUUUUUUUUUAAAAAAAAACAAAAAGAUCUUGAUCUUGGGAGCAUGAUAAUUCUCUCAACCAAAACUACAAGAAUUAACAAUGGCUUGAACAAAGCAAGUGCCCACAGUUUUAAUAUUUAUAUCUUAUAAGACUCUAGGUAUUAUGAUCUCAUAUUUUUUUUUGAAUUUUUAGAUUUUCAAAAGAUAAAAUCUCCAGAACUCUAGCAAAACUUGGAACAAGUUAAAUAGUAGCUCAGACCUUCUCAUAUCAUGUUUGUCAAAUACCUAGACUUGGAUCAAACUUUCUUUUUAUUUUAUUUAAAACUUAGGAUUACACAAAACUAUUGUAUAUUACUCAAAAGAAAAACUUUGUUUGGUUUCAUGGUUAUGCAUUUUUUUAUUUAUUUCUGAAUACUAGUAAGAAAGGAAAGUAAUACUUAUCUAGAUACACGUGGGGAUGCCUCCCCCAAGCUGGAUGUUGACAUAGUCGUUCACUCUUAUGGCCUGCAUCUUCUGUCUCACUCUUCUUAAGCCUCAAAAUCCUGCACAACUCAAAUAGACAACAAAACUCGUGGAGUAUGUUAAGGGUUAGGUAAUUGUCUAGAGCUUAUGAGAGCUUAAUGUGAGAAUUCUAUGAACUCAAUCACAUCAAGUUCCUCUACCAAGUUGUUUUGUGGCUCGAGAUAGAUUUUCAAGCGUUGACCAUUUACCUUAAAAGUGUUACCUAUGUCGUCUUGGAUGGUAAUGGCUCCAUGAGUUGAAGUGUCAAUAACCUUGUAUGGUCCAUCCCACUUACUUCGUAGCUUACCAUGCCCAAAGAGCUUAACUCUUGAAUUGAAUAGUAGAACCUUAUCUCCAGGCUUAAACUCCUUGUGCUUGAUUCUCUUAUCAUGCCAUCGCUUUGUUCUCUCUUUAUAGAUCCUUGAAUUGUAGUAGGCUUUUUCUCUCCAUUCUUCUAGCUCAGAUAGUUGCAUCAGACGAUUCUCGCUAGCGAGGUGGAGAUCCAUGUUCCAUUUCUUGAGUGCCCAAUGAGCCUUAAACUCUACUUCCACAGGCAAGUGACAAGUUUUUCCAUAUACAAGUUGAUAAGGUGACAUGCCUAUGGGUGUUUUGAAUGCAGUUCUAUAUGCCCAAAGUGCAUCAGGAAGUUUGUCCUUCCACCCCUUACCCAUCUCAUCUACGGUCUUUUGUAAAAUAUUUUUGAUUUGUUUGUUAGAUGUUUCGGCUUGACCGCUAGUCUGAGGAUGGUAUGGUGUUGCGACGUUGUGUCGAACUCCAUGAUCGGCUAGGUACUUUCGGAAGAUUUUGUCGAUGAAGUGAGAACCUCCAUCGCUUAUAACUAUCCGGGGUAUACCAAAACGAGGAAAGAUUACUUCAUGGAACAUUCUCUUGGCAUGUUUUGAAUCAGCUGAUCGACAAAGUAGGGCUUCUACCCAUUUGGACACGUAGUCCACAGCUACUAAGAUAUACUCGCAAUUCCCGGACAUAGGGAAUGGCCCCUUGAAAUGAAUACCCCAAACAUCGAAAAGUUCUACUUGAAGAUUAUUUGUGAGAGGCAUUUCAUUUCGUGAGUUGAUAUUCCCAUGUUUUUGACAUCGGUGGCAUCUCCUGACAAAGUCCUUUGUAUCUUCAUACAUCGUUGGCCAGAAAAAACCACUUUGCCAAAUUUUAGCAUGUGUCCGGAAUGCUCCGUAGUGUCCUCUAUAUGGUGAGGCAUGGCAUCUUUCCAUAAUUUGAGUAGCCUCGGCCAUAGGAACACACCUUCUCAAGAGUCCAUCCACGCAGACUCGGAAAAGAUAUGGCUCAUCCCAAAGGUGGAAACGAUUAUCGUGAAGCAACUUCCUUUUGUUUGCACCAGGUGGGACAUAGCCUUUUACUAUAAAGUUUACGAUGUCUGCGUACCAUGGAUCUGCAUGUGUUAUCUUAAGUAGGGUGUCAUCCCUUAGGUAGUCAUUUAUGGGAAGCUCAUCAUGUGUUUCCUUAUGUUGAAGCCUGGACAAGUGGUCAGCUACGGAAUUCUCUACUCCCUUCCUAUCUUGGAUUUCUAUGUCAAAGUCUUGGAGUAGAAGAAUCCAUCGAAUUAGACGAGGCUUAGCAUCUUUCUUAGUGAGGAGGUACUUGAGAGCAGCAUGGUCUGAAUAGAUGAUUAUCUUUGCCCCCACUAAGUAAGAUCUAAACUUGUCUAUAGCAAAGACAACAGCCAAAAGCUCUUUUUCAGUUGUAGUGUAAUUGAGCUGUGGUCCAGACAAGGUUUUGCUAGCGUAGGAUAUGGCAUAAUGCUUUUUAUCCUUGGUUUGUCCUAAAACGGCACCAACCGCAAAAUCGCUAGCAUCACACAUGAUCUCAAAAGGAAGAUUCCAAUCAGGUGGUUGAAUGAUUGGGCUGAGAUGAGUGCUUUCUUAAGAGUUUGAAAAGAUUCAUGACACUCAUCACUAAAGAUGAAAGGUGCAUCCUUAGCUAGGAGACUAGUUAGGGGUCUAGCAAUUUGAGAGAAGUUCUUGAUAAAGCGUCUAUAGAACCCUGCAUGUCCCAAAAAGCCACGGAUUCCUUUCACAUUCGUGGGAGGUGGAAGUUUUUCAAUAACUUCAAUCUUUGCUUUGUCCACCUCUAUACCACGUUCGGACACUAUUCCUUCCUGAACCACAAAAUGGCAUUUCUCCCAGUUCAGGAUUAAGUGCUUUUCUUCACAUCGCUGCAAGACUCUAUCUAAAUUCUCCAAACAAUGAUCGAAGGUUUUGCCAUAGACGGUAAAAUCAUCCAUGAAAACCUCCAUGAUCUUCUCAAUCAUGUCCGAAAAAAUAGACAUCAUGCACCGUUGGAAAGAAGCUGGAGCAUUGCACAAUCCGAACGACAUUCGUCGGUAUGCAUAAGUUCCAUACGGGCAUGUAAAGGUAGUCUUUUCUUGGUCAUCUGGGUGGAUUGGGAUUUGGUGAUAUCCAGAAUAACCAUCAAGGAAACAAAAGAAAGAGUGGUUUGCAAGCCGUUCCAACAUUUCAUCAAUGAAGGGUAACGGAAAGUGAUCUUUCUUUGUAGCCUUAUUGACUUUUCGAUAGUCAAUACACAUGCGCCACCCAGUGACAAUUCGUUGAGGGAUGAGUUCAUUCUUCUCAUUCCUAACGACCGUCGUUCCUCCUUUCUUUGGCACUACUUGGACAGGGCUAACCCACUCACUAUGUGGCACAGGAUAAAUAAUCCCAGCACGAUAGAGUUUGAGGACCUCUUUCUUAACAACCUCUCGCAUAGCAUUGUUAAGUCUCCGUUGUGGUUCCCUUGAAGGUGUAGAAUUGGGAUCAAUAGGGAUACGAUGAGUGCAGAGAAUGGGACUAAUGCCCGUGAGAUCCUCGAGAGAGUAGCCAAAAGCUGAUCUAUGUCUUUCAAGAACAGUGACAAGUUGUUGUGUUUCAUAAUCGGAAAGCUUGUCACUGAUAAUUACUGGAGUUUUUGAGUUGUUGUGCAAGAAUACAUAUCUAAGGCCAGAAGGAAGAGGUUUUAAUUCUAUCGAAGGAGGUGAAGGUAGUUCAUAUUUGUCUAGCUCAACGGGUUCUACCAACUCUUCUUCUUCUUGAACAAAGUGUUCAUGAUUAAAGAAUGGUUGGGUCAUCUCCUCUUGAGUCACCAUUAAGACCUCCUCAAUAGGAUCUGGUUUAAGUUUGGGUUCCACUAUCGUGUUAAUUGAUCUAGCAAGAGGAACAACAAUAGUGGAAUUCCCAACCUUGAAGUCUAAAUGACCUCGUUGUGGUUGUUCUUGUAGAAGUUUCAUGACUGGUCUGCCAAUCAAGAGAGGAAUCUCUGGUAUGUAAAAAAUGUGGAAAUCUAGACAUAUUCCAGAGUCCUUGAUUCUAACAGGAACUGCCCUUAAUACCCCAUGGCUUUCUAGAAUUAAUCCAGAUGGACUUUGUAAAAGUUUUUGGGAUGGGGUUAUGGAAUCGUUGGGAUAAAGAGUGUCAGCUAACUCCUUGGAAAUAACAUUUAUCCCAACAUAUGGAUUGUAGUGGUCCUUCCUAGUGGACCUUCUAAUUUGGCAUAGAAGAAUGGUUGAAGGAGUGAUGAUCCGAGCUACCUCAGGAGACAGCUCUGCUUCUGUUAGCCAUUCGUAACUCAGAAUAGCCGAAAGGCUUUUGAUGUGUUCUAUGUCAACAGAUUCUACUCUUAGAAUGGAUUGAGUGGUCCUUGCUAAAGGUCGUGUUUGGAUAGGAAAAUUCGAGGUGUUUCCAUAAUCUUCAAAAAGAUCUUCCUCGAAUUCAAAGGGAUGCUCUAAAGGUGGUGGUUUAUCAUCCCUUAGUUGGUUUUGCAUUCCCUUAUCAGGAGGUUUCUCUACAACCAAAUUAAUAGGUGGGUCAGGUGGAAUUUCUAACUUGGUUGAAUUUCUUACUAGUAUUUGGAAAUAAAUAAAAAAUGCAAAACCAUGAAACCAAACAAAGUUUUUAUUUUUAGUAAUAUACAAUAAUUUUGUGUGAUAUUAAGUUUUAAAUAAAAUAAAAAGAAAGUUUGAUCCAAGUCUAGGUAAUUGACAAACAUGAUAUGAGAAGGUCUGAGCUACUAUUUAACUUGUUCCAAGUUUCGCUAGAGUUCUGGAGAUUUUAUAUUUUGAAAAUCUAAAAAUUCAAAAAAAAUGAGAUCCUGUUUGACAUAAUACCUAGAGUCCUAUAAGAUAUAAAUAUUAAAACUGUGGGCACUUGCUUUGUUCAAGCCAUUGUUAAUUCUUGUAGUUUUGGUUGAGAAAAUUAUCAUGCUCCAAAAAUCAAGAUCUUUUCGUUUUAAAAAUAUAAAAGAUUCACUCUUCCGAAGUAUUAUUACAUUACAGGCAUGGGACUAUGCAAAAAUUUGAUUCGAAAAAAAGGAGUGAGACGAGAGGUAAAAAUGGACAAGUGUCCGAAGUAGAAUUAGGGUUACAAAGAUACCCACCUGAGUGGAAAAAAAUGGACACGUGUCCGACAGUAAAAUUAGGGGUACUUGGUGCCCACUUAAAAAAAUAGAAAGAAAGAAAAAAAUGAUAACCCAUGGUCCCUCUAAUAAGCAAUAUGCCAGUAAGAGAUGACAAACAUUUCAAAAAGGUCAAAGGUCAUGAUCUAGGAGUAUGACAUUCCUCUCCCUUGCUCCGAGCAUUGACAUAGCAAAAUGCAAAAUAAGUAUGCUAAAACUUUUAAAGCUCUACUUAUAUAUCUUUCGAGAAGAAGGCAAAUGAGUCAGUUUUAUUUUGAGAACUUACAAAAAACUCCAGAACAAAGGUAAGACAAAAGAACUUGAGACAUAGUGCUUGACUUGAUCGUUCUGUUUUUCAAUCACUUAAGACCUUAGUGAUAACUUAAAAACCCUGUAGUAAGAGGCAUAAAGUAACCCAUGUUUUCUUGCUGAUUUUAGAUUUGCUCAGGGACGAGCAAAGGUUAAGCUUGGGGGAGCUUGUUGAUGGUCCUUAAUGCUCACAUUUAACCGUCGACUAAUCAUGGAAAAGGACUUAUAUGCAAUCAACACCCAGACUUAGGGUUUUAUCUGACAGAAUUCCAUGAGUUUUGGUGUUUGUCUAUUUCUGCAGGGGGUUAUCAGGAAAUAUGGAGGAAAGGCCCACACGUCGGGUUUACAUAGAGAUAUUAACGUGUGCGGCAAUUUUCUAUCAUCUAUAAGACUCCAGAAGCCACGGGAACGAAGCGGAGGCAGAACGGGGCCUGGCCUAGGGCGCCCGCCCUCCUGUAGUGCCCAAUCAGGGUCAACUUCGCAGAUCAUGCUCCACCGACCUAAGAGAUCGAGGAAAACCGUGCGAUUAAUGUCGGUUUGAUCCAACGGCCCACAUUCAUUUGGAAGUGUAACGACCCAGAAAAUUUUCUUAAAAUACCAGAAUUACCACCUGAAAUUUUGUUCUAAAAAUAACCCUUGUUUGGUGAAUUCAUACUAGGAAAACACCCUGUAGAUGCACAAGUAGAGCCUAUUUAAACUUUGAGCAUAUGCAUAUUUAAUUCAACGCGUGAUUUGGCUUUUAUUGAUUUUAUGUGAUGAGUAAUAAAAUCAAUAACCUUUAUUUAAUUAACUCUUUUCUACAAACCUAGACCCUAGAAGACUUCCCUUUUAGGGCGAACACAUGUGGGCAACUUGUCUAUGCAAAUAGGAAACCAAGGGAAUAGAUAAAAGUUUUAGCAGAAUUAACGAAAGGCCUUAAGUUGGAGCUGGGAAAUGAAACCUGGCUUCUGGCCCAAGCUCGGCUUGCGGCCCAGCACAACCCCGCGCCCGCGCUCGCCGUCGCAGCCCAGCUACCGCGCGCGGCCCAACCCCAGCACCGUGGCCCAGCUCUGCCCACGUCCACGCAAAGCCAGCGGCCCAGCAGCAGCGCCUGGCCCAGCACCGCAGCCCACGCCCGCGCCUGAUCCAGUGGGCGGCCGAGCGGCUGACAGGCGGCCCCCGCCUGUCAUCCCCCACCUUGCUCCCCCUCUCCUCUGCUUUUCCCCGACCCCUCCCUGCCAUGGUGACGCCACCGUGCCCUGCUUUUGACCGGACGCGUUCGAAAUGGAAGGCACCAGGGCACCCGCAACCACUCCCGCACCCCGAACCCUAGCCUCGCGAUCGCAGACGCCCUACAGUGUCCCGAUUGCGUCCUCGCCAUCCGCCGCGAGCCAUGAUCGGAAUGGGCUAUAAAAGCCAAUUCCCCGAACCCUAGUGCUCCCAUCCCCUUCGCCACCACCCCGCGGCUCAGCUGCCACGCGCCGGGCACCGCAAGCAGCAAGGAGAAGCAGGGAGGAGCAGGGGCGACCACGCCGCCCAGGACGCCGGAGCGGAGGAGGCCACGCCGCCGACUUCUUCCUCUUCCCCGCGACGGAUUUCCGGCUCGGCACUGCGAACACCGGCACGGCCCCGACCCCCCCACGACAACGCCAUCCGCCGAGCGCUGCCACUGCUGGUAUGUCGCGUUUCCCGUUCGCCCUCGUCUCCGAGCGCCCGCGCCAUGGCCGCCGUCGACAGCACACCCAAAGCACCACCUUGCGCUCUUCUCGCACACACUUCGCGCACGCCGCACGCCGCACGCACCAGGUUCGAAAGCCAACCCGGCCCUGCUGGUUUGCCACGGAGUCCAGGGCGGAAGCGCUGCGCGCGUUCGCCGCGGACGCGCCCUGGACAGCAGCACGGCGAACCCACCCCAAAAGACCCCCUAAGGCGCCGUUUUUCGCACUUCUCGCACCUGCCUAGUCGCCACACCGCCCGUGCGUGCAGUUAGGCACGUCACGCGCGCCCGAGCCGGCACUGCGCUUACCCCGUUUUAGGCCUAGGAGCAAUGGUAGAGAACCCAGGGACCCGGCCUGCGGGUUCGCCACGCCCGAGAACGCACAGCGCGCGCACACUUAGCUAGAAGAGGGUGCGAAAGAGCUGGAACCGAGGCACGGCCGCGCGCCCGCCAUGGCCGACCCAGCCUCGGCGCAGAGCGCCGUUUCGCCGCUGUCUGUAGGGUGAGAUGGAGAAGAGCGCCAUGCGAAGUCGCGUGGCGGAGAAGGAUUUCGAUGCGCUGCUUAGAGUGGGAGAGCAAGGGGGGAAGGGGGGGUGAAGCACUGGAGCUCCACCGGAGCGUCGCGCAGUUCACCGGCGCCGUGGGAAGGGAAAGCAGGGGAAGAGGGGGGAAGGAAGAGCUCCUGGAUGCGCUCGGUGCACCAUGAACCGCGGAGGGGGGGAAAGGGGAAAUGGCCCGAGUCCACCAACACCCAGGCCACGGUCCACCAGCCCCACGGUGCACCACAGCCAGCCGUGCACCACACCUGCGCCCCGCACCCUGGCCGCUGGGCCGAGCCCAGCGCGAGGCCAAAGCCCAAGAGCACCAGCCCAGCAGCGGACAGGCAGCCGCCACCAGGCCGUCCUGGGCCGUCUCGCCAGGGGCCCGCGACCAGUUUCCCCCCCCUGGCCGCUGAGUUGGGCCAGUUUGAGCCCAAGCCACUGAACCAGCUCCUUUUCCUUUUUCUUUUAUUUUUCCACAACUAUAAUGUGCAUAAAUCAUUUAAAUCCCCAAAUGAUUUCCGAAAAAUGUAAACCAAGAGUCUAAAUUCCUCUAAAAACAAGCUCUACGUCUUAGGCUUAUUUAUGAGUGCAUUUGGUUCUUUCCGUUUUUCUAUUCGAUUUUUGUGAUAUCUAUAGGAGUCGCUUAUCGCGACCAUAUGUCUCGUUUGACAGACCCGGAGGAGCCGACGACUGAGGAGUACGACCCCGACUACACUGAGGAGCUCGAGGACGACUUGCCAGGUGCCACGUCCCACCCAACCUCGUAGAAUCCUACUAGUCAUGCCAUGAAUGUAGAAGCUAGCGCUUUACUUUUAUGCAAUAAUCUGAGAUAGGAUGCAUGGUAGAAAUGCUUGUGAGCCGUUACCCUGUCGCAACCUACUACCCUUGCUUACCCGCAGUUAGGUUAGAAGCUUCCAUUUUACUACUGGUACUCUACUCUGCAUUAUAUCUGUGAUGCGAUGCUUGGUGGACAGUUGUUGGGUUGAUUAAGGCAUGGAAUGCCGAUAUCGGAAUUUGGGGAGAUCUUGGCAUGUGUUUUGGGUGUGUGGUGAGGGUUGAGUCGACCGAGCAGGAAUGUACGACGAGUCUUGGGACGAGUCUUGCCGGGGAAUGCUACCUGGCAUUUCCCAAGAGAGAUGCCUGUUUCGGGCACACGUGACAAGGAGAGGUCCCGGAGUGGAGUGUCUUCGUGGGACGAAGCGCCGGGAUGGGAGGUGCUGUUUAGCACGGGGUGACUGGGUGUUCCGAUGAGCGGGGCAUCAGCCGACCCCACGUGAAGUUGUCCUGUUCGGUCCCCAUAAGGACUCAUGAGUUCUGGGAACCGGUUCGUAGGAAUCCUUACACCCUCACUUGCCUUCAUGGGAGGGGGACGGAUGUACGACCAGCUAGGGCGGUGCCACUACUACUAGGUUGUUAGCGGACAGUGUAGGGAGGUACGGGCAUGGGACCCACACCCUCCUAAGACAGCGUAGUGACCUUGGGGGCCCGGUACUACGUCUCACAGUCUCAGCAUGCCGGUGGUACUCCGGCAUGGCCCCAGUUCUGAGUGGUAGGGUGGCAUCGUGUUUAGUUGGAAGGCAGCCCGGUAUCAGCCUAGACGAUGUACAACGUCGAUGAUGGUGAUCUUGUGGGUGGUGUAAACCUCUACAGAGUUUCUGGUUGAUCGAUCGAUACAUAUGCCGUUCGCGGCUAUGGACCUUUCCUAUGUUUCCGCUUCACUUGACUAGAGAGAGAGUCCUUUCUACCUUCCCCUGGGUUUGUGUUGGAUCCGGCGUUGGCCGCUGAGGCAAGGCACGAGCGGGAGUCGUCCUUGCUGCCUAGAGAGUGAGAGUGUAGUGAGAUGUGUGUGCCGGGAUGGGAGAAUGUGUGUGAAAGGUGUUGGAAUAAAAGUUGACUUAUUAUUAUAAAAUUUGACUUAUUCGCAUAGGAAACUACAGCCAUAUAUUAGGUCUUUUGAUUCAACCCCUUGCAUUCCACCUACCACAAAGCUUCGCAAAAAGCAUAGGGUGGGAGCCAGUGGCCAGUACAAAUCGUACUGAUACUUUGGCAGCAGGUUCUGAGCCUGAGUACGACUACGCGGGCGACGAUUGGGAGGAGUAGGUGUCUCAUCCUGCGCUCAAGUUUGGAGGAUCCGGAGUUCGUGCCUUCGCUAUCUACCCGAUGCUGUUCCGUAUGCUGUGCGUGUGAGUGUGAUUCCGCCAAGUGGCGAUGUAAUAAUGAGUAAACCCCUCUUGUACUCUCUUUUGUUCGUGUAUGACUUGUAUAACAGCUGAAUUUCGGGUAUUUCAAAUUGACUCCUUCGCGCGUUAAUUCGUUUUACAAUUCGAAUCUGGGGAUUUCCCUUCGUGGAAAUCUAGAUCGUUUCAGUUGGUAUCAAAGCCAUACUUGACCCUAGGACGAGACCCAUAGGAUUGGACGACAAAAAUCAGGAGUGAGACUUGUCUUUUCGGCCUAUAUUCGCCGACCUUGCAUCUUUUGUGCAUGGCUUAACCUUACAUCUAUUCGUUCACCACCUAAACCUCACUAAGCUCCUUUCUAACCCCAUUCUUUGGAAAAAUGCAGAGCAACAUGCUAAUCGUUGAGAUGGCUGUGGAUGUCCAGCAGUAUGGUGGUUUUGUGCCCCUGCUGUACGACGUGCUGACUGAGCUUGGAGUCCCCACCGAGCCGAUCCGCUACGUUUGUCGUGGAGAGGCGGGACCGGACAGACAGCUUCAGGGUCACAUUAUGAUCAACCUCACCGUCCCCGCCAGCACGACGCUUCCUGGAGUGGCAGCUUUCCAGGAGUUGGCGAUCGAGACUUCGGUCGCCAACUGCGUCCAGGCUGCGACUCGCCAGGCCCUCCGCCACGUCGUUCAAGACACGUGGGAGCACAUCCAGGGCGGCAGAUUCUGUCUACUUCCUCGUGUCCUGGACCUCACCUACGUCGAGGGAGCCACCGUCCGAGUGUUGGCUGCGGACCAGCUCGCUCAGGAGGAGACAGACCCCUGUCUUCAGUUCUCGGGCCGCUACAUCUUGGCCCAGGAUCGCUACAUCACGGCGGUCGAGACCGAGAACAAGCGCUACCGAGACUUGGUGUUCACAGUCGACCACGUCAUCGAGAUGGAGCAGGUGAAGAAGAGGAUACUGAGGGACGCUAUCCUGACAGAGCGCCACAGCCGUGACCGCCUAGAGGACUUCAGUCGAGCUCGCGAGGUCGCCUUCAGGCAGGAGAUUCAGGAGUGGCAGAACAAGGCCAGGGACUACGAGCUCCGAGGCGACCACUUGGAUGCCAAGGUGCUUGAGCUGGAGGACCGACUUGAGCACCAACGCGUUCUCUUGGGCUCGUUCCGUCAGAGGGAGAAGGAGAAGAUCUUCAGCAAGGUGUGCUUGGAGACCCGCUACGAGCGUAUGUCGCAGGAGAACGAGAUGCUGAGGGUCGAGUCCACCCACAACACUCGUCACCUAGCUGAGCUCAUCAAGACCACAGAGUACUUCAGGGACAAGGCCCAGAGGACCCGUCAGGCUUGGAUCGCUUCUGACAACAAGCGUGUCAAGGAGAUCGCCCGUGUCCAGGAGCCCCUUCCUCCCAAGAUGCGCAAGGAGGCGCGCAAGCACUCUUUCCGUCUUGCACCCACCACCCUCAACCUCACAGCUUGCCCUUCUGAGCACUACCCGGAGGUACCGAGGACCAUACAGCUCAAGGCCGCGGAGGAGUACGACGGCCGACUUCACCGCACUGACGCCGAGCUCGAGGCUAUGGAUAGGGACUCUGAGGAGCAGCUCCCUAGCUCUCACCCCACCACACCACCUUACGUCCCUACCUAGUAGAGUAGAGUAGUCGUCCUGAUGAUGUGCCCUGCGUGGCGAAUAAUGUGACAUGUAACUCACUACCUGUAGUAGAGCGGAAUGUCCUGUUCUUUUGGAGCCUACCUGCGUGUAGAGCGAUUCCCGCGAGCCCUCUGGUGUAGUUGCCCAAGGCAUCGCUGUGUAAUGAACUCAUGUAAUGAAUGUUUGGGUCUUAAUGGAUUUUAUCGAUGUUAUUGCUUCUUUGUAUGAGUGUUGGAUAGAAUGUUUUAUGAAUUAAAUUGCCUAAUUAUCUAAACACUGUAUUAACACAUUAAAUCAUGACCUAAUCCAUGCAGAGAGAUGGCGUGCCGUCGUUCUGAACGCCUCAACGUUCGUUCCCCUUCACCCGAGCUGGAGUACCGCGGUCGUGGACGUGGGCGUGGUCGAGGAGCUGCCUCUCCUGCCCCCAGACUCGAGCGGGAGGGGGAGGAGCCCGCCCUAGGAGAGCCUGCCCUAGAGGAGCCCCACAGGAGAGCUAGGUCCCCUCAGCUCGGGGACAAUGAUGCACCACCACCGCCGCCACAGUCUCUGUCUGAGGUGAUGGAUCGCCAGACCCGCCUUCUGGAGGCACUGGCGGAUGGCAUACUGCGUCGUCCUGGAGGAGGUCCGCCCAGUGACUUCCAGAGGAAGCUAGAAGGCUUCCUCAAGCUGAGGCCUCCUACGUUUGACUGCGCUGAUGAUGAUCCCAUUGCCGCCGAGGACUGGCUGCGUGAGAUCGAGAAGAAGCUGGACCUCACCACUUGCACUGAUGAGGAGUGUGUGGGAGUCGCCACUCACCAGCUCACUGGUGCUGCACGCGCAUGGUGGGACAGCUACAGUGACACCCAUGAGAACCCCGGGGGCAUAACCUGGGCCGAGUUCACUGAGGCGUUCCAUGAGCAGCAUGUACCUAAGGGUGUCAUGGACACCAAGGUGGAGGAGUUCCGCAACAUCUCCCAGGGCACUCAGAAGGUACAGGAGUAUGCCACUCGGUUCACCCGCACCAUGAGGUAUGCUCCAGAUGAGUCCAACACCGAGAAGAAGAAGAUGUACUUCUUCAAGAAGGGUCUGAGUACGCGCCUCAAGGUGGCCCUCUCGGGUCACACCUGCUACACCCUCCGGGAGAUGAUCAACAAGGCCCUAGAGAUGGAGAGGGACCGCCUGGAGGCCGAUGCUUAGUACAAGGAGAAGAAGCGCCGGUCCAAGAGUUCUUCUCGUGGCCCGGCACCCUAGAGGCCACGUGCUCACGUGCCCGCUCCGUCGCGCCCCCGCUCUGCUCAGGGCGCUGCACCGGCUCCGAGUCGAGGAGGUGGUACCCACACCGCCAACUACCACCGCCCCACACAGUGCCGCCCCGUGCAGAGUACCAGCACGUGGAAGGCCACUGCACCCACCUCCACAGGCAGUGUGCCUUUCGCUUGCUUCAACUGUGGUCAGCCAGGCCACAACGCGGCCUACUGCCCUGCGAAGGCUGCGCCACCACCUGCCCCGGCUGCGACCAGGCAGGCAGCUGCUCAGGGCACACUCCGCAAGCCAGCUGUGGGAGCCACCCGCGGCCAUCUCACACACCUGACAGCACAGGACGCUCAGGACGCCCCCGACGCGGUGUACGGUAUGUUUUUGGUACAGGGAGUUAUGGCAUCAGUUCUAUUUGACUCUGGUGCAACUUGCUCAUAUGUAUCCUCUAGAUUUGCACGAGAGCACAACGUACCCGUGUCACCACGGAAGGUACCUAUAGACACCAUAUCUCCUUUAGGCAACCUCAGAUGCACCCAAAAAUGUCAGGGAGUGAGUAUCACCAUUGAGGGUUACCCUUUUCUAGCCGACCUCACCUUACUUUCGUCAGAUGGACUGGAUGUCAUCUUGGGAAUGGAUUGGCUGACCCAACACAAGGGAGUGAUAUCUUGUUCACCGAGGUAUGUGGAGAUAACGCACCCGAGUGGUCGUGUGCUUCGAUGUGAGCCUAGCCAUGAGAAGAAGGCGCCCAUGAUAUGCGCCUUAGAAUCCAAGUCAGUUGAGGAGGUGCCUGUAGUGAGUGAGUACCCUGACGUGUUUCCAGAGGAGUUGCCGGGUAUGCCGCCUGACAGAGAUGUGGAGUUCGUGAUCGACCUUCUGCCGGGUACGGGUCCCAUUGCUAAGAGGCCCUACCGCAUGUCAGUCGAUGAGCUGGAAGAGCUCAAGAAGCAACUCAAGGAGUUGGCAGAUAAGGGGUACAUUAGACCCAGUGCUUCACCAUGGGGUUCCCCUGUCUUGUUCGUAAAGAAGAAGGAUGGCUCUAUGAGGAUGUGUAUUGACUACCGGAACUUAAAUGCCGUGACUGUCAAGAACAAGUACCCUCUCCCAAGGAUCGAUAACCUAUUAGAUCAGCUGAAGGAUGCCAAGUUCUUCUCAAAAAUCGAUCUCCGAUCCGGGUACCAUCAGAUGAAGAUCAGACCGGAGGAUAUACCUAAGACGACCUUUGUCACAAGGUAUGGGCAAUAUGAGUUCACUGUUGUGUCCUUCGGACUCACGAAUGCGUCGGCUUACUUCAUGAAUAUGAUGAACAAGGUGUUCAUGGAAGAACUGGACAAGUUCGUUGUGGUGUUCAUUGAUGAUAUUCUUGUCUAUUCAGCCUCUGCCGAAGAACACGAGCAGCACUUGAGAGUAGUUCUGGAGAAGUUGAGGCAGAACUAACUCUAUGCCAAGUUCAGUAAGUGCGAGUUCUGGCUUGGUCAUGUUCUCAUAGCUGAGGGAGUUGCAGUUGACCCAGCCAAAAUAGAAGCCGUGAAAGAAUGGGAGCAACCCCGUAACGCGACUGAUAUCCGCAGUUUUCUAGGUUUGGCCGGGUACUAUCGCCGAUUCAUUGAGAAUUUCUCUAAGAUCGCCAAACCAGUGACCAACCUCCUCAAGAAGACCAAUGAGUUUGAGUGGACACCUGAGUGUGAACAGAGCUUCGAGACCUUGAAACAGAAGCUUACCACCACCCCUGUGCUAGCCUUGCCUGACAUUCAGAAAGACUUCGUAGUCUACUGUGAUGCUUCGAGACAGGGACUCGGAUGUGUUCUGAUGCAAAGUGGGAAAGUCAUAGCAUAUGCGUCGCGACAGCUGAAAGAUCAUGAGCAACGCUAUCCCACCCAUGACCUUGAGCUAGCGGCUGUAGUGCACGCCUUAAAAAUCUGGAGACACUACCUGAUCGGUAACAAGUGUGACAUAUACACUGAUCACAAGAGCUUGAAGUACUUUUUCAACCAAGAGGAUCUGAACAUGAGGCAACGUAGGUGGUUAGAACUCAUAAAGGAUUACAACUUUGAGAUUCACUACCAUCCAGGAAAGGCAAAUGUAGUUGCCGAUGCCCUGAGCCGCAAGAGCUGCUGUCACAGUUUGUCCAUGGAAGCCAUACCACCAGAGUUAUGCCAGGAGAUGGGAGACCUACAGCUUGAGAUCGUACCCAAGGGUUUGCUCAGUGAGUUGCGGAUACAAUAUGACCUAGAAGAUCGAAUCCGCAGAGCCCAGCGGGACUGUCCUGAGAUCCAAGAGGUCCACGAACGCAUGGAAGGCGGAAAGUGCCCCGAGUUCCGAGUUGAUGAAAAAGGGACAUAUUGGAGCAAAAAUAGAAUCUGUGUACCUAGUGACGAGCCCUUGCGUGAAGAGAUCUCGUCGGAGGCACAUGACUCCAAGUAUUGUAUACACCCUGGUAGCACCAAGAUGUACGCUGACCUGAAGAAGGUUUUCUGGUGGAAAGAUAUGAGAAAAGACAUCGCUGGGCAUGUCGCUCGGUGUGACACUUGCAAUAGGGUCAAGGCAGAGCACCAGAGACCAGCUGGGUUAUUAAAACCACUAGAUGUACCAGAGUGGAAAUGGGAAGGCAUAUCCAUGGACUUUAUCGUGGGUUUACCCCGAUCCCCGAAAGGCCACGACUCAAUCUGGGUGAUAGUUGACCGACUGACCAAGGUAGCACAUUUCAUACCAGUCAAGACAGUCUAUCGUACCGAGCAACUGGCAGAUCUAUAUGUGGACCACAUUCUUAGACUCCAUGGCGCACCUACCGGCAUCAUAUCAGACCGAGGGCCACAAUGGGUAUCCAGAUUCUGGCAGAGUCUGCACAAGGCCAUUGGCACCCGUCUAGACUACAGCACCGCAUACCACCCGCAGACUGAUGGGCAGACUGAGAGAGUGAAUCAGAUGCUUGAGGACAUGCUCAGAGCUUGUGUACUGAAGUAUGGGUCAGAUUGGGAGAAGAGUUUGUCUCAUGCAGAGUUCUCCUACAACAACAGUUAUCAGGCCAGCAUCCAGAUGUCACCUUUCGAAGCCCUAUACGGAAGAAAAUGUAGAACCCCGCUGAUGUGGUCACAGGUGGGGGAGAGAGCGUUCUUUGGCCCUGAUAAGAUUAAAGAGGCCGAAGAAGGAGUCGCCCAGGUGCGAGAGAACUUGAGGAUCGCUCAAAGUCGACAGAAAAGUUACACUGACAACAGACGGAGAGAUUUGGAGUUCUAUGUCGGAGACUACGUUUACCUCAAGGUCUCACCACUCCGCGGCACCUUUAGAUUCCAUGUGAAAGGGAAGUUGGCACCACGGUUCGUGGGUCCCUACCAAAUCAGCAAGAGAAUUGGGAAGUUGGCUUACAGGUUGGAACUACCCAAAGAAAUGUCGGGAGUGCACCCGGUCUUCCAUGUCUCCCAGUUGCGUAAGUGUCUAAAAUUGCCCGAGGAAGAGGUACCUAUCGAGACACUGGACUUACAGGAGACCCUAGAGUAUCGGGAGUACCCAGUCAAGAUUCUGGACAGAGCCACUAAGGAAACUAAGAGCUCUACCAUUCCCAUGUGCAAGGUUCUGUGGAGCAACCACACAGAAAGAGAAGCCACUUGGGAGAAAGAGUCUGAGCUGCAGAUACGGUACCCCUACCUCUUCGAAAGGUACGUCACACCUUAAAUCUCGGGACGAGAUUCCAAUGAGGGGGAAGGACUGUAACGACCCAGAAAAUUUUCUUAAAAUACUAGAAUUACCACCUGAAAAUUUUUUCUAAAAAUAACCCUUGUUUGGCGAAUUCAUACUAGGAAAACACCCUAUAGAUGCACAAGUAGAGCCUAUUUAAACUUUGAGCAUAUGCAUAUUUAAUUCAACGCGUGAUUUGGCUUUUAUUGAUUUUAUGUGAUGAGUAAUAAAAUCAAUAACCUUUAUUUAAUUAACUCUUUUCUACAAACCUAGACCCUAGAAGACUUCCCUUUUAGGGCGAACACAUGUGGGCAACUUGUCUAUGCAAAUAGGAAACCAAGGGAAUAGAUAAAACUUUUAGCAGAAUUAACGAAAGGCCUUAAGUUGGAGCUGGGAAAUGAAACCUGCCUUCUGGCCCAAGCUCGGCUUGCGGCCCAGCACAACCCCGCGCCCACGCUCGGCGUCGCAGCCCAGCUACCGUGCGUGGCCCAACCCCAGCACCGCGGCCCAGCUCUGCCCGCGUCCACGCAAAGCCGGCGGCCCAGCAGCAGCGCCUGGCCCAGCACCGCAGCCCACGCCCGCGCCUAAUCCAGUGGGCGGCCGAGCGGCUGACAGGCGGCCCCCGCCUAUCAUCCCCCACCUUGCUCCCCCUCUCCUCUACUUUUCCCCGACCCCUCCCUGCCAUGGUGACGCCACCCGUGCCCUGCUUUUGACCGGACGCGUUCGAAAUGGAAGGCACCAGGGCACCCGCAACCACUCCCGCACCCCGAACCCUAGCCUCGCGAUCGCAGACGCCCUACACGUGUCCCGAUUGUGUCCUCGCCGUCCGCCGCGAGCCAUGAUCGGAAUGGGCUAUAAAAGCCAAUUCCCCGAACCCUAGCGCUCCCAUCCCCUUCGCCACCACCCCGCGGCUCAGCUGCCACGCGCCGGGCACCGCAAGCAGCAAGGAGAAGCAGGGAGGAGCAGGGGCGACCACGCCGCCCAGGACGCCGGAGCGGAGGAGGCCACGCCGCCGACUUCUUCCUCUUCCCCGCGACGGAUUUCCGGCUCGGCACUGCGAACACCGGCACGGCCCCGACCCCCCCACGACAACGCCAUCCGCCGAGCGCUGCCACUGCUGGUAUGUCGCGUUUCCCGUUCGCCCUCGUCUCCGAGCGCCCGCGCCAUGGCCGCCGUCGACAGCACACCCAAAGCACCACCUUGCGCUCUUCUCGCACACACUUCGCGCACGCCGCACGCCGCACGCACCAGGUUCGAAAGCCAACCCGGCCCUGCUGGUUCGCCACGGAGUCCAGGGCGGAAGCGCUGCGCGCGUUCGCCGCGGACGCGCCCUGGACAGCAGCACGGCGAACCCACCCCAAAAGACCCCCCAAGGCGCCGUUUUUCGCACUUCUCGCACCCGCCUGGUCGCCACACCACUCGUGCGCGCAGUUAGGCACGUCGCGCGCGCCCGAGCGGGCACGCUCGCGCCGCGGACGCUGUGAGUACGAGCACCUACUGCGCUUACCCUGUUUUAGGCCUAGGAGCAAUGGUAGAGAACCCAGGGACCCGGCCUGCGGGUUCGCCACGCGCGGGAACGCACGGCGCGCGCACACUUAGCUAGAAGAGGGCGCGAAAGAGCUGGAACCGAGGCACGGCCGCGCGCCCGCCAUGGCCGACCCCGCCUCGGCGCAGAGCGCCAUUUCGCCGCUGUCUGUAGGGUGAGAUGGAGAAGAGCGCCACGCAAAGUCGCGCGGCGGAGAAGGAUUUCGAUGCGCUGCUUAGAGUGGGAGAGCAAGGGGGGAAGGGGGGUGAAGCACCGGAGCUCCACCGGAGCGUCGCGCAGUCCACCGGCACCGUGGGAAGGGAAAGCAGGGGAAGAGGGGGGAAGGAAGAGCCCCUGGAUGCGCUCGGUGCACCAAGAACCGCAGAGGGGGGGAAAGGGGAAAUGGCCCGAGUCCACCAACACCCAGGCCACGGUCCACCAGCCCCACGGUGCACCACAGCCGGCCGUGCACCACACCUGCGCCCCGCACCCUGGCCGCUGGGCCGAGCCCAGCGCGAGGCCAAAGCCUAAGAGCACCAGCCCAGCAGCGGACAGGCAGCCGCCACCAGGCCGUCCUGGGCCGUCUCGCCACGGGCCCGCGACCAGUUUCCCCCCCUGGCCGCUGAGUUGGGCCAGUUUGAGCCCAAGCCACUGAACCAGCUCCUUUUCCUUUUUCUUUUCUUUUUACACAACUAUAAUGUGCAUAAAUCAUUUAAAUCCCCAAAUGAUUUCCAAAAAAUAUAAACCAAGAGUCUAAAUUCCUCUAAAAACAAGCUCUACGUCUUAGGCUUAUUUAUGAGUGCAUUUGGUUCUUUCCGUUUUUCUAUUCGAUUUUUGUGAUAUCUAUAGGAGUCGCUUAUCGCGAUCAUAUGUCUCGUUUGACAGACCCAGAGGAGCCGACGACUGAGGAGUACGACCCCGACUACACUGAGGAGCUCGGGGACGACUUGCCAGGUGCCACGUCCCACCCAACCUCGUAGAAUCCUACUAGUCAUGCCAUGAAUGUAGAAGCUAGCGCUUUACUUUUAUGCAAUAAUCUGAGAUAGGAUGCAUGGUAGAAAUGCUUGUGAGCCGUUACCUUGUCGCAACCUACUACCCUUGCUUACCCGCAGUUAGGUUAGAAGCUUGCAUUUUACUACUGGUACUCUACUCUGCAUUAUAUCUGUGAUGUGAUGCUUGGUGGACAGUUGUUGGGUUGAUUAAGGCAUGGAAUGCCGAUAUCAGAAUUUGGGGAGAUCUUGGCGUGUGUUUUGGGUGUGUGGUGAGGGUUGAGUCGAUCGAGCAGGAAUGUACGACGAGUCUUGGGACGAGUCUUGCCGGGCAAUGCUACCUAGGCGUUUCCCAAGAGAGAUGCCUGUGGCGGGCACACGUGACAGGGAGAGGUCCCGGAGUGGAGUGUCUUCGUGGGACGAAGCACCGGGAUGGGAGGUGCUGGUUAGCACGGGGUGACUGGGUGUUCCGAUGAGCGGGGCAUCAGCCGACCCCACGUGAAGUUGUCCUGUUCGGUCCCCCUAAGGACUCAUGAGUUCUGGGAACCGGUUCGUAGGAAUCCUUACACCCUCACUCGCCUUCAUGGUAGGGGGACAGAUGUACGACCAGCUAGGGCAGUGCCACUACUACUAGGUUGUUAGCGGACAGUGUAGGGAGGUACUAGCAUGGGACCCACACCCUCCUAAGAUAGCGUAGUGACCUUGGGGGCCCGGUACUACGUCUCACAGUCUCAGCAUGCCGGUGGUACUCCGGCAUGGCCCCAGUUCUGAGUGGUAGGGUGGCAUCGUGUUUAGUUGGAAGGCAGCCCGGUAUCAGCCUAGACGAUGUACAGCGUCGAUGAUGGUGAUCUUGUGGGUGGUGUAAACCUCUGCAGAGUUUCUGGUUGAUCGAUCGAUACAUAUGCCGUUCGCGGCUAUGGACCUUUCCUAUGUUUCCGCUUCACUUGACUAGACAGAGAGUCCUUUCUACCUUCCCCUAGGUUUGUGUUGGAUCCGGCGUUGGCCGCUGAGGCAAGGCACGAGCGGGAGUCGUCCUUGCCGCCUAGAGAGUGAGUGUGGUGAGAUGUGUGUGCCGGGAUGGGAGAAUGUGUGUGAAAGGUGUUGGAAUAAAAGUUGACUUAUUAUUAUAAAAUUUGACUUAUUCGCAUAGGAAACUACAGCCACAUAUUAGGUCUUUUGAUUCAACCCCUUGCAUUCCACCUACCACAAAGCUUCGCAAAAAGCAUAGGGUGGGAGCCAGUGGCCAGUACAAAUCGUACUGAUACUUUGGCAGCAGGUUCUGAGCCUGAGUACGACUACGCGGGCGACGAUUGGGAGGAGUAGGUGUCUCAUCCUGCGCUCAAGUUUGGAGGAUCCGGAGUUCGCGCCUUCGCUAUCUACCCGAUGCUGUUCCGUAUGCUGUGUGUGUGAGUGUGAUUCCGCCAAGUGGCGAUGUAAUAAUGAGUAAACCCCUCUUGUACUCUCUUUUGUUCGUGUAUGACUUGUAUAACAGCUGAAAUUCGGGUAUUUCGAAUUGACUCCUUCGCGCGUUAAUUCGUUUUACAAUUCGAAUCUGGGGAUUUGCCUUCGUGGAAAUCUAGAUCGUUUCAGGAAGGACUAUAUAAGCAGACCCCCUGGCCCCUGGAGAACAUACCUCUUCUACAGAAUCAAAGCUAGGGUUUCAAUUAUUCAUCCAAGUAGAGAGGAUCCCUCUAGUUCAUCUAGUUCUAGUUCUAGUUCAUCUAGUUCUAGUUCUAGUUAGUUCUAGUUGUAAUCUAGAAAAUAGGGAGAGAGAAGAGGAGAGCGGAGGAGGAGCCGGAUCUGUCGGAUCUUCCUCAACAUUGUACUUUUGCAGCAACUGGUUCGUUCUUCAUCGUUCUCCAUGUUCUUCAAUUCAUAAUUCCUGAGUUCUUUAAUUACUUUUAUUUACAUUCAAGUAAUUUAUUGGAUUCUCGCUUGCAUCAAGUGCUCUAGUCUUUAUAAUGCUAGAGUAGUAAUAAAUAGAUUAGACGUGGUGUUUAGUCUUGCAAUUACCUGGAAUUGCACCCAAUCCUGUGGAUUGUUGUGGUAGCCCUAGGGUAGUGACAGCCCUAACGGUCGACGUAUUCCACCUCGUUCGGAUCGGUGUUUGUAGGACCGUAGUCAGAGCUUCCUAGCCCCCUUCUCAUCUCUUUCUGUGGUUAGUGUUCUGAUGUCCCAAAAUAAAUAAUCUUUGAAGUAAUUCUUGAUUCUUAGAUCAACUAGAGAACUCUCAGGAAACUUCCUCUCUUCCCACCAAAAAUAAUUAUAUAGUUAUCCUUGGGCGAUCUUGAAUCUUAAUUAGUACACUCACGUUCCCUAUGAAAAAUCGAUACUCUAGAAUACUCCUGGGUGAAAGCUACAUCGGUAUCCGUGUGCUUGCAGAUUUUUCUAUUUGCGUUUAAAAUACCCAACAAUGAGAAGGCACACAUCACUUUGGGCACACCAUUCUUGUGCAGAACAAAAGCCAUCAUCUAUGCAGAGUACGCCAAGAUUAUCCUAUCCAUCAAGGACAAGAAAGAGAGAUUCACAUUCAAGAACCAUGUCCUAAAAGCUCAUGCAGCCCUGAUGCAAUUCCAUCAAUAAAAAGAGCAAGAAUAGCAACCAAUGCCAAAGACGAAGAACAAUAGAAACAACAGAAGAUGGAGGAGGACCAAGCAUGCACCUACAGAGACAACUCAAUUGAUCACCGCUCUCAACAUAGAGAAUGAUCAUAUGCUACUCAAGCCAUUUCUAGUCAAGAGAGGUGAUCCAGGAGUUCCAAUCAUUGAAUGCACAAUCAAAGACACCACCUUCGCUCACACCAUCCGUGACACUGGAUCAGGCUGCAACAUAAUGUAAAAAUAAGUAUACGAUGAGUUAUUUGAUUUACCUUUAUACCCAACAUGUAUUUAGUUGCAGAUGGCGGAUCAAUCACUAAGGUUCCCAGAAGGACUAGUCAAGGAUGUCAUGGUAAGAAUUCAAGGACAAUAUAUACCUGUAGAUUUUCUAGUUCUUGACAUCCAGGGAGACGAUGAUUCUUGUCGAUGAAAGCUGGUCGGCAGUCUACCUUGGGGUAUACCCAUGGUAGUAGUUUAUCGGUAGACGGUGCGCAAACUAUGAACUCGAUGGUGACGCAAGACACAGGCAAGCUUUUUAUCCAGGUUCGGCCGCCGAGUUGGCAUAAUACCUACGUCCUGCGUCUGAUUGUAUUGAUUUGUGUUGAGACAAUAUGAUGUCCUAGGGGGGUCCCUUGCCUCUCCUUAUAUAGUCCGGAGGGCAGGGUUACAGAUCUGGAAACUAAUCCUUGUCGGUUACAAUUGCCAUAGAUAGCUCGAUAUCAAUUCCUAUUCUAACCGACUAGAAUCCUGCUUGAUCUCCACGCCUUGUUUCCUUGCGCAAAACUCCAAGCUGUCGGAUCAAGCCUUGAACUUGUCUCGUAAUGGGCCAAGCCUCCUGGCCCAAGUCUGGCCGUAAGGGUAUAGGGGUUUAUACCCCCACAGCUAGUCCCCGAGCACCAUGUAUUGUGAAGUAACACGCCAUCUUGAGCUUCUUUGACCAAUGAAAUUUUGACAUCUUGAAUCAGCAUGAAAAUUGCCCAAUCAAUUGCGACGGUAUUUUGACCAAAUCUAAACACAUUUGAUCAACAUUGACAUCGAAGAAGCCAAUUGUUUGAAGAAUGCAUGGAGCUCUUGAGAAAAAAUAUUUCUUUUCCGGUGAAGUGUGCCCACUUUACUUUUGUGAGAAGUACGAAUCCUUAAAAAAGCAAACAUAUUCACCGCAAGGUGAAGUGUGCCCACUUAGUCCCCGAGCCUGGUAGUAGGUGACAUAGGCACGUGGUGCCAGGGUCAAAAGAAAAUUCCCCAAAGUAGUUUUGAAACUGAGAUGCAUCGCCAGAUGCAUCGUACCGAUGUAGUCCCCGAGCUUGCUGGAAGGCGAAGUAUGAACCUUGUAGUAAGGUCUAAAAAAUUAAAAUUAUCCAAUCCCCGAGCAUCUCAUGCUCAUUUACCAUUGAAUAGACUUAUCAAUUUGACGAGCUGGUCAACCAGUCCCCGGGUGUACCAUGCUCGGAGAUCGAUACAACCUGCUUAUUCCCGAACUAAUAGGCUAGGCGACCAAUCCCCGAGCAUCAAGCGCUUGGUGGUCGGUAUGGUCGCAACAAAUUUGACGACCAGUCCCCGAGCAUCAGGUGCUCGGUGGUCGGUGCAGCCGCAACGAAUUUGACGACCAGUCCCCGAGCAUCAGGUGCUCGGUGGUCGGUGCAUUCCUUGAAGUUCCGAGUUGAUAGGCUGGGCGACCAGUCCCCGAGCAUCAAGUGUUCGGUGGUCGGUGCAGUCCUCAAAAUUCCGAGUUGAUAGACUGGGCGACCAGUCCUCGAGCAUCAAGUGCUCGGUGGUCGGUGCAGUCCUCGGAUUGUUGACUGUCUACCAUUUUUUGUCUGCUUGUUUUGAAAAAUCUUACCACAUAAAAGUUGACGUGACGAGUCCUCCUGACGGGAUGUCAGAUGGCAGCAUGAAAAGUUGCGCCUGGCAACUGUGCAGCCGCCCUUUGCGUGGUUUGAGAAAAGGAAACCAUCAAUAUGUACGAAAACCCCGCCGCAUUAAUUGUCGAUAAUGAUGGAAAACCGAAGCGCCACGUCCGCCGUAUGGCCCGCCCACUUCCCAAGAAUGCGGGAAGUGGGAGGGGUGGAGUUGCGGCUUAUAAAAUCAUAACAUUAACCCCGCAUUGCUUACCCUGCCAUUGCCUUCAAGCUUUCUGCUCUUGCCUCCUUCAAUCACCUACACCUUCCUAACUCAAAGUCGCUCCCACACCUCCAAUGGCGAAGAGCGACUCUAAGAAGAGGGCCGAGCUGAUGGCCAAGGAGUGGAAGAAGUCCCGCAGCACCACAAAGUCUCUCGGUGACCUCGUCGAUAUGGGGCUUGUGCACGGCCCGGAGCUCGGCGGCUGGAGAGCGCCGGAAGGAGAGAGCUUCCCCGACCCCCAUGCCGGUGAGAUCGUAGUGUUCGAAGACUUCGUUAAGAGGGGUUUUGGGGUUACUGUUCAUCCCUUUCUUCAGGGUCUUCUUUUGUAUUAUGAGAUCGGGAUUUGCAAUCUGCACCCGAACUCAAUCCUUCUUAUUUCCACUUUUAUCCAUUUGUGCGAGGCCUAUGUUGGCAUAGAACCGCACUUCAAUCUCUUUCGCUAUCUUUUUUGCUUAAGAAAGAAGGGAGCGGUUGGAGGCUCCAAGGUUGCAGGUGGAGUAUACCUCAACCUUCGUGACGGGAUGAAGAACCGUUAUCUGCAUUGUCCAUGGAACACUUCCCUGACUGAAUGGUACAAGAAGUGGUUCUACAUCAGGGAAGAACCGGGCAGCUCCACGUUCUGCGACGUGGGGUACAUCCCCGAGAAGUGGUUAAGCUGGACUGAUCGCCCGGAGUUCGACGGUCAAGUGGCAGAUCUGAUGAAACUGAUCGACUAGUCGCGCUUGGACGGGCUAGGCGUGGUCGGCAACUUUGUGUGCCGUCGGGUGAUGCCCUGCCAGAAGAGGGUGCACUCAGCGUACGAGUAUGCCGGAAGCGUGGACCCGACCAGGAUGCGUCCUGAGGUCUUGGAGAAAUCAGAGGUGCAGCAACUGUUGAACGAGCUGUUCAACUUUGCGGAUGGAGGCUUCGUCCGUGGUAGUGAUCGGGUGCAAGCCUUCAAGUUGGGGCGACCAGCACCUAAGGUAUGUCACUGAUUGUUUCGCUUUAGCAUCCGUUAUUGUCUGUGGCUGACUUAUCUUUGCUAUUUUUGCAGAUUGGAGAUGUUGACCGGUGCACGGUGUACGUGUCACUGGCACCUGGAAUGGAGAAUCCUACGGGAGAAGAUCCGUCGGAGGAAGACGCUGCUCGGUGUACUCGUUACACCAGCAGUGAGGAGGACCAGCCCCGACCCGUCCCGACCACCGAGGAGAGAGUGGCGGGGAAAAGGCCAAUGGCGACGGAUCCUUCGCCUGCGCCGACGCUGCCAGCGGAGACCAGCCAAGCGCCGAAGCGUCGUCGGCUCGUCCGGAUCACUGACGACGAUGACGAGGAGGAGGCCGCACCGUCGCUAGUCCGACGACCUCGUAGCCGCCCGGACAGUGCGCCAGCCACUACUGAUCGGGCGGCCAGCGACCCUCCUGUUCCGCGAGUUGUCGAGACGGGGGCGCAGGUGCCGACCGGCCGGGCAAGGAGGAGGUUCACCGCGACUCACCGUCGAUCAGACCUGUAAGUGCUCGACUUACGUAUUUUGGCGUUUUUUUUAAGAUAGUACUUUGUUGUUUUAGCGCGGCGUCGGAUGUCAACCCCGACCACGUCGCCGGCCAGGGGGUAGUCGAGCCUGCUUGUGCUGCUCAGGACGCGACGCCGCACAAUGUGGAGCAGCCUACGGCUGCAGCCGUGCCUGAGAGCACCGAGGAGCUCCCGGCCGCCGCACAGCCUACGGCGAGCAGCCCGACAAGGGUCGAGGAGGCUACAGGGAUGCCUCCCCCGAGUAACACCUCAGAAGAGGAGGGCAGAGCCCCGACCCCUCCCCCUGUCGAAGGGAGGGAGGUCCCCAUGCCGCCCCGAGCAGGAACCACUUCGACUGCAGGCUCCCCGGGCCUGGUCCGGGGGCCGGUAAUGCCUGCGACCACCACCGGGGGCGAUGCAGCGGGCGAGGAAACCUUGGCGGCCUCCGACGACGAGGUGGAGGAGAUAGAAGGUCGUCCCCAUGAUGGCCGCCAACACGUAUAUGUGUGGCGCCAACGCGGGGAUCACUUUAUCGGGCACGAGGAGCUUGCCGAGACAGAAGAGGCCGCCAGAGUGGAGCGCGCAGCCAAACGUCUCGUGGACGAAGUCAAGGUAAGUGAUUCUUUGUACUGCUGGACAUUUUGUGCAUUGUCUUGCUUGGUCGACAUAAAUUCGUUUUGUAGGGCGCAAUGAAAACGGCGAAGUACCGGAAACGGUGCUUCGACCAAAUAGAAGGCAUCGUGGCAGAGAACAAGGCCCUGGCCGCGAAGGUGGACCGGCUUCGGUCGGAAGUUGGGGAGAAAGUAUCCGAGAUGAGCGCUCAGGAAGAGCACCGUCUCGAGCUUACCCGACGCUUGGCCGGUCAGUUUCGGCAGCGAGAAGGUUGGUCUGGCACUCCGAGUCAGCUGUUUGUAGCCGCGUUGGUUGAUUUUGCUGACCAGAGGGGUAUUCAUGUAGGUUUGGAGGAGGAGGUCGCGCGCCUUCAGCAGGAGAAAGAGCAGCUCAGCCAAGAGCUUGCCGGGGCGCUGGAGGCCGGACGCCGAGCAGGGGAGGAGCUGAGCCGGAAGGACCGGGAGUUGUCUGGUAAUACGCGCCGCCCCGUUAUCUGCCGCCUAUUGCUCGUUUUGAUAUGUUGAAAAUAAUAUCUUGCUUGAUUUGCAGUGCUCAAGGUGAACGCCAAGAAGCACCUGGAUGAGCUGGUCAAGGACCAGGACUCUUGGAAGGCAAUUGUUGUAAGAUCUGGAAAGGAGUAUCCCCGGUCCUGGACUUGAUCAGCCCCGAGCUCCCGGAGAGCCAGCCCCGUGCGCCGAAAUUGACGCCAGUUGAAAAGGCACAACGGGCGUGGGACUGGCUUCAGCAGUUCGUGAAGGACGCCGGGGAGUUUGCUGGCGCGCAUAUCUUUAGCAUGGUGUGUGCCCACUACCCCCUGGUCGACUUGACCAGGCUGGAGAAGGGGUAUCCCAAGGAAGUCGGCCCGCAGGAGGCGGACGAGCUUCGGGGUGGUCUGCUGGACUUGUCGUCGUCGGUGAUCGGCGACAUCAAUCUAUGCGGAACGGCCACUCCCCCCGACCAGCCGGGUUAAGACAGGUCGGCCAGGGAGCUAUCGGGCGCAUCUAUUGCGGGAGAUAGGCGGUCGACGCCUGCGGUCUCGACCAGACAGGCGCCGGUGGCCCCGACCCCUUUGUCCGGGCAGCAAGGCCAGGCGGGUGAUCAGCCCGAGCAAUAGGCCAGUAGGAUAGUCUGUAGGAGUAGACUAGUGUCCGCCCGUGGGGGUAUUUAUUGUAAACUUUGUAUGUAAAGUUUGUAAUAAAGUUUGCUUUUGUCAUGACUGCUAUUUUGAGCGCUGUACAAUUAUCUGAGUGACGUGCCACUGUAUUUGAUUUCGUAGUUGCUAAGAGUUUUCCGCCGCAGACGACUUUCCGAGUUCUGCGUGUAACAAAGUAUAGGCAAAAAAUAAAAACUUUAAUUAUUGACAGCUAUAAGAUAUUUACAAUCGAAAGUUACUAGAACUUAUGGAUAAAAUCGGCGCAGUUUGUCUAUGUGCCAAGAGUUAGGCACGCGUGUUCCGUCUGGAUAUGCCAAUCUGUAGGAUGUGGGUCGUGUGACUUCGGCGACCACAAAGGGUCCUUCCCAGGGAGUGGAUAGCUUGUGCAUUCCUUCCUGGCUUGUUUUCCACCUGAGUACCAGAUCACCGACCACGAAGGAACGGUCCUUAACGUUCCUAUUGUGGUAUCAUCUGAUUGCCGCAAGAUACUUUGCUGUUCGAAGGCACGAAUUUAGACGCUUUUCUUCCAUGCAGUUGAUUUCGAGUUCCCUGGUGCUGUCAGCCGUUGACUGGUCGAAGUUUUCAAUCCUUGGAGAUCCGAAGGUUAUAUCAAAUGGCAGCACUGCCUCGGUGCCGUAAACCAUGAAGUAGGGUGACACCCCGGUGUUCCGACUGGCCUGUGUUUGGAGACCCCAGACCACGGCCGGCAACUCUUUCAUCCAUCGACCAGGUGCUCUGUCAUUCUCGGUGUACAACCUUUUCUUUAGGGCGUCGAUGAUCAUUCCGUUUGCAUGUUCUACUUGACCAUUUGCCCGUGGGUGAGCUACUGACAUGUAUUUUAUGACUAUGCCUCUGUUAUCGCAGAAGUCCCAAAAUGUGGUGCCAGUGAACUGAGUACCCAGGUCGGUGAUUAUACUGUUUGGGAUCCCGAAUCUAUGUAUGAUUUGAUUGAGGAACUCCACGGCCUUCUCGGAGGUUGCUUUGACCAGUGGCAUAUAUUCAAUCCACUUCGAAAACUUGUCGAUUAAUACGAAGACGAACUUGAAAUUACCAGGGGCCGGUUUGAAUGGCCCGAUCAUGUCGAGCCCCUAGCAGGCGAAAGGCCAGGACGAUGGGAUAGUUUGAAUCUCAUGAGUAGGUACGUGGGUCCUUUUAGCGAAGAACUGGCAUCCCUCACAGUGUCGGACCAGUUUUUCUGCGUCAUUAACCGCGGUUGGGCAAUAGAAACCUGCCCGGAAAGCUUUCCCGACCAGCGUUCUGGAGGCAGCAUGAUUGCCGUAGGAUCCGGCGUGUAUGUCGUCUAGGAGCUUGAUGCCCUCAUCCUGGGAUAUGCACUUGAGCAGCACUUCAGAACUUGCAUUUUUUCGCAUAAGUUUACCGUUCACGAGUAUGUAAUUCUUUGAUCGUCGAAUGAGGCGCUCGUUUUCUGUUUUAUCCUGAAAACCUAACCCGUCUGAUAUAUAUCUGAUGAAUGGGGUGCGCCAAUCGCGGUUGCUGGUUGUCGGAGUAACGUCGUCUAUGAGCAUUGCCUCAAUGGGCUGUUUUUCGGGCGGGUCAUUGCCCACACUUGGUUCAUGGAUGUCCUGGACGAAAACACCUCGCGGUAUCUGGGCCCGAGAUGACCCUAACUUUGACAACGCAUCUGCUGCUUGGUUCUUGUCCCGGACCACGUGGAUGUAUUCUAUGCUGUAGAAGUUAGUCUCCCACUUGCGAAUUUCUUUGCAGUAAAGAUCCAUCUUUUCGUGGGUCGCGUCCCAUUCUUUGUUGAGCUGGUUGAUGACCAAAGCGGAUUCGCCAUAGACGUAGAGGCGUUUGACUCCCAACUCAACGGCUAGUCGGAUGCCGUGUAGGCACGCUUCGUACUCGGCGACGUUGUUGCAUGCCGGAAAGAGGAUCCUAAGGGCGUAACGCAGCUUGUCCUUGUUAGGCGACACAAAUAGUAUCCCAGCGCCGGCACCGUUGAUGUUCAAGGACCCGUCGAAAAACAUCGACCAGUGGUCGGAGACGUCGAGAACGGGAGUUUCGUUAAGGUCUGUCCAUUCUGCAAUGAAAUCGACCAGGGCCUGAGACUUGACUGUGGUGCGACUCUGGAAUUCCAGAGAGAACGGGCAUAACUCCAUUGCCCACUUUACAAUUCUGCCGUUUGCGUCUUUGUUGCGCAGAAUAUCCCCGAGAGGGAAACUGGUGAUUACCAAGACUCGAUGGCCGUCGAAGUAGUGCUUUAGCUUUCUCGAUGUUAUUAGAAUGGCGUAUAUGAGUUUCUGUAUUUGUGGAUAUCUGGCCUUGGAUUCGUUUAAGACUUCGCUUAUGAAAUAAAUGCGUCGCUGGACCUUGUAAACAUGUCCUGGCUCGUCCCGCUCGACCACUAUUGCCGUGGAAACAACCCUGUCGGUUGCAGCAAUGUAAAGGAGUAGGUCUUCAUUGGGCUGAGGCGCUGUGAGAACGGGCGGUGAAGUGAGGAAAGUCUUAAGCUGGGUGAACGCAGUGUUGGCUUCCUCUGUCCAAGAGAAUUUUUCCGAUGCCUUCAAGAGUUUGAAGAAAGGGAGGCCUUUUUCCCCUAGUCUUGAGAUGAAGCGGCUGAGUGCGGCCAUACAUCCGGUGAGCUUCUGAAUAUCCUUGACAUUUUUAGGUGGUCGCAUGUCGAGUACUGCUCUUACUUUUGAAGGAUUUGGUCGUAUGCCGUCGCGUCUGACGACGUUGCCGAGCAGUAAACCGGAAGGGACGCCAAAGAUGCACUUUUUGGGGUUAAGCUUCCACUUGUACUUGUUUAGCGCCUUAAAGGUUCGGUCUAAGUUGUCGAUUAGGGUGCUUGCAUCCCUUGUUUUGACGACGACGUCAUCUACAUAGGCCUCGACGAGGUCAUCACGGAUCUCGUCGUGGAGACAUUGCUGGAUGGCCCUUUGAUAGGUGGCUCCGGCGUUCUUGAGUCCGAACGACAUGGUCGUGUAGCAGUAUGCGCCGAAAGGAGUAAUGAAAGACAUUUUUAUCUGGUCUUCUUCCUUUAGCGAGAUCUGGUGAUAGCCAGAGUAGCAGUCUAGAAAAGAGAGGAGUUCGCAUCCGGCCGUUGAGUCGACCACCUCGUCGAUGCGAGGGAGACCAAAAGGAUCUUUAGGACAGUGUUUGUUGAGAUCAGUGUAAUCAACGCACAUUCUCCAUUCAUUAUUCUUUUUGCGUACAAGAACCGGAUUGGCAAGCCAAUCGGGAUGAUACACUUCUUUUAUGAAUCCGGCUGCUAGAAGCCGUGUUAUUUCUGUCCUAAUAGCCUCCUUUUUGUCACGAGCGAACCGUCGCAGCUUUUGCUUGAUGGGUCUUGCGGUCUUCGAGACAUUUAAGGAGUGCUCGAUCAGGUUUCGUGGGACGCCGGGCAUGUUUGCGGGUUUCCAUGCGAAAACGCUUACGUUGUCCCUUAGAAACCUGACGAGCGCGUCUUCCUAUUUAGGGUCCAGGUUGGCCCCGAUGAGGGCCAUCUUCUCGGGGCUACCUUCGACCAGCUGCACUUCCUUGUGCUCCUUGGAUUUUGAGUUCUUCCUGGUGGUCUCCUGCUCGGGUAGUCAAAGCUGGUCGGGAGGUAGUUGUGCAGCCUGGGUUGCUGUCUCAGCCAUGCGGAUUGGGAGAUCGAUUGCUUCGGUGAUCUUGAAGCUCUCCUCCUUGCAAGUAUAUGCAGUGUAGACAUUGCCCCUGACGGUUAGGACGCCUUUCUCCGUGGGCAUUUUAAGGACAAGGUAUGAGUAAUGCGGGACCGCCAUGAAUUUUGUCAGCGAUGGCCGGCCCAGUAUGGCGUGGUAGGUUCCGUCGAAGUCGACGACCACAAAGUUGACGAACUAUGUCCGAAAGUGGUCGGGCGUGCCGAAUUGGACAGGCAGUGUUAUCUGUCCGAGGGGCACUGAACUCUAGCCUGGCAAGACUCCCCAGAAUUGAGCAUCGUAGGGUUUUAGUUGUGCUGGUGAUAUCUUGAGAGCGGGCAGGCUGUUGCGGAAAAGGAUGUCAAUGGAGCUUCCUCCGUCUACGAGCACGCGCUCGAAUCUGAUGCUGUUGAUGCAUGGGUCCAGGAUUAGAGGGAAACGACCUGGCUCUGGGAUAGCGGCCCACUGAUCCUUUCUGCUGAAGGAGAUCUCCCUGUGCGACCACGGAGGAAAUUUCGGGUCGGCGAUCAGGCCGUCCGUGCUGUCUAUGUUGAGGCAGGCUCUCUUUAAGAGCUUUCUUUCUCGCUUGGAUUCGAUGGAGACCUUGCCCCCGAAGAUGGAGUGGACCACGUCAGUGGGGCUGACAUAUUGGUGUCGAGGGUCCCUAUCUUGGUCAUCGUCCUCGUCUUCAUAGUCGUGCCCGUCUCGUUUUCCAUUUUUCAUGGCAGAGUCGUCUUGGGCGGCCCGCCGCGUAUAGAUAUUUUUGAGGACACGGCACUCUUCCAUGGUAUGAUUAGACUUUGGAUGCAAUUGGCACGGUCCCUUCAACGUUUUGUUGUAGUCUUCUUGGUAAUCCCGCCGCCCGUUGGGACGCUUGACCGUGUUCACUUCGUGGUCGUGGUCGCGGGGGCGCUUUCCUCUGAAAUCAUCGCGAUUGUCGCGUCGCCUGUCCCAACCUUCUCUGUGAUCACGGUUGUCGGGGCGGCGGUGGUUCCUGUUGUUGAAACGACCGCGACCGUCAUCUCACCGGGGAGGCUGGUCGGGACCUCUCGCAUCAUCCCGGAUUAGUUUUUCUGCGUCGUCAGCAUCGGCGUAAUUUUUAGCCGUGGCAAGGAGUUCAGCCAUCGUUGUUGGCCUUUUGCGCAACAGCUUGUUCCUCAGUGCUUCAUGGAAAUGCAGGCCUUUAAUGAAGGCAGAGAUGGCCUCGUCGUGGGAAAUCUUCGGGAUCUUAAGACGCAUAUCCGAGAAUCGUCGGAUGUAAUUGCGCAAAGGCUCAUUUUUUCUGUCCCUUAUCCUUUCGAGGUCGUACUUGUUUCCAGGCUGCUCGCAUGUAGCGAUGAAGUUGUCAAUGAAAGCCUGGCGUAGCUCUUCCCAAGAGUCGAAGGAGUCCUCGGGCAGGCCAAGGAGCCAUUGAUGACCAGCCUGGUCGAGGACUACUGGGAAGUAGUUGGCCAUGACGUGUUCGUCCGCUGCGGCUGAUCGGACGGCGAUUUCGUAGAGAGUGAUUCAGUUCUCUGGGUUUUCCUUGCCGUCGUACUUUUUGAGUUUCUCGAGCUUGAAAUUGCGGGGCCACACGACCUGGCAGAGGUGUGAGGAGAACUGUCUCAGGCCCAGGGGGCCGUGCGUUGCAUCGUACUCGAUACGGCGCAGGGUUUCGUGGACUGCUCUCUCCGUGGCGUGCCUGUUGAUGCGGUCCCGGGCAUCUUUGGGAGAGAUGUUAUAUCGAAGAUCCCUAUGCUGGUUUACUUCUUGGCCACGCCUGCGAUUCUGCUCGCGUUGACCGCCAGCGUCCCGACCGCCGUCAUUACGCCGUGAGUCUGUUCGAUGGUUGUCGGGGGAACGGCUGCGAUGGUGCCUGCUGGGCUGCGGUGAUGUCCGGCUACGGUGAGUCUGGUCGGAGGUGGCCUCUGUAUAGGAGAUGGCCUGGACUCUUUUGAGCAGAGUGGCUGUCUGUCCCAUCGCGGCGAUCAGGUGUGCUCGGACACUGGUUCGGACCCCUUGGCACUCGGGAGUAUCAGGGAGCCGGUCUAGAUUAGCCAUAGCGACAGCCACAUUGGCGCUCGGCGUUUUGUAAACUUGUUGAUCUCCGACCAUGUCAAAAGCGUCGCUGAGAUUAUGCGGCGGGAUUUGACGUUCCUCGUCCGCGCGUCGUCGGGCGCGAUCGGCGUUACGCUGCUCGCGGAGCUGCCUCUGCUCGUCUGUUUCUCCGUCAACGACCGGCUCGUCAGUGCUGACGUGGAAAACGAUGUCUCCUCGCCGGGGUGGGAAGACCGGGAAACGUGGGAAGCCCGGAGGGUGUGACGGGAAAUCCAAGUCGUAGUCCUCGUCCUCGGAAUUUAUGACUUCAGUGGGAACGGAACCAGUGCUCGAAUUUGUACUGGAAGCCUGGCCGUCCCGUAACUCUUGGAUCGUCACCAUGUUGACGUAAUGUCGAGCUGGUGGACCGCUCCCCUUUGGCAACCAACCAGCUUUGUUGAAGAGGGAUCGGACGUGUCUCGAGUAGAGAGAGGCCGAGUUGUUCAGACCGCGGGGGUAAUCUUCCUCUGGGUUGGCCUUGAUCUUGACAGAUCGUCCUGAGGGAGUCGAGGUUAUCGCCAGAGACGUUCCCAGCCGUUCGUGUGUAGCGACACGAGUUGGCCGGUGGGAUUUGAAAAAAUCCGUUAGAGUGGCUCGAUCAGGCUGGCGUAAGAUUCCAUCUACUAGUUGGGAAGCUUCAAGUAGCUUGGAAUCGGCGCGGUCAAGUGCCCGAAGAAGGUCUGAGCAGUCGAUCUUCUUUCCCUUGUAGAGCAGGGGCAGUGGUCGGGUGCUCGGAGCCGUCACCCGAGUGGUCGGAGCCGACGUGAUCCCAGAUUGGAUCUGGGUUCCUUCCGAAACCGUAGUCGUGAGACCACCGCCGCGCGUCGUCCACGUGAUCUGGCCGACGGUGAACGUGAGGCCUUCAGGAACGGCCGCGGAAGCUGGGAUUGUGACCAUCUUGUUCGCCGAGGAAGUUGCACGCACACCCCCUACCUGGCGCGCCACUGUCGACGAAAGCUGGUCGGCAGUCUACCUUGGGGUAUACCCACGGUAGUAGUUUAUCGAUAGACGGUGCGCAAACUACGAACUCGAUGGUGACGCAAGACACAGGCAAGCUUUUUAUCCAGGUUCGGCCGCCGAGUUGGCGUAAUACCUACGUCCUGCGUCUGAUUGUAUUGAUUUGUGUUGAGAGAAUAUGAUGUCCUAGGGGGGUCCCUUGCCUCUCCUUAUAUAGUCCGGAGGGCAGGGUUACAGAUCUGGAAACUAAUCCUAGUCGGUUACAAUUGCCAUAGAUAGCUCGAUAUCAAUUCCUAUUCUAACCGACUAGAAUCCUGCUUGAUCUCCACGCCUUGUUUCCUUGCGCAAAACUCCAAGCUGUCCGAUCAAGCCUUGAACUUGUCUCGUAAUGGGCCAAGCCUCUUGGCCCAAGUCUGCCCGUAAGGGUAUAGGGGUUUAUACCCCCACAAUUCUCUGAUCAUCUUGGGAAGACUGUUCCUCUACACAGCGAACGCCAACAUCUACAUCGGUUCUGGACAUAUCAACUUCAAUCUACCUGCCAGAAAGGUACGCUGUCAAUUUAGAACACUAGUUAACCAUGAGCAGAUCAUGAAACAACACAAUAGGAGAAGACGCCAAGCCCACCGUCAGGCUACUCAGCCUCACUGCGGAUGGGAAGACUUCCCUGGCAAGAUUGUGAAAUAUGAAGAUCGCUUCACAGAGCAAUAAGAGAACACGCAAGCACCCCGCUGGAGUGUGUGGGUAGAAGAAGCUGAAAGGAUAGACCGAAUUGCCAAGAAACAGAAAGAGGAGACCUUAGCCCGAUUAGAAGCAUGGGAGAAGGAGAAUAGAGAUGAAGAGUUGGAGCUAGAGAAGAAAGAAGCAAAAGAGAUAGAAGGAAGAAGGAAGGAAGACGCACGUAACGCAUCACCACAAAACAGGGAGUUGACUGAGGUUACAUCAGAUGAUGAACCCACUGAGUAAGUCCUCUCUGCUAUCUAAGUCCUAUUGGUAGACUUUAAAUUCCAUAACCUAGCCAUAAGGUCAGAAUGGUAGUUAUCUAGUUUAAGUUAGCAUGCAUUAGUGAUUUUGCUUUAAUACAUUUAGUAGCAUAUUUAUUUCUCUUGGCAUAUUAUAUAAAAUACAAACAAAUAUUUACUACUUUAAUUACUGCAUCAUAAAUACCAAAGCCCCAUGUGAAUAAACUGAUGGUAACCCCUAGGAAUAUUUACUGUGGUGGCAUAAAAAAAUUAAAUAGCAUUCAUAUUUAUUUCAUGCAUUAUAAAAUAGAAAAAGAUAGGAACACAAAAUUCUGCAAAAUUAGCUCAUCAAGAUAAUCAAUUGCUCAUUGUGUGACCACUAACCCAUUAAUAAAAUCGAGCCUCGAGUUUUGGUUUUCUUAUUGGAGUAUGACUAUGCAGGAAUGACAUCAUAGCAAGGAGAGAGUCCAUCAGUGGCACCCACUAGGUUUGCUACUGGUUAGCUCACUCUAAAGUACAUCUACACCAAGUAUUGCAAAAAUCUAGCUUAGGGGAGGAGCAUCCCCUAGUUAUCAGGUAAUUAUACCUAAGCAAUUAUCGAGUCUACAUAGUUAUAAAAAUACCAAAAAUAUGUGGGCAUAUGAAGGUCCACAAGUCAUAGAGUCUAUUUGUGAGUUUAUAAUUAGUUAAGUGUUAGAGUCUAUUUAUAGUCAAUUUAGACUAGAAAUAAAUAAAAAAAUUGAUGAACAUUAAAAUCUUGUCUUAGAAAUGAUGAAUAGUUACUCUAUUAUAGAUCUUUACAAGUACCUAGAUUUCAACGUGGGAUUCUCUUGAGUUUUGGACAUUACUAUUUUAAUUUGAAGGUUUACGCUGAACCUGUAACUUGUGGAGGCAUAAGUUUGAGCAAAGUCUAGGUAGUUGGUUGAUAUGAUCAUUGAAAGUCUGAGCUGCUAUUUAUCAUAUUCCUAGCAUUACUAAGUUCUGGAGAUUUAUUUUGAAAACCUAAAAUCUUACAUGAUGAGCUCUAGUAUGACAGGUAUUAAUUCCUACCAAAGCCAUAUAUAAAAUCCAUUUUGAGUUAGGAAAACUUUUGCACAUUUAUGCUGCCUGCUUUGCAUUGAGUUUAGUCAACCUUUGUAGUAUACCUUAUGAGAGUCUUGUUAUGCUUUUAAAACCAAGAUCACGUACACACUCCAGUUCACAUAUGCAUUAUUCCUACACUAGGAGUAAUCGCAAUCAUUUCCAUUCCAUGUUUAUCAAUCAUGUUUUUCUCCUACACUGGGAGUAAUCACCAACAUAAACCAGACCCAUAGGAUAAAGCCCUUCAUAAAUGCCCUAAGUUCUUAUUAUUGCCUCUCUAAUCAUUUAUUGCAUUCAAAGGAUACAUGUGGCUAUGCAAAAAUAUAAAAGAGAAAAGAGGGAGUAAAAGAUGGACAAGUGUCCCAGUAAUUAAAACAAUUGGUACUAGAUGCCAGCCUCCCUGAAAAUAAUAAUAAUAAUAAGUAAUGAAGAUAGCCCAUGUUUUUCCUAAAAAAAAAUCCAAGAUCAAAAGAGAGAUUUAUCUUCAAAGAGCAAAAGUAGAAAUAGAAAUUAGCCACAAAUACUACAGAUACACCUACCCACCAUGUUCCAUACAUAUGCACACCUUGGUUUGAUUGUAUGCCUCGAUUCUCUAUGGAUCCAUUAGUUGACUUUACAAUACAUGCAUUGCAAGCAUGCCUAUCCUUGUUAUUGGCACUCCUAUAAGCCCUACCAUAUAUAUACCUUUAGCUAUAGGAGGCAUAGCAUCACUAAUGCCUCAAGGGUGAACCAUAAAUACCACAUAUAUUGAGAGACUUGAGGGUGUCAUACAAUUAAGCUCUGAGUUUUAUUCUGAAAACUUAUAAAAACUCUAGAAUAAUGGUUCUGCAAAGAAUUUGGGACUUAGUGCUUGAACUGAUUGUUCUGUCUUCUGAUUGCUCAAGACUCAUGCAAAAGCUGUAAAGCCCCAUGGUUAAAGGUAAAACGGGUAAGUUUGAAGAUUAGAUCAAUUAUUGACUAAUCCAGAGGAGAAUCUUUGUUUGGGAGCAUGUGUACUUGGAAAGAAUUAAAACAUUGUAGCAACUCUUGAUCCAAUUACAAAUACUGCUUAGGCUUGGUUUGCCAAGGGACUGGCAAACGGUAAGCUUGGGGGAAUUGUUGACGGUCGAUAACGUCAACUUUUAUUAGAACUUUAAAUCUAAAGGAGAACAUGAAAACACACUAGUCUAGGAUUUAAACUAACAAUUUCCAUGAGUUUUUGUAUAUUUUGUAUUUUCUAGGGUGAAUUUUAGGAAAGCUAAAAAGAGGGAUUCUAGUGCAAAAUAAACAUGAAACUUAUCCAACACAGGAAACAUCACGGGAAGACUCAGGAAGGAUGGAGAAGACACCCGAAGCAACGAGGGGCCCGGUGGCUGCCAGGUGGGGCCGCCCGGCCCCACCCUAGCGCCGGCCGGUGCCCCCCUUUAGGGUUUUGGCCCCCUCUUCUAGAAGCUUCCUCCACUGCCUCUCCUGAUGCAUCUCGGCCCUUGGUUAAGUCGGUUUGAUCCUAUGGCGCAUGCACAUCCCAUCGGACUAUAAAUACAUAGGUAGACCCCACCUGGAGCAAUCAAUCAAUCACCAAUCCAUUAUUCAUCAAGGCCUCAAGCCAUCAAGUAUCAAGCGCCUUCAAGUUCAUCAAGAGCCUUCAAGUUUAUAGUUCUAGUUAGUUAGAUUAGAAGUAGGGGAGAUCUAGUUCUUCAUCAGGAUCUAGAGCCCCUGGUGUUGGUCUAGAGCGCAAGAGUUCGGUAAUAGAUCUAGUUCUUACUUUAUAGUAUUCAAUUGUAUAUUAGGGAGACUUUAUUCUUAAUAGAUUCAUAUGUUCUUAAUUACAAUAGUCAUUGCCUACUUUGAUUAUAUGUCUAGGAUAGUUGGUUUGAUCUUAUUGAAUUCAUGUAAUUGCUCGUAUAGCGUUUACCUAAUAGAUCUUUGGGUAGAUGGUAGACAAUAUGUAGACGUGGUGUUUAGAUAUCUUGUUUAUCUAUGAGUGCACCCUGACGUGCUGGGACGUGUGGUAGACCGCGUAGAUGACAGCUACGUUGGAUCCUCUAUAGUCCACCCUCUGUACGUAGGACUAGCAUGGGCGCGGUCGCGAAGGAGGUGACCCUUGUGUCUUAAUACCCUCAUUAGUUGAUGCCUCUUUACAUGUGAUUAUUAUAUUGGGUUAGCUCAACAAUGAUUUCUAGAAGUAAUUGCACUAAUUAGAGUUAUUCAUUGAUGUAGUUAUAGAAUUACCUUAGAUCCAACUCCCUAGUUUAUCCAAUGGCUGACUAUGAUUAUGACUAGUAGAUGCUCUGAUGAUUAUCCUUAAUUAUCAUACUUGAUGAUUAUGCUAUCAUUAUUAUUUACCCAUAUUUAUCUUGUGACCUCUGCGUGUUAUGAGUAGAUUAUGUGAUAUUGGUAAUAUUAUUUAUUCAUCCUAUAUAGUUUCUUAUCAAUAUAAUAGAUUAUAGUUUAACACAUAGCCUUCCCAAUAGUAUAAAUAUAAAUUGACAACCUAGAUACUUUCCUAGGUAAAAUGCUAUAACGGUAUAAUUAUCUGUCCGCUUGCAGAACCCAUUUAGUUUAUAAUUAAUAAUUAUAUUCAUAUCUUUUAUUCCCAGCCUAGUUGCAGUAGAACAUGUGAAUCUAUAUUAAAUUCCUAGCAAUAUAAUUAGGGAUGACAACCUACUUCAUGCUUAGCAAUAUUAGGGUGGCUAGUUGCUAAUUGACAAGUUAAUUAUAUACCGUGCAUUUUUGGUGUUGUUGCUAGAGGUGGGGUUUAUCUCUAUUUUUAGUAAUGAAGGUAGUAAAUGUUAACACCUAUAAUUUUUAGAAAAGUAAAGUGGGCACACUUCAUCAAGAAAGAAAUCUUUUUUCUCAAGAGUACCAUGCAUUAUUCGGACAACUUGCUUCCUCGCUGUCAACAGCGGUCGACUAUCGUCUAUGCUGGUCAAAGAAGCUUGAGAUGGCAUGUCACAUCACAAUACAUGGAGCUCGAGGACUAGUUGUGGGGGUAUAAACCCCUAUACCCACAUGGAUCGAUAUGGUCCGCACCAUCAAAGGUGGCUUGGCCCACAAGAUGAAGAUGGCAGCGCACGAUGCUCGUUAGCAUGCACCGCAAGGCUACAAGAAGAUAUUGUACCAAAUAGGAUACUUUACUUGUAACUCUAUCUCUUCAUGAUAUAUAAAGAGGGGCAGAGGUCCCCUAGAGGACAAGUCAAAGAUCUCAUUACAUCUCAUAUCAAUACAAUCAGACGUAGGAUGUAGAUAUUACACCCUCACGGCGGCCGAACCUAGAUAAAAUCCUUGUCUAUGUCUUGCGUCAUCAUCUAGUUCAUAGCUUGCGCACCUAUCUGCCGAUAAUCUACUACCCUGGGCAAACCCCUAGGUAGACUACCAACCAGCUUUCAUUGACAGUUCCAAUCACAUAUGAUCCUUAGGCCUCUCUACUAACUCCCAUACUUGAUUUCUACUAAAGUUGUUUAGCUCAUCAUGCAUAGCAUUUACCCAAUCAACAUCCAGCAAAGCUUUUUCUAUCUUCUUUGGUUCAAUGGAUGACACAAAUGAGAAAUGUUCACAAAAUGAAGCCAAUCUUGAUCUAGUUUGUACACCUCUUGACAUAUCACCAAUAAUAUGAUCUAAUGGAUGAUCUCUUGCAAUAUUGGUUGGUUGGAGUAUUGAACUUGAUUGCUUGCACUUGGUUGGUCAUUUGGUUGAGAUAAAGAACUAGCCACUUCUUGAUCUUUCACUUGAACACCACUUGUACUAGCUUGAGAUAUAUCAUGAGAACCACUAGCUUGCACAUUUAUGUUAGAGAGCACUUGAUUUUUGUCAUCUUCAACAUCAAUCAUCUCUCUAGGCCUUAUAUCAUCAACAUCCAUGUUCUUCAUAGCAUUUACCAAUUGAGUACAUCUCACAUCAUCUAGAUUCUCAUCUUCAUCUUAGAGUACCAUUAGCCAAAUUCCAAACUCUAUAAGCUUUGCUAGUAGUGGAGUAACCAAGCAAGAGGCCUUCAUCACAUUUCUUUUCAAACUUGCUCAAUCUAGUGCCUUUCUUCAAUAUGUAGCAUUUGCAACCAAAAACUCGAAAGUAUGCAAUAUUGGGCUUUCUACCAUUCAAGAUCUCAUAUGGUGUCUUCUCCAACAUUGGGUGACAAUAGAGUACCAUAUGGUGUUGAUUGCCUCAGCCCAGAAGAAUGACUAACAUUGUAUUCACUAAGCAUAGAUCUUGCCAUAUCAAUGAGUGUCCUAUUCUUCCUCUCAAUAAGGCCUUUUGAUUGUGGAGUGUACUUGGCCGAGAAUUUAUGCUUAAUUCCAAACUCAUCAAUUCUUGUGUUCUUAAAUUCACUACCAUUGUCACUUCUCAAACUCUUGAUGGUAGUUUCAAACUCAUUAUGUACUCUCUUGACAAAUGAUUUAAGUGUUGCAAACACAUCACUCUUGUCAACAAGAAAGACUACCUAAGUAUAUCUUGUAAAGUCAUCCACUAUCACAAAGCCAUAUUUGUUUCCACCAAUACUAGUGUAUGUUGUUGGCCCAAAUAAAUCCAUGUGCAGUCACAAAAAAAAUCCAUGUGCAAUAACUCAAAAAGCCUUAGAUGUGCUCAUGAUGCUCUUCUUAGGAUGUGUGUUACCAACUUGCUUUCUGGCUUGACAUGCACUACAUAGCUUAUGUUUCUGAAAUGUGACAUCUUUCAAGCCUCUAACUAGAUCAUGCUUUAUCAAUUUCUUCAAUUGUUGGAUUCCAACAUAACCAAGCCUUCUAUGCCAUAACGAACCCAUGCUAGAUUUAGUGAGCAAACAUGUUGAUAAUUGAGUUUCACUAGCAUUGAAAUCAACAAAGUAUAGAUUCUCAUAUCUAAAUCCUUUGAAUAUCAAGUUAGAGCCAUCUACACUUAUGAUCUCUACAUCAUCCACACCAAAUAUGCACUUGAAACCAAGAUCACAAAGUUGAGCUACCGACAAUAGGUUGAAGUUCAAGCUCUCUACUAGUAGCACAUUGGAAAUACUCAAAUCAUUGGAUAUUACAAUCUUACCAAGCCAUUUGACCUUGCCUUUGCCAUUAUCACCAAAUGUUAUACUAUGAAUUCCAUCAUUAUCAUUUGUGUUGAUUGAAUUGGACAUUCUUGAAUCACCAGUCAUGUGUUGAGUGCACCCACUAUCAAGAACCCAAUGCCUUCCUCCGGCUUUAUAAUUCACCUACAAAAGAGAAUUAAUUCUUUUUAGGUACCCAAACUUUCUUGGGUCCUUUAAGGUUAGUGACUAAGAUCUUUGGUACCCAAAUAGCUUUCUUCUUUGAGCCCACAAUUGGUGCACCAAUGAACUUAGCUUGCACCCCAUUAACACCUUUGGUAAGCAUAUAACAAGAAUCAAAUUUAAUUUAGGAUAUAUUAUUUGGUUUGUUCUUGUUCUUGCAAUAUUGCUCUAUGUGCCCAACUUGCGUGCAUCUAGUGCAAAACUGACCAUUGCCCUUCACAAAGCUACCUUUAUGAGUAGCGAAGGCUGCCUUGCCUUUCUUGGGGGUAUAGCCUAAUCCCUCUUUGUUGAGAGAAAAUCUUUGGCUACCCAAGCACUUUACCAAGCAGGCCUCACCACUAUAGGCAUUGCCUAAGGCGCGAGUGAGCUCAUUGACCUCCUUCUUGAGGGUCUCAUUUUCAUUAUUAAUGUGGCAUCACAAGUGAAACCAUCACUAGUAGAUGAGGUAAAAGUGGAAGUGCUACAAGAAGAGUUAGUGGAAGCAAUAAUAAUAGGCUCAAUGAAAGAUUCAUUAAUUAAAUCACAUUUAGAGCCCUUGUCACAAGUCACAAUAACUUCCUCUUUGUUAGCUUGAUCCAGGAGAGAGGAGUGAGCCUUUUCAAGCUUAGAGUGAGCAUUGCCAAGCUCCUCAUGGUCUUCCUUUCGACUCUCAUGAGACGCUUGGAGCUCAUCAAAGGAUUACUUGAGAGCUUUGAGCUCUUUUCGCAAUUCUUUGCACUCCUUUCUCUUCAUCUCAAGACAUGUGUGAGCAUUCUCCAACAUGUCCAUGAGUUCUUCCUUUGACUCUUCAUCAUCAUCAUCACUCCUACAACCAUCACUUUCACAAUCAUCAUCACUUUCAUCAUAUUGUACCUUAGUGGGUUUAGCCAUGAGGCAUGUCGAAGGAGUGUCGAAGAGAGAAGGCUUCUUGUUGAUGGUGAUGCUUGCAAGUGCCUUUUUCUUGGAUUUCUUGUCAUCAUCAAUAUCUGAAGAAGCAUCACUAUCCCAAGUCACCACAUUGCUGCCACCCUUCUUCUUCUUUUUGAAUGUCAUUUUCUUCUCCUUCUUCUCCUUCUUUACUUUCUCUUCCUUCUUCUUUUCAUCCUCAUCAUUGUCACUAUUGUAGGGACAAUCCACUGCAAUGUGAGCCUUGCUCUUGCAUUUGUAGCAUCUUCUUACAUAUUCUUUGCUCUUAUUUUGAUCUCUUCUUUUUCUUGCACCAUAGCCCUUUUUCUUCAUAAAUUUGCCAAACUUGCGCACAAAGAGAGCCAGUGCUUCAUCAUCAAUGUCACCAACUUCCUCAUCUUCACUUGAUUCUUCUUUCUUUGCUUUGCCCUUGCUCUUGGAUGAACUAGCCUUGAAUGCCACACUUUUCUUUUUCUUGUCUUCAUCCUUCUUCUCAUCUUGGUCAACCGCUUAACUUUCCACACGGUAUGUCUCUUGUGUCAUGACAUCACCUAGUACUUGGUUAGGGGUAAGUUCUUUCAAUCCUCCUCUUAUAAUGAUUAAUCUUAUUGUCUCAAAUUGUCGGUGUUUUGACCCCAGGCGGUAACACCAACGAGUUUAUGCAUGCUCCCUUCUCCAGAUGGUUAUGCAAGAAUGACACAAGUAUUUUAUCCUGGUUCAGGAAAAAGAAGGCCCUACGUCCAGCGGGGGGAGAGUGUGUAUUAUCUUGCACCUAAGUGCUUGUAUAGGGGCGAAUACAAGUGGAUCCAACUGAGGGUUCUAAGUCCUAGCUGGUUGUGGGAGUGUCUGAAUGGCGUUCUACGUAUGUUGUUCCUCUGUCUUGUGUUGUCCCCAACGUCUCCUUUUAUAGUUCCAAGGGGAGGCCUAGGUUACAUGGUAUAGGUGUUUUGAAUAGGCCUCGAUAGGGGUAUGGUGCUGGCCUACUCGAGGCCUCCGUACCGGCGUGGCCUCGAGCCGUCUUGUUAUAGUUUAUUUUGGUAAUGAUGGCGUGUGUAUCUCUUGAGCUUAUCCCCUGUACAUUGUCUGGUAUUAGCUCAGGCUUGCACACGCCUGUAUGUCACGACGGUCGUUACGUCUGGAGUGGUUGGAGUGCUGACUUCUGUCGUUCAAUCCUUCCCUAGGAAGGGGUAUGCGUACUCGAGGGUCUGGCAGCACGUGCGGCUCUGUUAUAUGGGAGUGCUGACUUUGUUGUCUCGAGGGCUGUCUUGAUGGGAUAUUACGCCUGCUGUACUGUACGGGUUUGUACCUUUCUCCGAUUUUGAGAAUAAAGCUGGGAAAGGGGGGAUUUGAUGGGUGCAUACUGCCCUAUCACGUUUCCCGUGACUGUCGGGUUAGGUGGGAGCAUGUCAGUCGCAUUAAAUAUCUGGUUUUCGUACCCGCGACAGGCGGCGCACUACUAGAUUUUGACCCUAUUGCCACAUGACGCCCUUUACAACGCCACAAAUUAUGUUGUGAUAGGGGUGUGAUUUGCAACAUUUCUCCAAAAACGUAGCAACAAGGUGACUGUGUUGCCACAAAAAUAGUGGGUCGCAAUAUUUACCUUUGUCGUUGCAAGAGGUUAGACCUAUAGCAACUCUUUUGUGAAGUGUGUUGCUACAGGUUCAAAAUAUUGCCAUGAUGACAUUGUGUUGCAUUAGUACUAAUUAGCAUUGCAACUGCCAGGUGCUCUUGCAACCAUAUAGAACAGUGUUGCCACUGCUUGACAUUAUUGCCACAGUGUUGUUGGGUUGUAAUAUUUAUCACGGCUAUUGCAAAAGGUAGACUAUGUAUUGCAACUAAAUUUUCAAGGCGAUGCAAUAGUUUAUUUCUGUUGCCACCAUUUUUGUUUGUUGUAAUAUUUACCACGAUCGUUGCAAUAGGUAGACUAUGUAUUGCAACUAAAUUUUCAUGGCGAUGCAAUAGUGUGUUGCUACUGCCAUAGUUUUAUUUUGUUGUAAUAUUUAUCGUGACCAUUGCAAUAGAUAGCUGUUUAUUGCAACUAAAUAUCUAAAGCGAUGCAAUAGCUUGUUGCUAUUGCCACAAGUUGGUUUGGUUGCUAUAAAAUCCCAUUCUAGAAAAUAACUGUAUUUUGUGGGCUUUAUGUAUAGUUGGCCAUGUAGCACAUGGCCUGUUGGUGUAGCUCGCGGCCCGGCAUUUUGGCCCGGCUCGACAGCUACCAAGCCCGGGCCGGCAUGGCCCGAGGAACUAGGUCGUGCCUAGGCCGCCACCGUGGCCCGUGGCAUGGCUCAGGCACGUCCCGACGGCCCGGUGCUUAAUUGCCCAGUAAAAAAUGUAAUCUGCAAAUUCUCAAAAAAAAAUAUAGGCCUACUGGCCCAUCUAAAACCAUCUGGAGUGGCCUAGUAAGAAAUGUAGCCUGCUAAUUCUAAAAAAUAAAAAGAAAAUGUAGACCUGCUGGCCUACUACUAGCCUAUGCAAACAUCCUGCUAGCCUGCUGCAGCAUCAGGCAUGAGCUUGGCCCGAUGGCCCGUCGUGCCUUUGGGCCGGCCCGAUGGCCCACGGGCCGUGCCUUGGUUCGUAUCCCUGACACAAGGCACGGUGAUGGCACGACACGACGGCACGACAGCAUGGCGUGGCACGAUGCAGGCAUGACACGACACGACACGCCGAGCCGGGCCGGAACGGUCCGAUGACCAUCUAUGGCAUUAUGUAUAGCAAAAGGGCCUAAGCGUAUGAAUAGCCAUCAAUUGGCGGUUACUAUUGUCACGCCUCCCUUGCCAACUCAUAGGCGGAGCCACCACUAGGCAUAGAUGGCCAACGGACUAUGGCGGGUCGACACGGGCCGAAUGGGCCGGGCUGGCAUGACACGUCGUGCCUCCUGAGCCAUGUCUCUUAGGGCCACGGAACUAGCCUUUGGCCUAGGCGCGGCAUGGCAGUACUAUGAGCUGUUUUUCAUGUUGAGCUUCCUGGGAGGCAACAUAGCCCACCCAUAGGCAGAGCUUGGGGUUGGCCUAGUUUGAAUUUAUACAAUAAUAUAUGUGAGCAGCGCUGGCCUUGAGUUUUUGAGGCCCGGGGCGAAACAAAUAUCCGGGGCCCUUUAUAGUGUGGCUCAUCGUUGAUCAUCGACUGGUCGUCGCUCGUUAGGGUCAGGCGGAGUCAGCGAAUCGUGGAGACUGCAACCCUUUUUCAUCGUGAUCUCGUCUCGCCCAUCGUGCAACAACCGUGUGCCACACGGCGCGCUCGCACGACUCGCGUCCGCCGCCAAACCGUGUCACUGCCGCGGACGGCCUUGUUUAGUUGCAAUUUUUUUUUUUGCAAAAUAAAUAUUGUAACAUUUUCAUUUGUAUUUGACAAAUAUUGUCCAAUCAUUACUAAGUAGGUUCAAAAGAUUCGUCUCGUAAAUUAUAAGCAAACUGUGCAAUUAGAUAUUUUUCUAUCUAUAUUUAAUGCUCCAUACAUGUGCCGUAAAAUUCGAUGUGCUGAGAAUCUUGAAAAAAAUUGCAAAAAUUUUUGAAAGUAAACCAGGCUCAGGACUCGCGGAGUCGAGUCAUGUGUUUGCAUGUACGUGUGCCUUCUUGGCGUAUGCUAGUAUAUUUUUUCUCUUUUUUUAAUGUGGGCUCGAUCCUUCUCAGAAAAGCCAGGAAUUGGAAUUAGAGGCCAGUAACGAUUCAAUAUUGGUCCAAAUACUAAUACUACCGGGUGUUACAUACUUAGGGUGGGGCCCUGCCUAAAGAGAGUCCACAUAACAAUUUUAGUUGGUUUCAUGUCCGUCGCUUGAGCCUUCUAUCCUAAGCGGCAAUACGCCAAUAGCUCCGCCGACGCCGUUCACGACUUUGUCGGUCUCCUUGGCUUCAGUCUUGAGACAGAGAGCAGUCCAGCCCCAAUCGCAGCCGCAGAUCAGAACAUCGCCAAGGCAACGUGAUCGCCUGGUAAACUUCUUGGUGCCUAGACCCUAAUUUAUUUAGUUAUAAUCUGUUGUGAAUUGUGUAUGUACACAAAUUGAUCUAGUAAGUGUAAUUCUUUUAUCUUGAAGCCAUGUGGUGUGCAGGGUGAGUACGUGCAUGCAUAUGGCAACAACGUUUUCUAGGGCACAUGCAUCAUAUUAAUUAAGUUGAUCAUGGCCGGUGGCUGCAUGCUGGUAGGGUGCUGCUAAGUUGAUCAUGCUGCUAGCUAGGCACUGCUAAUUUGAUCAUGUUAAUUAACUUUUUUUGCGCAAGAUCAUGUUAAUAUUAAGUUGAUCAUGGCCUUAAAUUAUGGUUUUUUGAUGAAAGAUCAUGUUAAUUAAGUUGAUCAUGGCCUUAAUAAGUCGAUCAUAUACAUGGCCGCUGCUAGCUGGCUCGUAAUCCAUUCAAUUGAUUUGUGUAAAGGAUCGGAGGCGACGCAAAGUGAUCAGCGAGAGGCAGCGUGCCUGCAGUGUGUUGUUUGCACACCUUUCUCCAUCUUCAUCAUCUUGAUGAUUUGAUUGCUGCCAGUAUAUAUAUACUUCUUGUCAUUACAUUCGAUACACAUAUUAUUUUUGUGCAGAAAUUUACUUACGUAUAUUUACUUAUAUAUAUACUUCUUGCCAGUAUAUUGUGAUUUUACUUAUGUAUAUCCAAAUUUUUGUACAGAAAUUUAUUUGGAGCAUAAUAAAAUGUCACGGCAUGAUGAUAGGAGUUGGAUGCGCAUGGAUAGGUCUAAUCCUAUUUGGCAGGACAAAGUCCAGAAAUAUAUUCGUAUCACAUUUGAUUGCACAUCAACUGCUAAGUGUCCGUGUGCUAAAUGUCGAUGCAUGGUUUGGAAGACAUGACGUGAAGUUCACCGACAUGUUCUCGAUAAUCGCUUUGAUGAAAGUUUCAUCUCAGAAGGGGAACAUCCAAGUGAUGAAGGCGGCCCAUCUAAUCUUGAAGGAUCGGUAGAAGAUGAUGAAGGACAUGACGUUGAUCCUGGCACUGAGCUGGUUGGAACACUUAUAAGGGCUACUAUACAUGGAAACAUUAUCCAAGGUCCAGAUGAAGAGCCAAAUGAGCGUGCCAAGAAGUUCUAUAAAUUAUUAGAGGAGGCAAGACAAGAAUUGUAUCCAGGUUGCAAGGAGGCUACCAAGGUUUCUUUUAUUGUUAGAUUGUUUCAGAUUAAGUGCAUGCAUGGUAUUAGUAACACUGCCUUGAGGAGCAUACUAAAUUUAUUCUCAGUUGUGCUACCUGAAGGCCACUGUGUCCCAAACACAUUGGAGAAAGUGCAGAGGGUUGUUCAAGAGCUGGGUCUAGACUAUGAAAAGAUACACGCUUGAGAGAAUGAUUGUGUAUUAUUUUGGAAGGAAAAUGAAAAACUAGAUAAGUGUCCAACAUGCGGUGAGUCUAGGUGGAAGGAUGAAGGUGCUGCAAAGGAUGAUGAUACUAGUGACACUGGUGGUACACUAAAGAAGCGUGUUCCACGUAAGAUCCUACAGUGUUUCCCACUAAUACCUCGGCUGCAGAGAUUGUAUAUGAGGGAGGGCACAUCAUCGGAUAUGAGAUGGCACAAGGAAGGAUUGGCCCGUGAUGGUAGAAUGCGUCACCCUGCAGACUCCCCGGCAUGGAAGCACGUGGAUGACACGUACAAGUGGUUUUCAAAGGAUCCUCGUAAUGUUAGGCUAGCUCUAGCAUCUGAUGGAUUCAAUCCAUUCGAGAUGAUAAGUACAACAUAUACCACCUGGCCUGUGAUCAUAAUCCCUUAUAAUUUGCCGCCUUGGUUGUGUAUGAAACAAUCUUAUUGGAUGAUGUCGAUGUUGAUUACAGGACCAAAAUCUCCUGGAAACAAUAUUGAUGUAUACUUCCGUCCCCUCAUCGAUGAGCUAAAGGAGUUGUGGAAAGAUCGUGUCAGCACAUAUGAUGCAAAGGAAAAGAAGAAUUUCAAUCUACAUGCUCUUCUACUUUGGACAAUCAAUGAUUUUCCGGCAUAUGCAAUGUUAUCUGGCUGGAGCACCAAAGGAAAGUUUGCAUGUCCAUAUUGCAAGAUACAGACUUCUUGUGGCUGAAAUAUGGGUCAAAGCAUUGCUACAUGGGACAUCGACGCUUUUUGCCAUCGAAGCAUAGGUAAGAUUUCAUUUGCGGAAUUAUUUUGUUGUUUUCUCUUCAGUUUCUAAAUAAUUAAUGAGUUCACUGUCCAUACAUAGGUGGCGCAAGAAUAAAAUCAGCUUUAAUAACAAAGUAGAAAUGAAGGAGGCUCCUGAACCUUUGACAGGUGAACAAGUGAGGGAACAAUUUCAAUGCUUUGAGCAAGUGAGUUUUGGGAAAACGACAAGAAAGAGAAAACAACGUGAAGAAGAAAAUAGAUGGCACAAUUGGAGGAAGCAAAGUAUUUUCUUUGAAUUGCCUUAUUGGGACUCACUGCUAAUACGACAUAAUUUGGAUGUGAUGCACAUUGAGAAGAACAUUUGUGAGAGCAUUCUGGGUACUUUGCUAGAAAUUGAUGGUAAAUGUAAGGAUAGUGAGAAGGCCCGGCUUGACAUGCAACAUCUUGGUAUGAGGAAGGAUCAACAUCUUGUGAUGGAGAAUAAUAAAUAUACUAUGCCACCAGCAUUGUACACAUCAUCUAAGGAUGAGAAGGAAAGUUUAUGCAGAUUUCUAGAAGGAGUGAAGAUGCCAGAUGGGUUUGCCUCUAAUAUAAAGAGAUGUGUUGACAUCAAAGCUUGUAAGGUUGCUGGACUUAAAACCCAUGACUACCAUGUUAUUUUACAGAAGUUGUUACCUUUAAUUGUACGCAGUAUUCUACCACAAGAUGUUGUGAUCCCAUGUUCAACGGAGCUAAUAGAGGCAGAUCUUGAUAAGCUUAGCAGUUAAAUCAGAGAGACUCUUUGUCGCCUUGAGAUGGUAUUCCCACCUGCAUUUUUUGACAUUAUGAUGCAUUUGCCGGUCCAUCUAGCUGAAGAGGCCAAACUAGGAGGUCCUGUAUGCUAUAGAUGGAUGUAUCCAGUUGAGAGAUAUUUACGUACACUAAAAGGCUAUGUGAGGAACAAAGCACAUCCUGAAGGUUCGAUAGCCGAGGGAUAUAUCUCCGAGGAGUGCCUGACUUUUUGCGCUCGUUUCUUGGAUGAUGUUGACACCAAAUUGAAUCCAGCUGAUCGUCAUGAAAGUGCUGCUGUGAAUGAGCCACCAUGUGGGCUCAGCAUAUUUAGUGAAAUUAAUUUCAGCAGGAAAGGAUUUAUUUAUGAGCAAAUUUCUACAGAAGAAUUAGUGAAGAUGAGGCACUACAUGAUAACCAACAGUGAGGAGGCCGAAAAAUGGGUUGAGUAAGUUGCAAUGUACAACAGUUUUAAUUUUUAGGAUAAUUCUUUUAGUCAAUUAAUAAUUUUUUGAAGCUGCACGUGUCCACCAUGCAGUGAACAUAUGGACGAACUUAGGAAAGAUGGUACAACAAACCUUACUAAACGAUACAAGGAGCAAUUUGUAAACUAGUUUCAGGGCAAAGUUAGUAAUUAAUUCAUUUUAAUUUUCAAUCUUAAUUGUUGAGCCUUAAUUUAUAUGCACUGUCACUUAUAUUAUAUAUAUGGAAUUGUGUUUUGCAGGUCAGCAAGCAAAAUGAGGACCUCUUAUAUUACCUUGCUCAAGGACCAGACCCACGAGCCCGUGUGUAUAAUCGAUGCUUUAUCAAUGGUUUCUUGUUCCGAACCGCAUCUAUUGAGAAAAGACUGACCACACGAAAUAGUGGCAUUUAUGUGAAGGGUGAUGCCAGUACCAGCAAUAUGGCAUGGUAUGGAGUGAUUAAAAAAAUCAUCACUCUUGAUUUCCCUAAGGACAAAGAAGCUGUAUUGUUUGAGUGUGACUGGUAUGAUGUACCAGCUGCCACUAUGAGCAAAGGCAAAGGAUAUAAUAAGGAUGAAUAUGGGAUUAUUGAGAUCAAUACUAGUCGAUAUCGAUAUUCCAGUGACCCCUAUAUUCUGGCAACACAAGCUGAACUAGUUUUUUAUGCUGAUAUCCCAAGCAAGCCGGGUUGGUGCAGUGUUGUUGCAUUGAAGCCUAGAAAUUUGUUUGCCAUGCCAGAAGCAAGAGAAGUCGAGGGUGAAAUCGACAUAAACUUACUGGACGUGGGAGUGCAAGACAUGGAUAAUGCAUUACGUAUACGUAUGGAUUUGACAAAUUGGAGGAGAUUAGGCAUAGCGGGCUCUAGGGGUGAUGCCUCUAUUAUUGAUGAGGCGCAUGCCCAAUCUGUUCCUGAACCAGAUCACGUGGCAUUUCUUGCUACAGAAGAUGAUGAAGAUGAUGAAACCUACGUUGAUGAUGGAGUUGUCGCACCAACGACAACCAUGGGAGAGGGCGAGGAUGAUGAUUUCUUUGUUUAAGUCGUUUUUUAUAAAUAAUUAUUGCCUUUUUGUGCACAUGGAUGAAGACCUCUUUGAUUAAGUCAUUGUUAUGAAUAAUUGUUCCUUCAGGAUGACGAUCUCUUUGAUUAAUUUGCUGAGAUGAAUAUUUUUUGCUUCAUGAUCUCUUUGAUUAACUCGUUUUUAUGAAAAGACCCCACCUAUGAGUUCAGGUUUUGUUUGUGUGUUGUAUGUAGGGUCUUUCCCUAUUUGUCUUUUUAAUUUAAUGAAGUGUAGUUCUCCUAUAUUUUUGAGGAAAAAAAUGUUUCUUGCCAUUUUUAGGAUCCGAUGCAGUUCUGUUAAUACAUAAAUGGUUUUUAAAUUCAAGUAUGACUUGAGGACCUAUUAGUAGUCGCGGACGCACCUCCGCCAAGCACCACUUCCUUUGUCUUCAUGGACCUCAUAACGCGCUGACGUGCACCUCCUGGACGUUGGGCUUCACAUCUUCUUUAGAGUCAACGCAAACCCUCAAAGGCUCAAACACACCGUGGAGGUGUUAGGGCGGCGCGACACCCUCUUCCUGUCCCCUCCCGCCACAGCCAAUACUUCAAGAAAAUCAGAUCCAGAUACGUAGAAGUAAAAUAAAAACCGCAUAUUGUUGAACACGCCUCAAUAGUCUAGUGGUAUAUGAGCCUUUGCUUGAAAAUUACCUCCUGGGUUCAAACCAUGUGUUGGUUAAUUUUUUUAAAAAAUAUUUUAUAUAUGGAUAUCACGCUAUAUGAAUUUUGUAUUUUAAUUAUGGUUGCUUCUCACUCAUAUCUACGUUGUUUUUAACUGAGCUGCACAUUGUUGAAUGGCACUAUCUAGUGUUGUAUUUUGGCACUGAGCAAUUCCAGGUUUGAUGCAAUUUACUUUUUUAAUGCCAACUGCACAUAAAGAGAUAAAUAUUUUCUUCAGAGCACUAUUUUUUUUAAUACAAACACAAUAUGCAGAAAAUUAGCAAAAAAAAUUCUCAAAACCGUGGUCUGCAACGAACACAACAUAUGAUGGGAUCAAAGCCUUUUUCUCAGUGCAGCUAUGAACUGGUAAUGAAUUGAGAAGCACAUGCAUGUCAAUGUUUUCUUACUUGAUGAAAUAUUUAUUUAUUUGAAUCUAACCAAAAUUAGAGAGAUCCACAAACUGGUGAAGAGCCAAAUGAUUUGGCUCUUUGGGAAAAAACUCAUAGUAAGGGAGGGCGGUGGACAAAUGAUGCAUCUAAGGCUGUCUAUGUGCGUAUUCUAACAUGUUCUCCAAACCUUAAUAAAUGAUUCAUAGUAUUGCUCUUCGAUUCCAAUUUUAGUUUUAACACUUUCAAAUGACUUCUAUGUGUUAGGAAAUUGCUUCCAGCAAAAUUAAAGACAAGGAAGUAGAGUCACCAGAAAACUUUAUUCCCUCAAUAGAGAGAAACCUUAUUUUCCAGACAGCAUACAAGCAAACUACUAGAUGCAAAUCAUCCAAGGUUCAUGGCAAUGGCUAUUUGGCAAGGUAUCCAAGUAGAAAGCAGCUAAUGACUGAACAUUUCAAGGACCUGGCCCGUUCUGAAACAGAGUCCCAUAUCAAAAAUGAAGAGCUGAAGGCUACGCUAGAGAAGGUACAAGAACAACUCCAAAGCCAAGUUGCUGAAAGGGAAGCCGAGAAGGAAGAACAUAGGCGUCAGAUGGAAGAAUUACAAAAAGCAAGGGAGGCUGAUAAAGAAGAACUUAGGAAAGAGUUUAUGUUAAUGCUAACAGCACAAAUGCAAGGAGCAUCACCGCAGGUAAUAGUAUUGCAAGAUUUGAACUUGCAUAUUUAUCUAGUCAGUAUGUUUGUCAUAGGAAUAGUUUUUUUUUUUGCUGUACUAGCAUUUGUGCAUUGCUAUGGGAGCCUCAAAAUUCUAGGUUGCCACUAUAUCAUCAAUGCUCAAGUUCACCCCAUGCAUUUAAGUGGUCUUUCACACAACAAACAGAAAAUUCUAAACUGAGCAUGAAGCAAGUUUGUCCAAAUUAAUUAUCUACUAGAAGUUGGUCUGCUAAAACCACCUUUUAAUUAGAUUGAUGGGAUAGUGUAUUAUUUGGGAGCAAAAUUGAUCCCUGAUAGAAAGGACCAACUAUUGCUGUUUUCCCUAUUUCUAUUCUUAUCUUUACACAGGUUGUAUUUUUUACUUUGCCAACACCAUUUAUCUCAUUGGCCUCACUCCCUCAGAUUCAUCCCUUCUCCAUGUAACUAGUUUCUGAAUUAGGAAAGCUAUGCUGGGGGCUAAUGAAUAUCAAUCUUUUACAGGCAGAUAAAUCAGACUUUAGAGUUAGCAUCAUCUAUUAAUUUUAAUAAUAUUGCAACACCCCUUUGGUCAUUGAACUUAGUAGGUGCCUCUACAUCUCUCACUGAACUUUACAAUUUCUACACUAGCUAGAUGGCGACUGAUCUAUGUGUUGGACAUUCUACAAAAUAUCUAUGUUUGCUGUAGGCUGUAACUGUUGGUUUCCUCAUGGCAUAUGAUCAUGUGCUCACCCAUCAAAGAUUAUCAUGUAUAUCAAGGACUUGGUAGUUUGAAGGCAAUUUCAGUUUCUAUAGAUGUUUAAGUUAAUUUUAGUAUUUGUGCUAAAGUAUUCAGACUCUAUAAGCAUUUAAUAAAAGUUUAAGGAGCAAGAGAAGCUCAUGAUAUGUGAGCUUUCUUGCUGUAUUUUACCAUUUGUGCUCUCAAGUUUCUAUAUGUGGUAUGUGCCACUUUUUAAUUUGAAAGACGCCUAUCACAAUGGUUCAUAUAACUUGUUCCCCCCACUCCCCGAUGCCAUUUAACUGUUAAGCAUCUAUCACUCAAUAAUGUCUGAAGAAACAUUGUUGAACAUCUAGAUUGACGACUUGUCUAUCAUUUUUGUUAGUGGUAUACAAUAAAUUCAAAAUUCAAAUAUUAUGGGUCCUUUGUGUUUUGUUCCCAUUGCAACGCACGGACAUGAUCUUGGUGUUUUGUACAAUUGUGAUGAUCAAAUACAGCUGAUUGCAUGUAAAUAACAAAUUAUAUAUGGCGUACUCCAUCUUGCAUUUCCAUAUGCCAAUGAAAUGUUCAAUUGUCUUAUUCCAAUUUUGUGUUAGAUGCAUUAGUACUGAAAAUCUUGGAUAUGUCUUACACUUUGAAAUUUUGAUUCAAUAGAUUGCAACUUUGAUGGUCACCAGCAGGUCAUGGCAAUGUGCAGCCAUCUUCCUAAUAACUGAUGCAUAGAAAUAGGCCUCGGUUGGCUACAUAGGAGUUGAAAUUCACUAUACAUAAGAAGAUUAAUCAAUUAAGUUCUUGUCUAUGGGAGCUAAGUAGUUAUAAUAAAUUUUUACUAUAGGUUAAUCAAGGUGCAAUCGAAACAACAGCUGACGAAACAACUGCUAACGCAACAUCCUCAAUUGCUCAAGAACCAGUCUUGAGUCAAAGAGAAGAAACAACACUUGAGGAUGAAGCAACAUUAGAUCAGGUUAUUUCACAUUAAAAAUUGUUUAUAGCCAUCAUGAAUUAUUGCACCGUGAGUCCUAAUAUUUUUCAUAUAAUUUAUUGAGUUGCAAAAUAACCUACAGGUAAACCAGAAAGUGCAACUCAUAGCUUCAACAGGUGUGGGUAGCACUGUGCGCACCACUAGAGCCAGUCUUAACCGAACUCAAUCACAAAACAAAGAAGGAAAUGGCACACCAAAUUUUAUUUCGAGGGCACAAUUGGCUGAUGCCGUGUCAAAGAGACGAUUCAAAAAGAAUUUAAUGUAAGCUUCAUUUUUCCUAUUGCUUCUGAAAAUUCAGAUUAAAGCCAUGUUCAGUGAACUGCUCAACCAUUGUACAGUUUGCAUUGUUGUUGCUAAACAGAUAGCUUUAGUUUCCAAUACCUGUCUACAUUCUUCUUUUGCUGCUGUCCUAAACAAUUCAGUACUUUAGCUAUAUAUUUUUAUUUGCAUGAAAUUUCCUUAGUCGAAUGUGCUUGCUUAUAAAUCAUCUUAUAUUACAUUAGCUGUUAGCUUCUCUCUGCUUGUGUCAUGUUGGCUUAUACAAUAGGACAUGCUAAUUAUUCAUUUAUACUUAUUUUGUACACUGUUGCUCAAGUGAUAGUAACCUAGUAACCUGCUUUUUCUUGGAAAGAUCUUUCAGAAGAAAUCCUUGAGUGAAUUUCCUAUGACAAUUGCAUAUCCUUAAAUGCAGAAUUUGAGUGGAGCACACAAGUGAUGGGAUCGUCCAAAUGAGGCCAAGCCAAGCCAAGUGAAGCUGCAGUGCUGUCUAUGCAUCUUAGAAGUUUUUGUUUAGGAACAAAUAUGUUGGAUAUCUUUGUUUCGAUAAUGCUUGUGUAGCCUGAGUUUGAAUUUUUAUAGCGUUUAAUUACAGAUGUGAACAAAUGAAGCAAGUUAUAUUUUGGUUUAAUGGCUUCAUUACAAUGGUUUGUUGAUGUCUAUUGAGCUUCUAAUUAACUAAUGGUGCUGCAAUAUUGCCUGGUGGCACCAAACUAAAAGCAUUGUAAAAGUGGAUAUUAGCAACCCUAUUUUUUAUGGCAAUCUAUCAUAUACCAACGUAUGCUCUUCAUGGCAAUAGAGGUUGCACUAAUAGCAAUGGAACAGUCAAUGUGGCAACAUGCACAUGUUACCACCACCACUUGGUGUUGUGACAUAAUCCUAUUGCCACACUUGUUUUGCGUGGCAAUAGCGACUAUACCUUAAGCAACCAAAUGUUCGGUGUGGCAAUUGCACAUGUGCCCACCACUCCCUGGUGUUGCGACAUAAUCCUAGUUGCCACACUCAUUUUGCGUAGCAACAACUACUACACCUUAAAGCAACCAAAUGUUGGGCGUGGCAAUUGCACAAGUUACCACCACUUCUUGGUGUUGCAACAUAAUCCUUGUUGCCACACUCAUUUUGUGUGGCAAUAAAGACAACACCUUAUAGCAACCAAAUGUUGGGCAUGGCAAUUGCAUAUGUUGCCACCAAUUCUAAGUGUUGUGACAUAAUCCUUUUACCACUAUCGAUAUGUGUGGCAAUACUUUGUGUUGCAACACACGUUCGGCAUUGCUAGUGUACCAUUUGCUACACCAUGGGCAUGUUGCCAUUGCAUGGUCCAGCAACGCCUAAGGUGUUGCAUUAGUUGAUGUUGCCACACAUUCAACUGUAGCAAAACCUUAGGUUGCAACACCCUAGGUGUUGCAAUUUUGAUACAGAUUUGCAACACUGCAUAGAAAAGUGUUGUGCAAGCCUAUUGCCACCCUUGAUCUUGCAACGCCUCCCAACACUAAAUUUGUGUUGCUAUUGCUGCUGUUGCAACAAUUUUGGUUCUAUUGCAACAUAUUUGGGGCAUUGAAAAAGGGUCCAAAUUUAGUAGUGGCGGGGGGAACGCCUUUGCGCUCGAGGCCCACUGAUUUGCUCGACGCCCUUUCCAUAAUCGACGGUCGUUGGCUAUCGAGCCCUUGACCAUUCGCUCGACCGUGUUUCUGUAUUCGAGGCUAGGGUUGAUACCGCGUUUGUGGGUCGAGCUAUGGAUUUGGUGAGCCUGUGUUUGCACUAGAUCAUCAAGCCUCACCCUCUAGUUGUUCUUGGAUAUCUUCAUCAGGGGUGUUUGCUGGGGUACCCCCCGAUGGACACCCUCGACAGUAGCCCCCGAGCCCUUGUUCGAGCACUUGUGCUUAGGCAGCGGCUUUUCUGACGGUCGUAUUUCUAUGGGGGUCACGCGAGCGACCCUUACGAGGGUAACCCCCGAGGCCUUGGAGGAGUUAGGGGACUCCUUCGAGGGUUGUGCUGCUUUUCUUGGAUCUAGGCAUUUUUGACUUCCCUUUAGCUGAGGGACGUUAACUCCGGGAGGGAUCCCCCGAGCCUCAUUCGCUAGUUCCCCCUUUUGGUGCGAGGAGCGCGAUGUACCCCUGAUGGAGCGAGCAUCAUCGUCCUUGGUGAGCUCCUAUCAGGUAAUCCAAGCGAGACCCCAUGCCCUGUCUGAUGGGGAUGGCUGUACCCUAGGGGCACUCUUGUUAAAGAUAGGCUAGUGUGAUCGGGGAUACCGGUCUCGUUCGAUAGAGUCCGGUGGCUCGACGCCUCUCUCCGUGGGGAUUCCUCUCGACCUCCUUGCCUUUGCCUUGGAUACUCCCAGCGGGUUCUUGAGGCAUGCCUUGUUUCGACCUCCCACUAGGUGUCCCUGACUCGGUACUCGAGGGCGACCGUCGAACCCAGUCGGUGGGCCAGUCCUCGCUCCCUCGAGGUUCCAACGGCGGCAUGCGCCAAACUUACCUUGUGACGGAAGUAAGGGCCAUGGCAGUUCAUUUUCCUGCCCGUUGGGCGCACCUUUUUAGGAGAUAGCCGUUGCGGUGCCGUUCCAUUGGGCGGAUUCCGUAACGUUCUGCCGCAGAGGGAGGACCGUUAGGCGGCGCAUUUAUGGAGGGAGUUACUGUGAUUAUCGGAUCUGUCCGUUGCAGCAUGCCUAUAUAUAUCGAGGUCUCGCCUAGUUGUUUUCCAUUCUGCAUUCCGCCAUCGCUUUCGUUCCUUCCCUCGCCGCAUCACCCUGUGCACUAAGACGAAAAGAGCUCAUAGAGGAGAGAUAGUUAGGAUUUUGUCACGCCUUUCCGUGCCCAAGACGAUACCGGUGAGACUUAUUACCGCCGACGAGUGGCGCCCGUCGACCGUGUCAGAGCGCCAGCUGUGGGACCCGGAGAAGGUGGGGCUCCUGCGCCCCUCACUUCCUCGACGUGGCCCGAGUGGAUCGCACCGUCGGUGGAGCACUAGGAGCCAAGCCCGCUGGAGGGCUACGUCGUCUCCUUCAUCAAGUUCCACCACCAUGGGUCUGGGUCCCCUUCGAGCCGCUUCAUGAGGGCGCUACUCCAUCACUACGGCGUCGAGCUCUAGCAUUUCUCCCCCAACGCAAUCUUUGCCGCGGCGAUCUUUGCCGCGGUGUGUGAAGGCUACUUGGGAGUGAUGCCGCACUAGGAGUUGUGGCUCCACCUCUUCUAGGGUCAGUUGUUCCGUGCUCCUAGUGGGACUGCAGGGGUGAGGAAGCCGGUGCGGGCCGGCUGCCUCAACUUGGUCCAGAAGACGGGGCACGUGGAUGAGCCUCAAGAGUAUAUUAUCACUGGGCUGACAUCGAACUAUGCCCAGUGGGACUCUCAAUGGUUCUACCUUCACAAUGACAAUGGCUUCUUCCCCACCUACACCGGUCGGCUGAUCAAGGAGCGCCCUGAGAACUGGAAUUAUGGCGUCAUCAAGAUCCACCAGGCUCGGCUCCGCCCCCUUCUCGAGGCCCUGAAGCAUCUGCGCGAGGAAGGCCUGACCGUGGCUCUUGUCCUCUCAGCAGUCCACCAUCGACGGGUGCUCCCGUUGAUGUCUCGACCGCUGAGGAUGGACGAGGUGGGCCCCAUGCUUUGUCUCGGGACCUCAAGGUGUGCUAGAUGUCUAAUGAGGCGCUCCCGGAUGAGGAGGUUGCUGCUAGGGUUAGGGCGGCCGUCUCGGGCGACUUCCAGUUGGAGCUCGUGAAUUCCUUCCCCAUGAAGCCUGAUGAAGGCUACUUUGAUCUGGUAAGUCCCUCGACCCAUCGUCACUCGGCCCUUAUUUUUGGUUCUGCCGCUUCCUUUCCAAUUUUCCUAAGAUUUGUGUCUGCUUUGUCAGGGGGUGAUUGAUGCCCGGUCCUCGAAGCCCCCGGUGAGGGAGGACAAUGUCGAGUGCGAGAAAAGGCGCACCUCUACCGAGAAGCACAAGUCUGUGCAAGAUGUAGAGAGGAAGAAGGAGAUGAGAAAGAACCUCGAGCGGUAGACGCUCAAGGAGCAUUGGGCUAAGGCAAGGCAUGAGGGGAGGCCCAAGAGGGACUCUCCUGAUGAGGAUGACGAUGAUGAUGAUGAUGAAGAUGAGGAUUCUGAGGAGAUGGCGGUCCGCCUCGACUGGGUCCUGCAAGGCCCACCGCAAGCCGAUAUUUCCUCAUCGCAAAUGGGGGCUUCCAAGGGGCCACAAGGCGGAGACCGUGAGGGUCACCAAAAGGAGGCGUCACCUCAUCGUCCGCAUGCCAACACGCCUCCUACCCCUACUCGGGGUAGGGCCGAGCUGCCGCCGCGACCUCCCUAGGCGUCCGGCCCGGGCCAUCAGGUCAUGACUUCUGGAACAGGGCCGCUGUGGUAGCCUCAACCCAGGGAGGUGCAUGCCGAAGAAGCAUGAGCCCUGAGGGUCGUCAAGAAGGGAGAGCAGAGCCGAGGCCUGCUAUCGUCUCGGAGUAGCCGGGGGUCAUGGGACUGGGAGGAGGGCCGUCCUCUGUGUGAGGUAAGAUCUUUAGACCGUAACGCUGUCUUCGUCAGUUCAUUGUUUGUUGGUGCUAACCAGCUUGCGUCAUUUCUCCCCAGCUCAGGUUGAAGAGGCAGUUAGAGCAGGCCCAACCCUCGAUCGCCAAGAGGCUCAAGAUAGGAGCAAGCCCUAAGGCACCGGGUAAGUGAUUGGCUUCCCUUCCAUGUUUCCAUGUUGGUUUUGUGGGGGCUUCCUGUGGCUGAUGUGUGUUUUGUGAUACACGCAGGCUCUUCCGACUCACGGCCGCCCGCUGGUGGCGAUGAGGUCCCGCCUCGAGCGUCGGAGGGAGGCGAUGUCUUGACGAGCGAUCUGCCGCCCCUCGAUCAUGAUGGGAUUCCGCUCCCCUGAGACCAAGAGGGAGCCCCGAGUCACCCAAGCUUAGGGGAGAGGGCGACUCGAUCAGUAUUAGUGAUGAGCCCGAAGAUGGGCCGCCGCCGUCUGGCGACCGCAUUGCAGCUGAGGGAACCGAGGUCCCUCGAGUCGAGGGACGGGCGCCAUGGCCCACCGGGCUCUGUGCCGUCGAGGAACAGGAGAAGAAGGAGGCCGAGGAUGAGUAGAGGAAGAAGGAGGAGAAGAAAAAGAAGGAGGAAGAGGAGAAGAAAAAGGAGGAAGUGGAGAAAAAGCAUCUGCAGGAGCAGCAGUAGCAGGAACAGCGGCAGGAGCUGGAGCAGCUACAGGAGCAGUAGCAUCAGGAACAGCAGGGGCAACUCGAGCAAGGGUAGGGGCCCGAGAUGCGGGAAGACAAGCUACCCGUCUAUGGCCCCGAGACUCCCGCGUGGCUUCGUCCCGAGGGGAUUCCCACUAUCCUGGCCGAGCCAUGUCGGGAGGACGGCGUUGUGGUGUUGGCACUCGGUACGCGCACACCUGUGGACCCGAGUUUGGAGAUCAACGAGACCCUUUAUGGCAUCGAGGGGAUCGCCCCUGGCUAUUUAGAGGGUCGAUGGCCUUGGGAGGACAUGGCCGGGUCCUCAAGCGCUAGUGAGGAUGACGUGCCUGGGACCUUAGGCUCUACUUUCAAGGAUGGUGGGCGAUUCCCUUCCCUUGUCGACCUUUUCCUGCGUCACAGGUGGUGCAGGAGCUCAUAUGGGGGAUAAAGGAACGCACGAAGGAAGAGCUCGACCACUGGGGCCCCAGGAAGAUCCGUCUCUGAUGCUCUACGUCCCUAGAGGAGCCGAACAUCGUGAUGGAUAACAGCAAGGAGGACGAGAAGUGGGAACACCUCGAGGAGCUUCGCCUCUAGAUGAAGCAUGUCCUGGGGCUGAUGUCUGACAUCGUCAACAAUGGCUUGGGCUAGGCUUUCUUUGUAAGGGUCUCUCGCCUUUCGCUAUUUUGAUCUUCAUUGUUUUGCUGGUGCGCUUACCGCCUUGUGCUCUUUUGCAGGACUUGAAGGAAACCUCCUGGCUAAAGUCAGGCUUUAUUCACGCAACAAGGGGCGGCUAGGAGCAAGUUCCACUUCUCAAGGACUAGCUCCUCGAGUCGCAAGAAAAACUACUCAAGGCCCUCAAGGAGCUAACUGCGGCCGAGGAGGAGAAGUAGAAGAAGGAGGCUGCCUUGACCGAGGCUUGGAAUACUCUAUCUGGUAUGAACGGGAAGGUUUACCAGGCAGAGGAAGAUGCCCGUGUCGCAAAGGAGGCCGUGGAGAAAGCCCAAGAGGAGGCCGCUCAGUCGAGGGAAGAAACCGCUACGGCCAAGGAAGCGGCCACCAAGGCUCAAGAAGAGGCAUCGCGGUACAAGGGCGAGGCCGUCGAGCUGGACAAGGGGAAGAGGCUAGUGGAGUCUGACCUUGCCGUCGCUCGAGGCAAUUAUUCUGGGCUGAAGGAGGAGCUCUUGAAGAGUGAAAUUGCCUAGGGCGCCACAGAGGAGGCUGAGAAGAUGGCUGUCGACGAAAGCUAGUCGGCAGUCUACCUUGGGGUAUACCCUCGGUAGUAGUUUAUCGGUAGACGGUGCGCAAACUACGAACUCGAUGGUGACGCAAGACACGGACAAGCUUUUUAUCCAGGUUCGGCCGCCGAGUUGGCGUAAUACCUACGUCCUGCGUCUGGUUGUAUUGAUUUGUGUUGAGAGGAUAUGAUGUCCUAGGGGGGUCCCUCGCCCCUCCUUAUAUAGUCUGGAGGGCGGGGUUACAGAUCUGGAAACUAAUCCUAGUCGGUUACAAUUGCCAUGGAUAAUUCGAUGUCAAUUCCUAUUCUAACCGACUAGAAUCCUGCUUGAUCUCCACAUCUUGUUUCCUUGCGCGAAACUCCAGGUUGUCGGAUCAAGCCUUGAACUCGUCUCGUAAUGGACCAAGCCUCCUGGCCGAAAUCUAGCCGUAAGGGUAUAGGGGUUUAUACCCCCACAGCUAGUCCCCGAGCACCAUGUAUUGUGAUGUAACACGCCGUCUUGAGCUUCUUCGAUCAGUGUGGCUUGACGUCUUCAAUAAGCAGGAAAGUCGUCCGAACAGUUGCAACGGUAUUUUGACCAACUCAAAAGACAGUUGAUCAACAUUGACAUCGAAGAAGCAGGUUGUUCGAAGAAUGCAUGGUGCUCUUAAAAAAAUUUCUUUCCUGAUGAAGUGUGCCCACUUUACCUUUUUGAAAGGUAUAAACAUCAAAAAAGCAAGCAAAUUCACCGCUAGGUGAAGUGUGCCCACUUAGUCCCCGAGCCUGGUAGUAGGUGACGUAGGCACGUGGUGCCAGGGUCAAAAGAAAAUUCCCCAAAGUAGUUUUGAGACUGAGAUGCAUCGCUAGAUGCAUCGUACCGAUGUAGUCCCCGAGCUUGCUGGAAGGCGAAGUAUGAGCCUUGUAGCAAGGUCAAAAGUGAAUUUACCAGUCCCCGAGCAUGUCAUGCUCGUCUACAAAUGAAAAGACCAAUCGACCAGUCCCCAAGCACUAAGUGUGCUCCUUGGAAUUAUAUGUUGCUAUACCGUACGACCAGUCCCCGAGCGUCGAGUGCUCGGUGGUCGGUGCAUGCUUUAAAGCUUUGAGCUGAUAGACUGGGCGACCAGUCCCCAAGCGUCGAGUGCUCGGUGGUCGGUGCAGUCCUUGAAGUUCUUAGCUGAUAGACUGGGCGACCAGUCCCCGAGCGUCGAGUACUCGGUGGUCGGUGCAGUCCCCGGAUUGUUGACUCACUGGCGUAUGUGUCUUCUUAUUUUUGAAAAGAUCUUUCCAGUUAAAGUUGUCGUGACGAGGCCUCCUGACGGGGUGUCAGACGGAUGCAUGAAAAGUUGCACCUGACAACUGUACAGCCGCCCUUUGCAUGGUUUGAGAAAAGGAAACCAUCAAUUGGUACGAAAACUCCGCCGCAUUAAUUGUCUAUAAUCAUUGUAAACCGAAACGCCGCGUCCGCCGCAUGGCCUGCCCACUUCCCGAGAAUACAGGAAGUGGGAGAAGUGGAGUUGCGGGCUUAUAAGAGCCUAAUAGGUCCGCCUGUACCGCUUACCCUGCCAUUGCCUUCAAACCUUCCGCUCUCAUCUUCUCCAAUCUCCUGCAUCUUCCUAACUCAAGCCCACAUUCGCACCUCUAAUGGCGAAGAGAGACUCCAGGAAGAGGGCCGAACUGAUGGCCAAGGAGUGGAAGAAGUCUCGCAGCACCACAAAAUCUCUUGGUGACCUCGUCGAUAUGGGGCUUCUGCACGGCCCGGAGCUCGGCGGCUGGAGGGCACCGGAGGGGGAGAGCUACCCCGACCCUCGCGCCGGUGAGAUCGUCGUAUUUGAAGAUUUCAUUAAGAGGGGUUUUGGUGUUCCUGUUCAUCCUUUUCUUCAAGGUCUUCUUUUGUAUUAUGAGAUCGGGAUUUGCAAUCUGCACCCGAACUCAAUUCUCCUCAUUUCCACCUUUAUCCACCUGUGCGAGGCCUAUGUUGGCAUAGAGCCGCACUUCGAUCUUUUUCGGUAUCUUUUCUGCUUGAGGAAGAAGGGAGCAGUUGGAGGCUCCAAGGUUGCAGGUGGAGUAUACCUCAACCUUCGUGAUGGAAUGAAGAAUUGCUACCUGCACUGCCCAUGGAACACUUCCUUGAUCGAAUGGUACAGGAAGUGGUUCUACAUCAGGGAGGAACCGGGCAGCUCCACAUUCUGCGACGUGGGAUACAUUCCUGAGAAGAGGACGAGCUGGACCGACCGCCCGGAGUUCGACGGUCCAGUGGCGGAUCUCAUGAAGCUGAUCGACUGGUCGCGCCUGGACGGGCUUGGCGUGGUCGGCAACUUCAUUUGCCGCCGGGUGAUGCCCUGCCAGAAGAGGGUGCACUCGGCGUACGAGUAUGCCGGAAGCGCAGACCCGACCAGGAUGCGGUCGGAGAUCUUGGAGAAAGCGGAGGUACAACAGCUGUUGAACGAGCUGUUUAACUUCGCGGAUGGGGGCUUCAUCCGUGGCAGUGAUCGGGUGCAAACCUUCAAGUUAGGACGACCAGCACCAAAGGUAUGUAGCAGAUUCUGUUUUAGCAUUCGUAUAUCGUCUGCAGUUGACUCAUCUCUGUUGCUUUUGCAGAUCGGCGAUGUUGACCGGUGCACAGUGUAUGUAUCACUGGCACCGGGGAUGGAAAAUCCUGCGGGAGAGGUCCAGCCAGAGGAGGACACUGCUCGGUGUACUCAUUACACCAGCAGUGAGGAAGACCAAGCCCGCCUCGUCCCGACCUCCGAGGAGAGGGUAGCGGGGAAAAGGCCAUUGCCGGCAGAUCCCUUGCCGACACCGGAGCUGCCGGCAGAUCUACCGGCGGAGAGCAGCCAAGCACCGAAGCGUCGUCGGCUCGUGCGGAUCGUCGACGACGACGACGACGAGGAGGCUGCGCCGUCGUUGGUCCGACGGCCUCGGAGCCGCCCAGACAAUGCGCCGGUCAUCACUGAUCAAGUGGCCAGCGGCGCCGCUGCCCCGCAAGUUGUCGAGAUGGGGGCACAGGUGCCGACCGGCCGGGCGAGGAGGUGGUUCACCGCGACCCACCGUCGGUCAGACCUGUAAGUGUUCGACUUACGUAUUUUGGACUCCUCUUUGACUUUUUUUUUUAAAUUUAACUUUUGUUCCUGUAGUACGGCAUCGGAUGUCGACCCCGGCCAAACUGCCAGCCAGGGAACGGGCGAGCCUGCCCGCGGUUCUGGGGAUGCGGCCCCCCAGACCACAGAGCAGCCAACAGCUGCAGUCGCGCCUGGGAGCACCGAGGGGCUCCCGAGCGCGGCACCGACUACGACAAGCAGCCCGACCAGGGCUGGAGAGGCUCCCCCAACUGACUCCUCAGAGAAGGGAAGAUCUCCGACCGCCCCUCCUGCCGGGGGGAGUGAAGUCCCCACGCCGCCCCGAGCAGGAGCCUCUUCGGCUGCGGGCUCCCCAGGUCUGGUCCAAGGGCCAGUAAUACCUGGGACCACCACCGGGGGUGACGCAGCAUAGGAGGAGGAAACCCGGGCGGCCUCCGAUGAUGAGGUGGAAGAGAUUGAGGGUCGUCCCCGUGAUGGCCGCCAACGCGAUUAUGUGUGGCGCCAACGCGGGAUCACUUUAUCGGGCACGAGGAGCUCGCCGAGACCGAAGAGGCCGCCAGGGUGGAGCGCGCGGCCAAGCGCCUCGUCGACGAAGUCAAGGUAAGCGGCUUUUUGUACUGCUGUACAUUCUUUUGCCUUGUCUUGCAUGGUCGUUAUAUGCUUGCUUUGUAGGGCGCAAUGAAAACGGCGAAGUACCGGAAACGGUGCUUUGACCAGAUAGAAGCCGUCAUGGCCGAGAACAAGGCCCUUGCCGCGGAGGUAGACCAGUUGCGGUCGGAGGUCGGGGAGAAGGUGGUCGAGAUGAGUGCCGAAAAGGAGCGUCGUCUCGACCUCGCUCGUCGUUUGGCCGACCAGUACCGGCUGCAAGAAGGUUAGUCACACGCUCCAAGCAGCUUCGCGUACUUGUAUAGUUUGCUUUGCUGACCAGUUUAGGAUUCACACAGACUUGGAGGAGGAGGUGGCGAGCCUCCGACAAGAGAAGGAGCAGCUCAGCCAACAGCUCGCCGGUGCGCUGGAGUCCGGGCGGCGAGCAGGAGAGGAAUUGGGUCGAAAAGACCGGGAGCUAUCUCGUAAUGGGUGCCGCCUUGUUGGUUGCUGCCUGCCCCUUUGUUAUGCCGAAAAUAACGCUUCGUUUCGUUUGCAGUGCUCAAGGUGAACGCCAAAAAGCACCUGGACGAUCUGACCAAGGACCGGGACUCCUGGAAGGUCAACUGUUGCAGGAUCUGGAAAGGAGUGUCCCCGGUCCUAGACCUGAUCAGUCCCGAGCUCCCGGAGAGCCAGCCCCGCGCGCCGCAGUUGACCCCGGUCGAGAAGGCGCAACGGGCGUGGGACUGGCUCCAGCAGUUUGUGAAGGACGCCGGGGAGUUUGCCGGCGCGCACGUCCUCAGCAUGGUGCGCGCCCACUACCCCCUGGUCGACUUGAGCAGGCUGGAGAAGGGGUACCCGAAGGAAGUCGGUCCGCAGGACGCGGACGAGCUUCGGGGUAGUCUGCUGGACUUGUCGUCGACAGUGAUCGGCGACAUCAAUCUGUGCGGAACGGCCACUCCUCCAGACCAGCCGAGUUCAGAUAGGUCGGCCAGGGAGUUGUCGGGCGCGUCCGUUGCGGGAGAUGGGCGGUCGACGCCUGCGGUCUCGACUAGCCAGGCGCCGGUGGCCCCGACCCCUUCGUCCGGGCAGCAGGGCCAGGCGGGUGAUCAGCCCGAGCAGCUAGGCCAAUAAAGUAGUCUGUAGGAAUAGACUAGUGUCUGCCCGUCAGGGGAUUUAUUGUAAACUUUGUAUGUAAAGUUUGUAAUAAAGUUUACUUUUUGUCAUGACUGUUGUUUUGAGCGCUGUAAGAAUAUCUGAGUGACGUGUCACCGUAUUUGUCUUGGUUGUCGCUAAGAGCAUCCAUUGCAGGAGUUUUGCCGAGUGCUGUGUGUGACAAGGUAUAGGCAAAAAAUAGAGAAUUCCAUUAUCAAAAAUUAUAAGAUACUUACAAAAGAAAGUCAUUAAAACUUUAUGGAUAGAAACGUCGCAGUUUGUUGAUGUGCCAAGAGUUAGGCACUCGUGUUCCGUCUGGGUAUGCCAAUCUGUAGGACGUAGGUCGUGUGACCUCGGUCACCACGAAGGGUCCUUCCCAGGGAGUGGAUAGCUUGUGCAUUCCCUCCUGGCUUGUUUUCCAUCGAAGCACCAGAUCGCCGACCACGAAGGAACGGUCCUUGACGUUCCUGUUGUAGUAUCGCCUGACUGCCGCGAGAUAUUUUGCUGUUCAGAGACAUGAAACUAAACGCUUUUCCUCCAUGCAAUUGAUUUCGAGUUCUCUGGCGUUGUCGGCGGUCGCCUGGUCGAAGUGCUCGAUUCUAGGGGAUCCGAAGUGUAUGUCAGACGGCAGGACCGCCUCUGCACCGUACACCAUGAAGUAGGGAGACACCCCUGUGUUUCGACUGGUCUGGGUUCGGAGGCCCCAGACCACUGCCGGCAAUUCUUUCAUCCAUCGACCGGGUGCUCUGUCGUUUUCGGUGUACAGCCUUUUCUUUAGGGCGUCAACGAUCAUUCCGUUAGCACGUUCGACUUGACCGUUGGCACGUGGAUGUGCCACUGACACAUAUUUUAUGACUAUGCCUCUGUCAUCGCAGAAAUCCCAAAAAGUGGUGCCAGUAAACUGAGUGCCCAGGUCGGUGAUUAUGUUGUUCGGGAUGCCGAAUCUGUGUAUGAUUUGAUUGAGGAACUCCACAGCCUUCUCGGAGGUUGCCUUGACCAGGGGCAUGUAUUCAAUCCACUUGGAGAACUUGUCGAUUAACACGAAGACAAACUUGAAAUUGCCCGGGGCUGGUUUAAAUGGUCCGAUCAUGUCAAGCCCCCAGCAAGCAAAGGGCCAAGACGACGGGAUGGUUUGAAUUUCAUGGGCAGGUACGUGGGUCCUCUUAGCGAAAAACUGACAUCCUUCGCAAUGCCGAACCAGUUUUUCUGCGUCGCCGACCGCGGUUGGCCAAUAAAAACCUGCUCGGAAAGCCUUUCCGACCAGCGUUCUAGAUGCGGCGUGAUUGCCGCAGGAUCCAGCGUGUAUGUCCUCCAAGAGCUUGAUACCAUCAUCUUGGGGUAUGCACUUGAGCAGUACUUCGGAGCUUGCGUUUUUCCGCAUGAGUUUUCCGUCGACCAGGAUGUAGUUCUUUGAUCGUCGGAUGAGGCGCUCGUUCUCUGUUUUGUCCUGAAAGCCUGUCCCGUCUGAUAUGUAUUUGAUGAACGGGGUACGCCAGUCACGCCCGCCGGUUGUCGGAGUGGCGUCAUCUAUGAGCAUUGCCUCGGUGGGUUGCUUGUCGACCAGGGGGGAGCUUACGCUCGGCUCAUGGAUGUCUUGGACGAAAAUACCCCGCGGGAUUUGGGCCCGAGAUGAGCCUAACUUUGACAACGCAUCUGCUGCUUGGUUCUUAUCCCGGACCACGUGGAUGUACUCUAUGCCAUAGAAGUUAGUUUCCCAUUUGCGAAUUUCUUUGCAGUAGAGAUCCAUCUUCUCGUGGGUUGCGUCCCACUCCUUGUUGAGCUGGUUGAUGACCAAAGCGGAGUCGCCAUAGACAUAGAGGCGCUUGACCCCCAGUUCAACGGCUAGUCGUAUGCCAUGCAAGCAUGCUUCGUACUCGGCGACGUUGUUUGACGCCGGAAAAAGGAUCCGAAGGACGUAACGGAGUUUGUCCUUGUUGGGUGAUACGAACAAUAUCCCAGCGCCUGCACCGUUGAUGUUCAAGGACCCGUCAAAGAACAUUGACCAGUGGUCUGAGACAUCGGGAACGGAAGGCUCGUUGAGAUCCGUCCAUUCGGCAAUGAAAUCGACCAGGGCUUGAGACUUGACAGUGGUGCGACUCUAGAACUCCAGGGAAAAUGGACAUAAUUCCAUUGCCCAUUUCACGAUUCUGCCAUUGGCGUCUUUAUUGCGCAGGAUGUCCCCGAGAGGAAAGCUGGUUGUCACCAGGACUCGAUGGCCGUCGAAGUAGUGCUUCAGCUUUCUUGACGUUAUCAGGAUGGCGUAUAUAAGCUUCUGUAUUUGUGGGUACCUGGCCUUGGACUCGUUUAAGACUUCGCUUAUGAAGUAAACGGGUCUCUGGACCUUGAAGACGUGACCUGGUUCAUCUCGCUCGACCACUAUUGCCGUGGAAACAACCCUGUCGGUUGCAGCAAUGUAAAGGAGUAGGUCUUCAUUGGGCUGAGGCGCUGUGAGGACAGGUGGUGAAGUGAGGAAGGUCUUAAGCUGAGUGAACGCAGCGUCGGCUUCCUCUGUCCAAGAAAAUUUUUCUGACGCUUUCAAUAGUUUGAAGAAAGGGAGGCCUUUUUCUCCCAGCCUUGAGAUGAAACGACUGAGGGCGGCCAUGCAUCCGGUUAGCUUCUGAAUAUCCUUGACGUUUUUCGGUGGUCGCAUGUCGAGUACGGCUUUGACUUUUGAAGGGUUUGGUCGUAUGCCGUCGCGACUGACGACGUUGCCGAGCAGUAGACCGGAAGGAACGCCGAAAAUGCAUUUCUUGGGGUUGAGCUUCCACUUGUACCUAUUGAGUGCCUUAAAGGUUCGGUCUAAGUUGUCGAUUAGGGUGCUCGCGUCCCUUGUUUUUACGACCACGUCGUCCACAUAGGCCUCGACGAGGUCAUCGCGAAUCUCGUCGUGGAGGCAUUGCUGGAUGGCCCUUUGAUAAGUGGCCCCGGCGUUUUUAAGUCCGAAAGACAUGGUAGUGUAGCAGUAUGCGCCGAAGGGUGUGAUGAAGGAUGUUUUGAUCUGAUCUUCUUCCUUUAGCGAGAUCUGGUGAUAACCAGAGUAGCAAUCUAGAAAGGAGAGUAGUUCGCAUCCGGCCGUUGAGUCGACCACCUCGUCGAUGCGAGGAAGACCAAAAGGAUCUUUAGGACAGUGUUUGUUGAGAUCGGUGUAAUCAACGCACAUUCUCCAUUCAUUAUUCUUUUUGCGUACAAGAACCGGAUUGGCGAGCCAAUCGGGGUGAUACACUUCUUUUAUGAAUCCGGCUGCUAGAAGCCGUGUUAUUUCUGUCCUAAUAGCCUCCUUUUUGUCACGAGCGAACCGUCGCAGUUUUUGCUUGAUUGGUCUUGCGGUCUUCGAGACAUUUAAGGAGUGCUCGAUCAGGUUUCGUGGGACACCGGGCAUGUCUGCGGGUUUCCAUGCGAAAACGCUCACGUUGUCCCUUAGAAACCUGACGAGCGCGUCUUCCUAUUUUGGAUCUAGGUUAGCCCCGAUGAGGGCUGUCUUCUCGGGGUUGCCUUCGACCAGCUGCACUUCUUUGUACUCCUUGGAUUUCGAGUUCUUUCUGGCUGUCUCCUGCUCAGGUAAUCGGAGCUGGUCGGGAGGCAGCUGUGCGGCUUGGUUUGCUGUUUCCGCCAUGCGGAUUGAGAGGUCGAUUGCCUCGGUGAUCUUGAAGCUUUCUUCUUCGCAGGUGUACGCAGUGUAGACGUUGCCUCUGAUGGUUAGGACACCCUUCUCCGUGGGCAUCUUAAGGACUAGGUAUGAGUAGUGCGGGACUGCCAUGAACUUUGUCAGCGAUGGGCGGCCCAGUAUGGCGUGAUAGGUCCCGUCGAAAUCCGCGACUACGAAGUUGAUGAACUCCGUCCGGAAGUGAUCGGGUGUGCCGAAUUGGACAGGCAAUGUUAUCUGUCCGAGGGGCACCGAACUUUGACCUGGCAAAACCCCCCAGAAUUGGGCGUCGUAAGGUUUUAGUUGUGCCGGUGAUAUCUUGAGGGCGGGCAGGCUGUUGCGGAAGAGGAUGUCGAUGGAGCUUCCCCCGUCCACGAGCACGCGCUCGAAUCUGAUGCUAUUGAUGCAGGGAUCAAGAAUCAGUGGGAAACGACCCGGCUCUGGGAUAGCGGCCCACUGGUCCUUCCUGCUGAACGAGAUCUCCCUGUGGGACCACGCGGGACAUUUCGGAUCUGCGAUCAGCCCAUCCGUGCUGUCUAUGUUGAGGCAGGCUCUCUUUAACAGCUUUCUUUCUCGCUUGGACUCAGUGGAGACCUUGCCCCCGAAAAUGGAGUGGACCACGUCGGUGGGGCUGACGUAUUGGUGUCGGGGGUCCCUGUCUUGGUCCUCAUCCUCAUCUUCGUGGUCGUGCCCGUCGCGCUUGUUAUUUUUCUUGGCGGAGUCCUCUUGGGCGGCCCGCCAUGUAUAGAUACUUUUGAGGACGCGGCACUCUUCCAUGGUAUGGUUAGACUUUGGGUGUAGCUGGCACGGUCCCUUCAACGUUUUGUUGUAGUCGUCUUGGUAGUCCCGUCGUCCAUUGGGACGUUUGACCGUAUUUACUUCGUGGUCGUAGUCGCGAGGGCGCUUUCCUCUGAAGUCGUCGCGGCUGUCGCGCCGCCGAUCCCAACCCUCUCGGUGAUCGCGGUUGUCAGAGCGGCGGUGAUUUCUGUUGUCGUAGCGACCACGACCGUCAUCUCGCCGGGAAGGCUGGUCGGGGCCUCUCGCAUCGUCUCGGAUUAGUUUUUCUGCGUCAUCAGCAUCGGCGUAAUUUUUAGCCGUGGCGAGGAGCUCUGCUACCGUUGAUGGGCGCUUACGCAACAGCUUGUUCCUCAGCGCUUCAUGGAAACGCAUGCCCUUGAUAAAGGCUGAUAUGGCCUCGUCAUGAGAAAUCUUCGGGAUUUUGAGGCGCAUAUCCGAGAAUCGUCGGAUGUAAUCACGCAGAGGUUCAUUCUUCCUGUCUCUUAUCCUUUCAAGUUCAUACUUGUUUCCGGGCUGCUCGCAUGUGGCGAUGAAGUUGUCGAUGAAAGCCUGGCGUAGCUCUUCCCAAGAGUCGAAGGAGUCCUCGGGCAAGCCGAGAAGCCACUGAUGACCAGCCUGGUCGAGGACUACGGGGUAGUAGUUAGCCAUGACAUGCUCAUCUCCUGCCGCUGAUCGGACGGCGAUUUCAUAGAGAGUGAUCCAGUUCUCUGGAUUUUCCUUGCCGUCGUAUUUUUUAAGUUUUUCGAGCUUGAAAUUGCGGGGCCACACGACCUGGCGGAGGUGUGAGGAGAACUGUCUUAGGCCCGGAGGACCGUGGGUCGCAUCGUACUCGAUGCGGCGCAGGUUUUCGUGGACUGCUCUCUCUGCGGCGCGCCUGUUGAUGCGGUCCCGGGCAUCUUUGGGAGGGAUGUUGUGGCGGAGAUCCCUGUGUUGAUCUUCUUCUUGGCCGCGUACGCCAUGAAUUUGCUUGCGGCGGCCAUCGGCGUCCCGACCACCAUCGUCGCGCCGCGAGUCCCCUCGACGGAUGUCGGGGGAGCGGCUGCGGUGACGCCUGCUGGGUGAGACCUGGCUACGAUUAGUCUGGUCGGAGGCGGCUUCCGUAUAAGAGACGUCCUGGACUCUCUUGAGCAGAGUGGCUGUCUGUCCCAUUGCGGCGAUCAGGUGUGCUCGGAUGCUGGUCCGGACUCCCUGGCAUUCGGGGGUGUCAGGAAGCCGAUCCAGGUUGGCCAUGGCGACAGCCACGUUGGCGCUUGGCGUUUUGUAGACCGGCUGGUCCCCGACCAUGUCAAAGGCAUCGUUGAGGUUACUUGGUGGCAUCUGUUGUUGCUCGUCCGCACGCCGUCGGGCGCGAUCGGCGUUACGCUGUUCGCGGAGUUGCCUCUGGUCAUCUGUUUCUCCGUCAACAGCCGGUUCGUCGGCGCUGACAUUGAACACAAUAUCCCCUCGCCGGGGGGGGAAUAUCGGGAAUCGGUCGAAACCCGGAGGGUGUGAAGGAAAAUCCAGGUCGUAGCCCUCGUCUUCGGUGUUUAUAACCUCGGUGGGGACGGAGCCGGUGCUUGAGUUGGUGCUGGAAACCUGGCCGUCCCGUAGCUCUUGGAUUGUCACCAUGUUGACAUGGUGACGAUUGUUCCUUGUCGGCGACCAACCCGCCUUGCUGAAAACGGAUUGGACAUGCUGUGAGUAAACAGAGGCCGAGUUGUUCAGGCCGCGAGGAUAGUCUUCCUUUUUGAGCUCGACGGAUCGUCCUGAGGGGGUUGAGGUUAUCGUCAGGGACGUUCCCAGCCGUUCGUGUGUGGCGACACGAGUUGGCCGGCGGGAUUUCGAAAAAUCUGCUCGAGCAGCUUGGUCGGGCCGGCGCAGAACUCCAUCUAUUAGUUGGGAGACUUCGAGUAGCUUGGAGUCAGCGCGAUCGAGCGCUUGGAGGAGGUCCGAGCAGUCAAUCUCCUUUCCCUUGUAGAGUGGGAACGGUGGUCGGGAGCUUGGUGCCGUCAUGCGUGUGGUCGGAGACGGCGUGAUCUCAGAUUGGACCUGGAUCUCUUUCGGAACCGUGGUCGCGAAGCCGCCGCUGCACGUCGUCCACGUGAUCUGGCCGACGGUGAACGUGAGGCCUUCGGGCACGGUCGCGGAAGCUGGGAUCGUGACCAUCUUGUUCGCCGGAAAAGUUGCACGCACACCCCCUACCUGGCGCGCCACUGUCGACGAAAGCUAGUCGGCAGUCUACCUUGGGGUAUACCCACGGUAGUAGUUUAUCGGUAGACGGUGCGCAAACUACGAACUCGAUGGUGACGCAAGACACGGACAAGCUUUUUAUCCAGGUUCGGCCACUGAGUUGGCGUAAUACCUACGUCCUGCGUCUGGUUGUAUUGGAUUGUGUUGAGAGGAUAUGAUGUCCUAGGGGGGUCCCUUGCCCCUCCUUAUAUAGUCUGGAGGGCAGGGUUACAGAUCUGGAAACUAAUCCUAGUCGGUUACAAUUGCCAUGGAUAAUUCGAUGUCAAUUCCUAUUCUAACCGACUAGAAUCCUGCUUGAUCUCCACAUCUUGUUUCCUUGCGCGAAACUCCAGGUUGUCGGAUCAAGCCUUGAACUCGUCUCGUAAUGGACCAAGCCUCCUGGCCGAAAUCUAGCCGUAAGGGUAUAGGGGUUUAUACCCCCACAAUGGCCCAUGAGGACCUUGAGUCGGAACGAGCCCGCUCUCGCAGUCUUUCCGACGACGUCGACCAUUUGAAGAAAGCGCUACAAGAGAAAGAGGACGCCGUCCUCCAGUCGGGCAAGUUGAUUCAGGACCUGUGGGUCAGAAGACAGAGCUGGCCAGCACUUAUAAGAAGAUCGAGAGGGCCAACACUGACUUGGUCGGAGAGAACACAACUCUCGAGGAGAAGAUCCACGGUGAGUUUUCUACGCCCUUACGUUUACUUUAUUUUUGCGAUGCUCGUUUUCUAUCAUCUGAUUCCUUAUUUUGAUCUCUGUAGGGCUUAAGGACGAGCUGCUGGUAGCCUAGGCCGACUCCCAGUCUCUUAAGUCACAACUCGAGGAGGAGGUUGCGUUGACAGGUCGGCUGAGGACAACAAUCAACGACCUCUCGACCUCUUGGGAGCUCGAGCCUGCGAAUGAGGCGGGGGAGACGGCUCGAGGCGAUGCUCUAGUUGACCAACUAUGCUACUUGGGUGCUCCUAUGAGGGACCGAGUGCGGGACGUGCUCCAUACUGGGGUGAAGCAGGCUAUGGCGGUCGUCGAUCAGGCUUCUCCUAUGAUACGGAGGUGGUAUCCCACGGCUUCUUCACCGAUAUCACCAAGACUGAUCCAGAGAACAAGGAGAGGCUCCACGUCUUGAUCGACGAAGCGUAGGGUCUGUUGACGGUCCUUAAGUAUCCAAAUGCAACCGACACCCAGACUUAGGGUUUUAUCUGAUAGAAUUCCAUGAGUUUUGGUGUUUGUCUAUUUCUGCAGCGGGUUAUCAGGAAUUAUGGAGGAAAGGCCCACACAUCAGGUUUACAUAGAGAUAUUAAUGUGUUGUGCAAUUAUCCAACAUCUAGAAGAGUCCAGAAGCCACGGGAAUGAACGGGAGGUCGAUCGGGCCCGGGGGCAGGGCGCCCGCCCUCCCCCCUUGGGCGCCCGCCCUGGCCAGGCAACCAAUCACGUUCUACUUUGAGGAUCAUGCUCCACCAACCUAAAGGAUCAAUGAAAAUUGUGUGAUUAAUGUCGGUUUGAUCCGACGACCCACAGUUAUUUAAAAGGACUAUAUAAGCAGACCCCCUGGCCCCUGGAGGAGGGCACCUCUCUGAAACCCUAAUUCAUUAUCCAUCUCGGGAGAAGAAGCCUCUGAUCAAGCCCUAGAGCCACCACAUCAAUAGAUCUCUAGCUUAGCAUAGCUACUUAGGAAUAGAACUAGAAGGAGUCAAUCUUCGAUUGGUUUCCGGAUCUGUCAGGAGAAUUCUUGAUAAUUCCUCUAUUGUUCUUCAAUUGUUCAUCAUUGUUCUUCAAUAUUAUGAAUAUGACUUUGUUCAACUUCAAUAUAUUGAUUAUGACUUUGCUCUACUUGUUUAUAUUUGCAAUUAUAUUGUUCUUAGUUUAUCAUAGUUAUAUGCUUGGCUUAAUUAGAUUGGAUUUAUAUACAUGUUUAGGAUCGUAUAGCGUUUAUCCAUGUGUACAGUGGGUAAAUGAUAAGUAUUGUGUAGGCGUGGUGCCUAUACCGUAUUUAUCUGCGAUUGUACCCUAUAUGCCAGAUCGCGGGGUAGUUCGUGGUAGUGACAGCUUCAUUGAUUCUUAUAUAGUCCCCCUCUCACGUAUAGGGCUGGCAGAACAACAUUAUUACAAGGGAGAGUUUGCUAUGUUUCUCAUCUUCCUUGAUAAUAUCACUAUGCAUGGGCGUAGUCCUGUCUCGCAAUGAUUGCCAAGUAUAAUUGCACUAACUAUGAUAUGGUAGACUUUAUAGUUAAGAAUAACUUAGGAAAUAUUCUUGUAAUUCAUCUUAAUUCCAUGCUAAUGACUUGCUCGAAUAUCUGUUGAGGUGCUUAUUGUUGAUGGUCCUUAAGUACAAAAUAUAAUCAUCAAAUAAAUAAAUAAAAGGAUCCAAAUGCAACCAACACCCAGACUUAGGGUUUUAUCUGACAGAAUUCCACGAGUUUUGGUGUUUGUCUAUUUCUGCAGGGCGUUAUCAGGAAAUAUAGAAGAAAGGCCCACACGUCGGGUUUACAUCGAGAUAUUAAUGUGUCGUGCAAUUUACUAUCAUCUAGAAGACUCCAGAAGCCACAGGAACGAACGGGAGGCCGAACGGGCCCGGGGGUAGGGCGCCCGCCCACCCCCUUGGGCGCCCGCCCUGACCUAGAUUCGAUUCAGCACUCUCUUCGUGGACUAAGCUCCACCGACCUAAAGGAUCAAGGAUAACCGUCCAAUCAAUGUCGGUUUGAUCCAACGGCUCACGUUCACUUGAGGGGACUAUAAAACCAGACCCCCUAGCCCCUGGAGGAGACAAGUUCAUCAUAGAGUUGAGAGGAGCCCUCGAAGGAAUACCUCUCCUCUAAAUAAAUAUUUAUUUUAGGCUUAGCAUCCAAUGUGAGUAGAAUUAGAUCUUCUAGUUUCUACUAGAUUGAGAGAUAUAGAGUGGAGGUGUAGAUCGGAGGAAGCCCGACCUGUCGGUGUCUACUCCGAGGUUGUACCUGCGGGAUCAAGUCUUCUAACCCGAGGCUUGCUCCUAGGAUUCUUCAGUAAUUCGACUUCUAAUUCUAGUAAGUUCUUGUUUUAUUGUUCUUUGGUUUAUGAGUUUACUUUCAUCUCUUCCGGUUGAGUAUUAGAGUAAUCUUUGCUAACGUAAAUGUGGUGUUUAGGCUAGGGUACUCAUAGAUAUCCCCUGACUAGCUAGACCGUGGUAGUAGCGAGGAACGUGACAUUUCCGAGUUACCUUUGCAGCCCACAUCUUGUUAGCAGGACGGGUAGGGUUUAUAGGUGCGGGUCGAACAUCCUUUGUGGUGUCUAGAUUCCGUAAGCUUCCCCAAUAGAACAGUAGAUCAUCCUUACCAAGGUUAGAAUGAGACUACGGUUGCAGUCUUCUCUAUACAUCACUCACAUCGAGAAACAUUCUUUGUAGCCUAAAGGGAUAGUAGCAAUAGAUUUGGUUAGUCAGAUGCACCCUUUCUCCCAGUGGUAAAAAUAUUAAUAUGAUAUUCUGGAUAACCUCCCGGGUGAAAUGUUCACCGAUAUCCGUGCGCUUGCGGAUCAUUUCCUGAUUGCGUUACCAAAUAUCAACACUUAUCAUAUUUAUAUGUGGCUAAGUUAUGUUGAUCAUAUUAAUUAUCUUUGUCACCAUUCAUACUUUAUCUAUCUUUUAUGUGACACUUAUCCCUGUAUGAAAGAGAUAGAUAAAUGCUGUCAAUUAUACUUGCAAUGAUGGAUACUCAAUUCUAUAUUCCAUUCGAUAAUCAACAUUGAUGUUUAGCAAUCCCUUCCUAGUGGUAAAAAUAUAAAUAACGAUACCAAGAAUACUUCCUGGUUAAAAUGCUACAUCGGUAUUAAUCUGUGCGCUUGCAGAUCUCAUUUAUUAUUUAUUCAGAAGAGCAAUUGCAUAUUUCAAUACCGCGUCUCUCAUGUCAUGCUGGGGAUGACAACUUGGCUUAAGUGGCAUGAGGGAUAGGUUUGGCAUUUUUGGCGCCGUUAUCAGAAUUAGAAAACUAAGUCUACUUUUGGUAGUGACGUUAAGAAUGCCCAACAAGCAUUUUUGGCGCCGUUGCCGGGGAAGAUUGAUUACUAAUAAGGAAUGGAUAUGGAAUUUUGAGUUAUCAUUCACAUAACUAAUAUGAUUGAGAUUAUCAAUUCUCUCAUACAGUUUUACUCCAUUAAUUUUUCUAUUUUAUUUUAUGCAGGGUAAUGUAUGAAUAUAAGACAUCUUCCAGGAAAUUUUGUUGACAAUCCCGAAGCGUUAUUCAGAAAAACAAGAGCGAAGCUCAAGAAGAGAUCAUCAAUACUUCAGCACGAAGCUUCAUCCAAUCAAGAAGAUCACCGAAGUUUCACCCGGAACUUGUCUUCAGAGUUCAAAGUCAUGGCGAACAAAACGAUCCGUGAGUUCUCAGCUCCCACUAUGGACAACAUCCAUACUGGACCUGCUGCAGAGAUCGACGGCAACUUUGAGCUCAAGUCUGGACUUAUCAACAUGGUGCAAUCCAACCAGUUCUGUGGGAAGGCACACGAGGAUGCUAGUGCUCAUCUCCAACACUUCCUGGAGAUUUACAACACAUUCACCAUAUCAGGAGUUCCCAGAGAUGCUAUACUACUUCGCCUCUUCCCAUUCUCACUAUUGGGGAGAGCGAAGCAGUGGUUCUACGCUACAAAGGAGAAGAAUACUACGUGGGCACUCUACUCCAUAAACAUUCUGGCUAAGUUCUUUCCCAUGGUCAAGACCAAUGCUCUCCGUGGGAAAAUUACAAGUUUUCAGCAACAACAUGAUGAAUCCGUUCCAGAAGCAUGGGAGCGCUUUCAAGACUACAUCCUAGAAUGUCCCCAUCAUGGAAUGGAGAGCUAGCUACUGAUGCAGACGUUUUAUCAUCGGCUCGGCAAUAGUGCCUGAGAGACCAUGGAUGCUGCAGCUGGAGGAGCAUUCCUAUCACUCACCAUACCAUAAGCCACAGCUCUUGUGGAGAAGAUGGCGUCCAACCAAGGCUGGAAUGAAGAAUGAACCGACACGCAAGAGAGGUGGAGGUAUGCACCAACUCAAGGAGGUAGACAUGCUAUCUGCCAAGCUAGACCUGCUCAUGGAGAAGCUCGAUGAUAGAGCUGGAGAUAAGAAGGAAGUCAUGCACAUCUACGACUCUCACAUGACUUGCGAGAAGUGUGGAGAUACUGGACACUCAGGCAAUCACUGCCCUG
rnacentral:lncRNA from 1 species